rnacentral:lncRNA from 1 species
AUUAGGAGACUUUUAGACUGCCGUUUGGCCUCUAUGUCUAGCCGACGGUCAUCAUUCGAAGGCCCAAUCUGGCUCCGUCCAACCGUGGAUCCAAGGAUUUCACUCUAAAGCUUUAAAGUCCUCGCCUAAACUUCGAUUACAACGAAGUAGCUAGGAUUCGAAGGAGCCAAAUAUGAAGGUAAAUCUCUUUUCCUUACUCUUUUUUUUUAAAACGAAUAUCAAUCAUGAAGAAAAUCCAAAAGAAAAACGAAUGAGAUGCUAGAUUUAAAACAAUCACCUUUUCAAUUCGUGAUUUCUGCUUUUUUCUAUUUGAUAUCUUUUUGUAUGUGUUUUUUCGUAAAAAAAGAAGGGGCUUUUACAAUCGAAAAAUGAAAGGCUUUAUAGCCGAAUCAUCAAAAUAAAAUAAUAAACACAAUUUUCUUUUUCUUUUUUCAUAUUGGCUUGUUGCUGCUGUUGUUUGUCUAUUUCUUCGCAGGUACGGAGUGUGCGUGGUGCGAGUACGGGGGCUGUGCUGGUGUACAGAGGCGCGGGCGUGGCUGCUGAAGGGUACGAAGGUGGGGCUGCUGCGGCGCAAGCAGAGAUUGCUAGGGUUCUGCUUUGAUUUUUUUUGUUUUUGGGCUGUAGGGUAUUUGGGUCUAGGUUUGGGCUUGUAAUAAGUUUGGGCUAAGUUAGGGUAUUUGGGUCAUUGUAAUAACUUUGGGCCUUGGACUGUUUCUAUUUUUACUUGGGUUUUUUAUGUAUUUGUUUGUAACGGGCUGGGCAAAUUUGGCCCACUACAGUUGCCCCUCUUUGCUUAUUGUCGUGUAACGAGAAUAGAGCAAAGACUAUAAAUGGGCCAAUUUUGCCUGGACGUGCUGAGUUUCGACUUCUUUUGACGCUUCUUUUCUUCAUGUAGCUUCAAUAUGCUCCACGGCAACUUCAGGGAGACAUGGUUCGUGUGUUUUUAUCCUGCUUUACAGCAAUUUCAGAGAGAUAAGGAUUGUGACUUCGAUCAGCUCCACUGUAACUUCAGGAAGACAAGAUCUGCAAUUUUCAGCCUGUUACCCUACUACUUAGGGGGUUAAGGCUUGUUUUCUUCGAUCUACUCCGCCGGAGACAAGAUCUGCAAUCUUCAACCUACUCCACUACAACUUUAGGGAGAUAGGAUGGUGGCUUAAAUUUGCUUCACUACAACUUCAGGAAGACAAGAUUCGCCGUUUUCGAUCUGCUCCACUGCAACUUUAGGGAAACUGUAACAGCCCGUUUUUAGGGUUGAUCGGAACAGUGGUUUCGGGGCCACCAAAUCCGAACGAGUAGGUUGAUAAAUAUUAUAUUUAAUAUUUAUGAGUUAAUUGUGAUUUUAAAAAUGUUUUUGAUAUUGUGAUUUUUGUUUUAUAAGCGAUUUAUUAAGUUCAAGUGGUAUGACUCUAAGGUCAAGUGGGUUUAGAAAAUGAGGUAUCGGGACCUUGUUUCUAUAAACCGAGUCGUAAAUAUUUUUGUAAAUAUUUACGUAGUGGCAAUAAGAUGGUAUUAAAGUUUCGUUGAAAAAUUUUAUCGUUUCGAUAGUUAAUUUGCAAAAAGGACUAAAUUGUGUAAAGUGCAAAAGUUGUGUUCUAUAACCUAAAGGUAUUAAAUAGAUAUAGAACUUAAAAGUAGAAGUCUUUAUUUGGUAAUUAGCCCAUUAAAGAGAUAGUGGGAUAUGAUGGCUUGGCAUUUGGUGUAAUAAAUAAAGUGUAUAAAGGUUAAUAUUGUAAAUUGGUUAAUAAUAAUAAUAAAAUGAAUAUAAUAAAAGAAUCAAUGUGUCAUCUUUUUCAUUCUCUUUUACUAGCCGAAUAUGAAGGCUUGAGAAGCCAUGGAAGAAGCUUCCAACUUUCAGCUAAUGCAUGAUCAAGAUCGGGUGGAAAAUCGAGAAAAAUAAGAAAAUUACCAAAAUGCCCCUGAACUUUGGUAUCUCUACAAUUUAGCCAGGUAAGUUCGUAUGCAAUAAGCAUUGUUAAAUUUAUGUUUCUAAUGCUUUAAUAUCGUAUAAAUUGUAUAUACAUGAAUAUUUUAAUGUCUGACGACAUAUCGACAAAAUGUGGCACUUAGUGUGCGGGGCAAUCAAAUAUGGUACUCAGUGUACGAAAUAUUGAGAAUGGCACUUAGUGUGCGAGAUAUUGAGAAUGACACGUAGUGUGCAAAAUAUCGAAUGAUUCAAAGGGAAAUUAUAAAUUGUGAUUGAAUGAUUAAAUAGAGCAAAGUAAACAGGUAUACAUGCUAUAUUAUAUGAAUUGUUUAUGAAACCUUGUGUUAAAUCGGCAAUUGAAUUUGUUCAAUACAUUAAGUUGGCCAGGUAUGUGAUAUAUACUUAUGCAUGUUAGAUUGAUUGGAAUUGAAUCAUGAAUGUGAAAUGAGAAGCUUUGGUGAAAAUGCCUAUGUCAUAUAUGUGAGUAAGGGCAAAACCAUCGUAAAUUAUCGAUAAGGGUGGACUAUGUGCGGAAUCAUCUUAUAAUUGCUAAUUUGAACGGUUGUGUGCAAAUCAUUGAGCAUGAUGUAUUUUAUUGAGAUUAUGCUUAAGUGAAAUUAUAAAUAUGUGGUGAAAUUGAUUGGUGAUAUACAUGUUUAAAUAAUGUGAAUGCAAAGAAUGUGUGAAAGAGUAAAUUUGUAAUAAAUCUGCUUGGGACAGCAGCAGUAACGUGAUUUUGGAAAAUCACCAUAAAUUUUUGGAGUUGAGUUAAAAGCUUAAUAAAUUAUGUAAUUAAAUCUUAAUGAGUCUAGUUUCUUAUAAAAGAAACCGUGUAAGCAAAAGAAUUUCUGAUAAUGAGAUAUUUGAAGUGGCGUGGGAUAGAGUCAAAUGACUUCGGGGUCCCCUGUUCUGUUUUUAUAAAAUCAUUAUAAUUUUUACAAAAAUGGUUAUAAGAUAAAAUUUAUAUGCUUAGACUCCUUAAUGAGUCUAGUUUCAAAUGAAAUCAAAGAGAACAUAUUUUGAAUUCUUUACAAUGAGAAAUUUGAUUCGUAGUGAAGAGUGGUUAGAUUAGUCAAACAGUGAAACAGGGGAAACUUUAAGAAAAAUCUGGUAUCGAUUGGCCAAACCAAAAAUUCUGAAAAUUUUAUGGAUGGAAGAUAUAUGAGUAUAUUUUCAGAGAAAAUUAACAGCAAUUGAUUUGGAGUUUUGUAGCUCCAGUUAUAAAUAAUUUAGUGACUAUUGCUCAGGAAGACAACUUGUAGUGAAUUUGUGAUUAUGUUGUAAACAUUGAUAAAACUUGUUAAUGAGUUGCUUAUUGUUUUCUUAUGAACUUACUAAGCGUAAAGCUUACUCCCCUUUUCUUUCCCAUAUUCCCUAGGGUUGCCAGGUUAGCUCGGGUUGGAGGCCGUCAAAGAUAUUAUCAUAUUGUCAAGUCUACGCUAUCGGCGUAAGUAAAUCUUAGUGUUUCGAGUCUAUGGCAUAUAUAGGGUUGUAAAGUUGAGUAAGUAAAUGAUACAAGACUAAGAUAUUGGUAAAUAUUUAAUAAUGCCUCAUGAAUAUUUUGGGCCUUGUAAGCCCGAUUAAAGGAUAAUAUACGUGUGUAUGAAAAGUUUAAAAUUGAUCAAAAAAUUUUACGGUCUAUUUUUAUAUAAAUAGAUGAGUUUAAAUCUGGUAGCACCUCGAACCCUGUUCCGGCGAGGGAUACGGGCGAAUGGUGUUACAUUUUAUUGGUAUCAGAGCCAUGUUUUAGUCGGUUCUAGGACUACCAUGGCGUAUGUGAGUCUAGCUGUACAUGCCAUAUUUGACCUGCGAUAGUGUGAUAUCUCCUGACUCUGACGAAAAUUAUUUGAAUAGGACAGAUAAGUCUUUCAAUCAAGCUAAUUUUAAUAGUAUAAAAUAUGUACUCAGAUGUUUGAAUGAAAUUGUGUUCUAUACUGAUUUGAUUAAAUUAAAGUUGGCUCUGAAAUGUUUAAGUGUUCAUGAAUAUAUGAAUCCAAAGUUAAAUGAAAUGAUAUGUUCAAAGUGCACAUAUGUGAUGUUUUAUAGACUUGGUUACGUCACUUCAAUGUGCAACAACAAGUGAACAUAGGCACUGUGUGUGUGAGUUCCGUAACCGAGCACUGUGUGUGCGAGAUCCGUUGUUGAGGCACUAUGUGUACGAGUUCUGUAACCGAGCACUGUGUGUGCGAGAUCGGUUGUUGAGCCACUGUGUGUGCGAGUUCCGUAACCAAGCACUGUGUGUGCGAGAUCGGUUGUUGAGGCACUGUGUGUGCGAGUUCUGUAACCGAGCACUGUGUGUGCAAGAUCGGUUGUUGGGGCACUAAGUGUGUGAAAUGAGAUCAUGUAAGACCUCGUCCGAGAUGAAGGCAUUGAUUUGAAGUAGUGUAUAAGAACGUGUCUGGGACACUGGCAUCACUUAUGAUUCGUGUAAGACCCUGUCCGGGACAAUGGCAUCGAUAUUGAAUAAACUUGGUCAGAUGUAUGUAGUCCAUGUGAAAAUGAGACGUGAUAAAUAACAGAUAAAUAUAUGCUAUAUGUGCUUGACAUGUGACCUUGUGGUUCCAUGAAUCAAACAUGGAAAAAUAUGACAUGUUUUGGUUGGUAUGUAUUGGAUAUGUGCAAGUUUUGUUCAUACGAAUGAAUUGAAAGUUAUCACACGAAUUUAAAAUCAUAGUCGCAAGUUAUUUGUAAAUAUAAAUAAGUGAAGCUAUUUAAUAAGGUUAUAUGAACUUAAGAGUACUAUGAAUGUAUAUGCAAUUGAGAUUAUUUUUCAAUUCGAAUUAGUGAUAUGGAAUUUUCAUAAUCAUUGAAAUGAUUUAUUUGCUUAAGGCUUACUAAGCUUUCAAAGCUUAUUCUGUGUGUUUUUCACAAGACAGAUAUGCUUUCCACCCGAGCUAAUUCUGAUAGUACAGAAUGUUAUACUCAAACGUUUGAGUGAAAAUGUGUUGGUGAUGAGUUGAAACUCAUAAAAAGGUAUGAAUCAGAAUGCAUGAUAUUCUACUAUUGAUAAAUGUUAUAAUUAUAUGAGUAUAUGAGUUGUGAUGUUGGGUAUAUGAUUGUUGUCUGAAUAUUUUGAUUUGGAAUUUAUGAUUUGAUUUAGCGCAUGAGCUAUGUGUUAAGUACCAAGUGAUCAUAAGUAAAUGAUUGCUAGAUGUUUGAGAAUGCGAAAUUAGUAAUGAACUGUUCGUUCAUAAUAGUAUGUGUGAUGUGCAUACUUACGUAAGAGUUAAAAUUGUUGGCUUUACAACCCUCACCCCCUCAUUCGUAAAGCAUUAUAAUGAGAUCCGUACUAUAUGACUUAAAUAAGCUUACAAGUGCGGAAUGACAGAGUCUCGGGAUUGAAGGAUUAGUAUUGUGAUCAGAUAAGAGAAUGAGUCCGCAAGUGAAGACAGUAACAGAAAAGAUAUUGGAUCGUGUUGAAGGCCAUUUGUAAUAUGCAAAGUCACUGUUAAAAGAAAAGUUGAAUUAGAUGAAACCAAAUAUUCAGGUAUGAUAUCUAAAGAACAUAUUAACUGGAAGUUCUUCUGAAUUGGCCUCCGUUAGUGUUGGGAUAAUGAGAAAUUAGUGAUGUCAGAGAUAGAUAGUAGAAUCAUAUUUGAAUUAUAAAGAUAUUUGAGCACAUCGAUUAUAGUCGAAUGGUUUACGAGAACUCUUCUAGGUACUCUAUGUGUUCAAUUAUCCUCAGAGGUAUGUGAAGCUGUAUAUUUUCAGAUGAAAUUCUUAACAUAUGAGAACGUUAUCUAUAUAUAUUGAUAUAUGAAAGCAUUGUUGGGCUGUUCGGGUUACAAUCAGCAUUAUUAUAUCUUUCUCUGGUAUUCUAUUUCAUUUUAUUGAAAGAAAAGAUCGACGAUUAAAUCUGUGUGAUGUUGGUAUUCUGCUCCUACUGGUUGUUGAUCUGCUUAGUAUACAUGAAGAUUAUAUUGUUUCUGUUACUGUUGAUUCCGAUGCAUAUGAGUGAUGCUUUACUUCUGGAUUUCCACUGAGACAUCAUUGAGAUAUCUGUCAUCUGAUAUGGGUGCUUUCUUUAAAAAAAGAUUAGUAUAGUGAUAUAUUUGAGAAUUACAGUAUCUCUGCUUUCUUAUGAUUCUAUAUGGUUAUCUGUGAAAAAUAUCUAUUGAAUGAUUGUAACUAUAUUUCAAUUUCUCUUAUGUUCAAAAUGCAUUAUUGAUAAUUGGGACAUUAUAUAUCUAUACGGUUGAGAUGUCAGCCUUAUUAUGGCACUAUGAUUUUAAAUUAUCUGAUGGUUGUGGCUUCAGUAUGGUUCAAAGCUUCGUUGAUUAAUAAUUGAAAAGUUAUUACUUGACAGUCGAGAUCGAUUCAGUUGUCUAGUUUGAUUAGAUUAAUUGCUUGAAGGAUUAAUCGAGUUACUUGUAUCUGAAUCUAUCCUCAGGGUGGAAAUAAAGUUUGAAUGGUCACGGAUAAAUAGAUGAAUAUUCUGAAUGCAGGAUUCAUAUUCUAGAAGAUAUGAUACAGAAUUAUAUCCAUCAGAACGAUUUUAUUGAGAAAUGUUCUUAUAGAUCGCGAUUGGGAAGUCUGAAUGAUGUGAUAAUUAUCAAUAAAGUGGUAAACAGUUGAAGAAAUUGUUAAUUGAAGUGUCAGUUCUCAGGUAAAGAGUUAUUCGACACAAGAAUUAAAGAUGGUUUGAACUGUUGAAAGAUUAUGAGUCAGCGAUUGAUUAUCAAUCUAGGCAAAUGAUUAUAGUCUUUGGGGUUCUGAACGAGAAUCUUUAUGUGUUUUACGGCCGAUAAUCAUGUGAUUAAUCUUAUCAAAUGAUGAGUAGUUAUUAGCUGAGCUAGAAACUAAAUUGAUGUUUAAUUAGCAAAUUUGUGAGGUUAAGAGGUGUGUCAGUGAAUUACAAGUUAAAAAGGGUACAACGUAAAUUGAUUUCUAAUUUAAAAUUUCAGAUUGGAAUCGAAAAUUGUUCGUUAUGUCGAGAUAGAGUUCGUGUAUUGAGAAAUCCAGAGAUUUUACAACAAUUGUGACAUCUAGCACAGUGGUAAUUAUCUAUCCGUACGGGGAGUACUAAAAGAGUGCUAGUUUUCAUUGUUCAAAUGGAGACACGAGGAUUAUAUAGUGUUACUAAAAUAAACUACUAUGAGCUUUGGGUAUGGAAUUACUUUGUAACACUGUGUUCUAGAACUUGAAAGCAACCGAGAAAGACAUUUAUUGUUUGUUAAGUUUGCAUAUAAUAAUAAUAGUUAUGAGAUGAAUGUUAAGAUAGCAUUGUAUGGGUGUGGUAUGGUUGCAAUUACUGAACUUCGUUGUAUUGAAUUGAAUUUUUAUAAAAAGAAUUUCGGGGUCGAUGUGAUUGGAAAGACUGAGGGGAAAUGAAAGUAAUUCAUGACUGUCUAAAAACAGUUUCAGAUUUGCAGAAAAUAUAUGUGGGCUUGAUGCGUAAAAGAAUUGAAUUUUCAAUUAGAAAAUUAAGUAUUUGUAAAGGUAUUAUAGUGGGAAUAGAAUUUCUAGAUUUAGCUAUAAAGAGAAGUUGAGUUCGCUGUUCAUCGGAUUGAAUGAUAUUAUAAUCAAAACUUGAGAAGACCCGUAAUGUGCUUUUUAUAUAUAUGAUGUGAUGAUACAAAUAAGAUCCUUUAUCUAUAGUAUCUCUUACAAAAGUAGAAACUCAGCUUGUUAUGAUGUAUAGUAAAGAGCAGAUCAUAAUCUUAGCUCAUGAGAUUGAAAAGUUGAGAAAUCUGAGGCUAGGUGAGAAAUUGUUGAGGUUGGUGAAAGAAAAUCAGUAAUUUAUUCUCUGGCAAGAUUUUCGGGGACGAAAAUCCUUAAGGGGGGAGAGUUGUAACAGCCCGUUUUUAGGGUUGAUCGGAACAGUGGUUUCGGGGCCACCAAAUCUGAACGAGUAGGUUGGUAAAUAUUAUAUUUAAUAUUUACGAGUUAAUUGUGAUUUUAAAAAUAUUUUUGAUAUUGUGAUUUUUGUUUUAUAAGCGAUUUAUUAAGUUCAAGUGGUAUGACUCUAAGGUCAAGUGGGUUUAGAAAAUGAGGUAUCGGGACCUUGUUUCUAUAAACUGAGUCGUAAAUAUUUUUAUAAAUAUUUACGUAGUGGUAAUAAGAUGGUAUUAAAGUUUCGUUGAAAAAUUUUAUCGUUUCGAUAGUUAAUUAUGCAAAAAGGACUAAAUUGUGUAAAGUGCAAAAGUUGUGUUCUAUAACCUAAAGGUAUUAAAUAGAUAUAGAACUUAAAAGUAGAAGUCUUUAUUUGGUAAUUAGCCCAUUAAAGAGAUAGUGGGAUAUGAUGGCUUGGCAUUUGGUGUAAUAAAUAAAGUGUAUAAAGGUUAAUAUUGUAAAUUGGUUAAAAAUAAUAAUAACAUAAAUAUAAUAAAAGAAUCAAGGAGUCAUCUUUUUCAUUCUCUUUUACUAGCCGAAUAUGAAGGCUUGAGAAGCCAUAGAAGAAGCUUCCAACUUUCAGCUAAUGCAUGAUCAAGAUCGGGUGGAAAAUCGAGAAAAAUAAGAAAAUUACCAAAAUGCCCCUAAACUUUGGUAUCUCUACAAUUUAGCCAGGUAAGUUCAUAUGCAAUAAGCAUUGUUAAAUUUAUGUUUCUAAUGCUUUAAUAUCGUAUAAAUUGUAUAUACAUGAAUAUUUUAAUGUCUGACGACAUAUCGACAAAAUGUGGCACUUAGUGUGCGGGGCAAUCAAAUAUGGUACUCAGUGUACGAAAUAUUGAGAAUGGCACUUAGUGUGCGAGAUAUUGAGAAUGACACUUAGUGUGCAAAAUAUCGAAUGAUUCAAAGGGAAAUUAUAAAUUGUGAUUGAAUGAUUAAAUAGAGCAAAGUAAACAGGUAUACAUGCUAUAUUAUAUGAAUUGUUUAUGAAACCUUGUGUUAAAUCGGCAAUUGAAUUUGUUCAAUACAUUAAGUUGGCCAGGUAUGUGAUAUAUACUUAUGCAUGUUAGAUUGAUUGGAAUUGAAUCAUGAAUGUGAAAUGAGAAGCAUAGGUGAAAAUGCCUAUGUCAUAUAUGUGAGUAAGGGCAAAACAAUCGUAAAUUAUCGAUAAGGGUGGACUAUGUGCGGAAUCAUCUUAUAAUUGCUAAUUUGAACGGUUGUGUGCAAAUCAUUGAGCAUGAUGUAUUGUAUUGAGAUUAUGCUUAAGUGAAAUUAUAGAUAUGUGAUGAAAUUGAUUGGUGAUAUACAUGUUUAAAUAAUGUGAAUGCAAAGAAUGUGUGAAAGAGUAAAUUUGUAAUAAAUCUGCUUGGGACAGCAGCAGUAAUGUGAUUUUUGAAAAUCACCAUAAAAUUUUGGAGUUGAGUUAGAAGCUUAAUAAAUUAUGUAAUUAAAGCUUAAUGAGUCUAGUUUCUUCUAAAAGAAACCGUGUAAGCAAAAGAAUUUCUGAUAAUGAGAUAUUUGAAGUUGCGUGGGAUAGAGUCAAAUGACUUCGGGGUCCCCUGUUCUGUUUUUAGAAAAUCAUUAUAAUUUUAACAAAAAUGAUUAUAAGAUAAAAUUUAUAUGCUUAGAGUCCUUAAUGAGUCUAGUUUCAAAUUAAAUCAAAGAAAACAUAUUUUUAAUUUUGUACAAUGAGAAAUUUGAUUCGUAGUGAAGAGUGGUCAGAUUAGUCAAACAGUGGAAUAGGGGAAACUUUAAGAAAAAUAUGGUAUCGAUUGGCCAAACCAAAAAUUCUGAAAAUUUUAUGGAUGGAAGAUAUAUGAGUCUAUUUUUAGGGAAAAUUAACAGAAAUUGAUUUGGAGUUUUGUAGCUCCAGUUAUAAAUAAUUUAGUGACUAUUGCCCAGGAAGACAACUUGUAGUGAAUUUGUGAUUAUGUUGUAAACAUUGAUAAAACUUGUUAAUGAGUUGCUUAUUGUUUUCUUAUGAACUUACUAAGCGUAAAGCUUACUCCCCUUUUCUUUCCCAUAUUCCCUAGGGUUGCCAGGUUAGCUCGGGUUGGAGGCUGUCAAAGAUAUUAUCACAUUGUCAAGUCUACGCUAUCGGCGUAAGUAAUCUUAGUGUUUCGAGUCUAUGGCAUGUAUAGGGUUGUAAAGUUGAGUAAGUAAAUGAUACAAGACUAAGAUAUUGGUAAAUAUUUAAUAAUGCCUCAUGAAUAUUUUGGGCCUUGUAAGCCAGAUUAAAGGAUAAUAUACGUGUGUAUGAAAAUUUUAAAAUUGAUCAAAAAUUUUUACGGUCUAUUUUUAUAUAAAUGGAUGAGUUUAAAUCUGGUAGCACCUCGAACCCUGUUCCGGCGAGGGAUACGGGUGAAGGGUGUUACAGAAACGAGAUCUACAAUCUUCAACCUACUCCACUACAGCUUUAGGGAGCUAGGAUGAUGGUUUAAAUCUGCUUUACUGCAACUUCAGAAAGACCAGAUUCGCCGUCUUCGAUCUGCUCCACUACAACUUCAGGGAAACAAGAUCAACAAUCUUCAGCCUACUCCACUACAACUUUAGGAAGCUAGGAUGGUGGCUUAAAUCUGCUUCACUGCAACUUCAGAAAGGCUAGAUUCGCCGUCUUUGAUCUACUCCGCUGUAACUUUAGGGAGACAGGAUCUGUAGAAUCGGUUUCAUAGGCCUAUGCGUAUGUCAAAUAAUUAGGAUGCUAUGAUCGAAAUGAAUCAAGUGUUCCUAACUAGAUGUGGUGUUUAUGUCAAAUAAUUAGAAUGCUAUGAUCGAAAUGAAUCAAGUGCUUCUAACUAAAUGAAUGAUUAUGAAUGUAGAAAUGUUAUGAGAGUAAUUCCUUUUUAAACGCUUAAGGUAUCAUUACUCAUAGUUCAUCAGGGUUCUAUCAUUGAUGCGCUAUUGCGUCUUCUUGCUUAGCCGUUAUCUUUGACAGAAAAUUUGAAGAAAUAGUCACAAUUUGGACUAUUAUUUUUCCAAUAUUUCCUACUUUUGAGUCUGGUUAGUUCUGACUAGUGGCCCUGUUUUAGGUCCUUGUACUAUUUAGAAACCUUCCAGAGUAAUAUGCAUAACUCCUUUUGUGUGAGUGUUAUAAGUCCAAAAAUCGUGAUUUCAACAAAAAUGCUCGAAAGAGAUUAUCAUAAUAGACAAGAUGGAAUUUUAUUGAGUGAAACUCGAAGUGAAUACAUUAAACAGGAUAGCAAAUCUGUUAAGGCACAAACAUGAAAAAAGGUGCCCCAGAUAUCGCAGCACGAGCUUCACUAUUCCAAUUUCUCAAAGGCUCAUUCGAACUAAAUGUGUGUUCGGGAGAUCCUGUGUAUUUUGUUGAUGCUCCAAGAUGUACUGCUUUUCCCUCUUAUUAAUUUUGGGAGGACAAGACUACCAUAUGCCCCAUAUUCAAAAUUUGAGCUGCCUGUUUUCGGGUUUUUAACUCAAAAUCCCUUUUGGUUUCAAAAUGCCCUUUGCGGGUUUUCACAUUGGCCUCUCUAUUUUUUUUAGGUCUUAAAGCGCCCUUUGCGGGUUUUCACCUUGGCCUUUCCCUUUUUUAGGUAAAAUACUUUUUGACGAAAUCUAAAUUUAUAGGAUUGGGCAAGUUUUUACCAUCCAUCUCGGCUAGAAUUAAUACUCCUUCGGAUAAAGCUUUCUUCACCAUGUAAGGCCUCUCCCAAUUAGGCAUCCAUUUUCCUCUAAAUUCCUUCUGUAUGGGAAGGAUCUUUUUCAAGACCAGAUCCCCCUCAUGAAACUCUCUUGGGCAGACCUUCUUGUCAUAAGCCCGCAUCAUUCAUUUUUGGUACAUCUGACUAUGACGGAUAGCUUUUAUUCUCUUUUUCUUAAUCAAGUUCAAUUGAUCGUAUCGAGAAUGGAUCUAUUCUGCUUCAUCUAACUUUAACUCCGACAAUACUCGAAGGGAUGGGAUCUCCACUUCGAUUGGCAAAACCGCUUCCAUUCCGUAGACCAAAAAGAAAGGCGUUGCCUCAGUUGAGGUUCUGACUAAUGUUCGAUAAGCAAAGAGGGCAAAUGGUAACUUCUCAUGCCAAUCUUUGUAGGUCUCAGUCAUCUUCUCCACGAUCUUCUUGAUGUUUUUAUUGGCCGCUUCCACUGCCCCAUUCAUUUUCGGGCGAUAUGGUGACGAGUUGUGGUGUCUGAUCUUGAAUUGACUGUAGACUUCCGCUAUCGUACUAUUGUUCAAGUUCAAUGCAUUGUCAGAUAUGAUCCUCUCCGGCAUUCCAUAUCGACAUAUGAUCUCCUUUUUCAGAAAUUUGCUCACUGCCGACUUUGUAACAUUGGCAUAUAAAGCGGCUUCUACCCAUUUGGUGAAGUAGUCGAUAACCACAAAGAUGAACCGAUGCCUAUUGGAAGUUUUCAGUGAUAUUGGUCCAAUCACAUCCAUGCCCCACAUAGAGAAAGGCCAUGGGGAAGCCAUGACAUGGAGCGGCGAAGGGGGUACGUGAAUUUUGUCUCCAUAGAUUUGGCAUUUAUGACAUCUCUUGGCGUAAUUGACACAAUCUCCUUAUAUAGUGGACCAAUAAUACCCGAAUCUCAUAAUUUGUCUGGCCAUUGUAAAGUCAUUAGCGUGUGUCCCACAGACGCCCUCAUGGACUUCUUCCAAGAUUUUCUUAGCCUCUACAGUGUCUACGCAUUUUAAUAGCACUUGAUCUUUUCUUCUUUUGCAUAAGAUCUCCCUAUCUAAGACAUAGUCAAUGGCCAAUCUUCUCAGUGUCCUUUUGUCAUUCUCGCUUGUCUAGUCCGGGUACUCACGAUUCUUCACAUAUUGCAAUAUAUCGUGAUACCAAGGGUGGUCGUCAUUUUCUUCAUCUUCUUCGAUAUUAUAACAGUGGGCCGGAGUUUCAUAAAUGCUCAUCCGGAUGGGUUUGACAUCUUCCUGUUUGUUCACCUUGAUCAUGGAAGAUAAGGUAGCUAAACCAUCGGCCUUUUCAUCCCGUGGAAGGUAGCGGAAGGUAAUGUCAUCGAACUCUUUAACCAAUUCAAGGACCAGUUUCCGGUAAUCGAUCAACUUGGGAUCUCUGGUCUCUCAUUCUCCUUUGAGUUGAUAAAUUACUGACGUAGAAUCUCCAUACACCUUUAGCACUUUAAUCUUGCAUUUUAUGGCUGCACGGAUACCUAUGAUGCACGUUUCGUAUUCUGCCAUGUUAUUCGUGCAAUCAAAAUCCAAUUUACUAGUGAAUGGAUAAUGAUUUCCGUUUGGGGAUACCAAGAUUGCCCCGAUUCCAUUACCAACGGCAUUUGAUGCCCCAUCGAGUUUAGUUUUCAAAGAAAUUCUUCCGGAGCACCUUCUUCAAUGGUCGCAACACACAUCAGGUCUUCAUUUGGGAAAUCGAAGUUCAAAGGCUCGUAAUGUUCCAAAGCUCUACUGGCCAGAAAAUCUGCUAUUGCACUCCCUUUCACUGCUUUCUGGUUCACAUAAAUUAUGUCGAAUUCAGAGAGCAGAAUCUGCUAUCGGGCAAUCUUUCCAUUCAAAGCUGUCGACUCCAUCAUGUACUUCAAAGGGUUCAGUUUUGAGAUGAGCCAAGUAGUGUGAUACAAGAUAUACUGUCUUAACCUCCAGGUUGUCCAAACCAGGGCACAACAUAACUUUUCUAUCGGUGGAUAUCUUGUCUCACAUUUAAUGAAUUUUUUACUAAGGUAGUAAAUGGAUUUUUCUUUCCUUCCUGAUUCAUCAUGCUGACCCAAUACGCAUCCCAUGGAAUUCUCAAAUACUGCCAAAUACAAUAUCAACGGCCUAUCGGGGUUAGGUGGCAUCAGCACCGGAGCGUUGGAUAAGUACUGUUUGACCUUGUCGAAAGCCCUUUGGCAUUCUUUAUCCCAUUCACCUGGGUUGUGUUUCUUGAGGAGGCGAAAAAUGGGGUCACAUUUCUCGGUUAGUUGUGAAAUAAACCGAGCGAUGUAAUUUAAUCUUCCUAGAAAGCCUCGAACCUCUUUCUAGGUACGCGGCGAAGAUAGCUCUUGUAUGGCUUUGACUUUGUCUGGAUCGAUCUCAAUCCCUUUUUCACUAACCACGAAUCCGAGAAGCUUUCCAGACUUGGCUCCGAAGGUACAUUUGGCUGGAUUGAGUUUUAGCUGGAACUUCCUCAACCUUAAGAAUAACUUCCUCAGGACUUGUACGUGCUCUUUCUCAGUUCGGGACAUUGCGAUCACAUCAUCGACAUAAACUUCAAUUUCUUUGUGCAUCAUGUCGUGAAACAGGGUUACCAUGGCCCUUUGAUAUGUUGCCCCCGUAUUCUUUAGUCUAAAUGGCAUUACCUUGUAGCAGAAUGUCCCCCACAUGGUUACAAAUGUGGUCUUCUCCAUGUCUUGAGGAUGCAUCUUGAUCUGGUUAUACCCAGAGAAACUGUCCAUGAAUGAAAACAGUGAAUGGCCUGCCGUGUUGUCCACUAGGGUGUCAAUAUGAGGCAGUGGGAAAUUAUCUUUCGGACUGGCUUUGUUCAAAUCUCUAUAGUCUACACACAUUUGUACUUUUCCAUCCUUCUUCGGGACGGGACGAUGUUGGCUACCCAUUCGGAGUACUUUAUCACCUUUAAAAAUCCAGCGUCAAACUGCUUUCUAACCUCUUCUUUUAUUUUUAGCAAGACGUCGGACCUCAUACUUCAGGGUUUUUGCUGAACUGGUUUACACUCUUCCUUUAUAGGGAGUCAGUGCACCACAAUAUCAGUGUUCAACCCGAGCAUAUCUUGGUAUGACCAUGCAAAAACAUCUUUGAAUUCUCGAAGUAAUUCGAUAAGAUCUCGCUUCAUCUCCAUGGUGAUACAAGUUCCGAUCUUCACCUCUUGCCCCUCUCCUAAGCUCAUAAUUUCUACUGUUUCUUUGUGAGGUAGGAUUUGUUUCUCGUCUUGUUCUACCAUCCUCAACAAAUCAGGAGAUAGGUUACAGCCUUAGUCAUCUUCGAAAUCCUGAGAAUCCUCCAUACACAUAUCUCGCUCAAAAGGAGACUCUGAGCCACUAGCAGUGUCACUGAUAUCAUUGAUAUCUGGGGACCUGUUAUGAGGAUGAAGGAAGAUACUUAUUUGUAUGGUAUGAUUAUUUGUAUGGUAUCAUUCAUAAUCUACUUUCAUUCUUCAUUAAUAUCAUUCAUAAUCUACUUUCAUUCUUCAUUGAUAUCAUUCAUAAUCAUUGAGCCACUAGCAGUGUCACUCAUAUCAUUGAACACUUAUUUGUAUUGUAUGAUUAUGAAUGAAGAAUGAAAGAAUAUUUAGAAGAGUGUUCGAAGAACAAAAGAAUCCAAAAGUAAUAUAAUUAUGAAUGAAAUUGAAAGAAUGAGAGAAUAUCUACCCAAAAUGGUAAUAACUGUACAUUUCAUUGAAAUAACGUUUUUAAACAUAAGCCUAUUUCACAAAAGAUUCUUAUUACUCCUAGGCCUAGAGCAAUAAGUGUGUUUUGGAUAUUACUCUGAGUCAGUUCUAAAAACUACAGGAAUCUCUUCCGCAGUCUAGUUAUCCAAAACACUUCCAGGUAUGUAGGGGCAAAUGCCCGAAAAAUUUUCCUCUCCAGUCUCUUCUUCGUAUGUGGCGUUGAUGUUCAAGCUUUCCAACCUUUCUUCUAUGGCUUCUUUUCUUGGCGUGCUUCUUUCGGGAUGAACGAUUCCUCUGGACACAAAAUUUUUCGAUAUGUGGGGAAAUAUCAUUGGCUCCCAUUUGAUUUCCUCCCCCUUCAACCUUACUCUCCUUCUUUCUUGCUUCUUUUUCAGCUCUUUUCUCCUUUGUCUUGCAUCUGGCUUAAAUUCUAAGCCGAAACGAUCUCUCUUGUCCUUCAAUACCGGCGUUUCAAUCCUUCCUUGGAGAUGUCUCUCGAGCUCUCUUCCGGGUAGGGCCCCUUUUCCAACCAUCAACUAUAGACUCAUCCUUGUAGUUUUGGACAAUUUUGGCAUCAAAAUCUUUCUUCCAUUGGCGAUGAAUGUCACGUUAACAAAUUCCAAAGACCGAAAUGAGCAUUCGAUUGCUUUGUCAUCUGUCUCCAAAUAGGGCGCAUUACUGCUUACAGUUGCACUGAUGUCCUCUUCAGCAUUGAUCGUUAUCAACCGCCCCUCUGAUACCAGCUUCAAAUUUUGAUGCAAUGAUGAAGGCACUGCCCCAGCUGAAUGUAUCCAAGGCCUCCCCAAUAAGAAAUUGUAUGAGGGCUUGAUAUCCAUCACUAGGAAAUCCACCUCAUAUGUGUUUGGCCCGAUCUGAAGAGGUACCUCGAUUCUGCCGAUCACCCUUCUCUCCGUACCAUCGAAUGCUUUCACUAUGUUCUGGCACUCCUUCAUGUGAGAGCUGUUUAUAGGUAAUUUGUUUAGCGUAGUUAAUGGCAGGACGUUCAAGGCCGACCCAUUGUCAAUCAGUACGCCUGGCAGCGUAUACCCCUUACAGCGCGUGGUAAUGUACAAAGCUUUAGUCGACCCCAUGCCACUGGGUGGUAUCUCGUUGUCAUUGAAGAAGAUAUAGCUUUCGGCACUUAUGUUGCUAACCAAACGGUCCAGCUUGUUGACAGAGAUAUCAUUGGCAACAUAUGUUUCAUUCAGGACCUUCAUCAGCACGCUGCGGUGGACUUCUGAACUCAGGAGUAAGGCCAGCACCGAGAUAAGAGCUGGUUAUUUACGUAGCUAUUCCACCACGCUGUACUCGCUGUGUUUUAGGAAUUUCAAAAACUCCUUAGCCUCCUCCUCGUUAACUGGCUCAUUAAUAGGAAGUUCAUAUAUGGUCGCUUUUUCUUUCAUCUCUUCGACCACUAGGGCUUUUCCUUUUACAGGUUGUGCCUUUUCACUUGAUGUAUCGUAGCGUCUCCCGCUACGUGUAUAGGAGCCCCUAUCUUGUUCCUCUUUUGAAGUAUCAGCCAAGCUUUGCUUUCCCAGAAUCGUUAUGUUACAAUCAUAAUUCCAUGGGACCCUUUUGCUGUCUUUAUAGGGGAAGACUGUAGGUCUUUGGAGUAUGACCCUCGGUGGCAUUUGCACUCUAGCUUCAUUAUUUUUAGGUCGCGAUAUGAUGACCACAGGGUAGUUAACUGUUCGGAUUCUCCCUCCGAUGCACAUAUAUCUCCCUCUCCGGGGUUUUUUGCUUCUUCAUAAAACUCCAUUUCUUUGUUGUUCAUCAUGCUCUGUACUAGGGCCUUGAACUCCACACACUCUUGGAUUUUAUGUCCCACCUCGUUUUGAAACUCAUAGUAGUUCCUCCCUUCUUCAUACUUUUCUCUCGAAUCCAACGCGAUCAAUCCUCUCUUGACCAUCUCCUUCCACACCCAUCUCAAUGGGGUCCUGACUUUUGCAACCUCACUUUUGAUCCUCUUGUUCUUGCCUUCACUUAUCUCGUUCACUCCUUGGUCGGCAUGAUUGGGGAGCAUAUUUCCUGCUACAUUGGGUACAGCUGGGUCGUCAAACCUCACGAUCCCCAUUUUAAUGAGUCUCUCGACUACUUUCUUGAACGCGGUGUAGUUUUCGAUUGAGUGCCCGGUAAUUCCCACGUGGUAUUCACAUUGGGCGUUUGUGUCAUACCAUUUGGGAUACGGGGGCUGUAGUGACUUCAGGUAAAAAGGCGACACUACAUGAGCGUUGAACAGAUUCUGGUACGGCUCCCUAUACGUCAUGGGUAUAGGGGAGAACUAUGGCCUCUCUGUGUUCUCCCUCGCGUUGGAUUCUUGUCUCACAGUGCUAUGUUGAUUGGUGGCUACCGUCUUUGGUUGAUUUACGGUGAGUGACUUGGACUAACCUUUACCGAAUGUGCUCGUGUUAUUCAUUUCAUUAUCUCUUUUCCUUAGGGCUGACUUUUUGUUACUUUCUCUUGCUUCUAUCUUAUCGCUCCUCACAGCAUUUUCAAUCAUUUCACCGGUCAUUACUAUGUCUGAGACGCUUUUGGUGGCGUUUCCCAACAUAUGGGUGAUAAAAGGGGCCUUCAAGGUGUUGAUAAAGAGCAUCGUGGUUUCUUUUUCUAGAAGCAGCGGAUGAACUUGUAUGGCCACUUCUCUCCAUCUUUGUGCGUACUGUCUGAAACUUUCAUUCGAUUUCUUCUCCAUAUUCUGGAGAGUGAUCCUGUCGGGGGUCAUGUCCGUCAUAUGAUUAUAUUGUUUCAUAAAGGCCUAAGCCAGGUAUUUCCAUGAAUUAAUUUUAGCUCGGCUCAAUUGGUUAUACCACUUAGAUGCCGCCCCAACCAGACUGUCCUGAAAACAGUGAAUUAAUAGUUGGUCAUUGUUGACAUAUCCCGUCAUUCGCCUGCAAAAUAUCGUGAUGUGAGCUUCAGGGCAGCUCGUUCCAUUGUAUUUCUCAAAUUCAGUCAUUUUGAAUUUGGGGGGAGGGGAAGGACCAAGUCUGGGACCAAACUCAGGUCCUUAGCAUCAAUCCCUUGAUGAUUAUCUGCGUAUUCCAUAGCUCUGAAUUUCUCCUCCAGCCAUUUACAACGUUUUUCUAAUUGUUUUUGCGAUUCUACCCUUGCCUUUUCUUCUUCUGCAACUUCGUCCAAAUCGGGAAUAGGCGGAUAACUCGAGUUAUUAACAAGGUUAGAGCCUGAACCGGCUUGGAAAUUCAUUGGUAUCGAAGCUCCAGCCUGAAUCUACUGAGGCAUGAUCGUAACAGAUGGUUUUUGUAGAUUAAUCUUGGGCUUCAUCGGUACAUGUGUCAGUGUGAAGCCAGGGGAUUGAGGAUCUUCAUUAGUUUCCUCAACAUUGUCCAUGGGGCCCUUUCCCUUAUCCGUUCUUCCCAUCAGCAAUUGGGAUAACUGACUCAUCAUUUCUCUUUGGGAUUCCAUCAUUUGCUCCUUCAUCUCUCGCUGAAUUUUGGUUAGCUGCUCUUGCAUCUGAGACUGCAUUUGUUCCUGCAUGUCCUUUUGCAUUUGCUCCAAUUUCUCAAGUCUUUUAUCCAUUGACUUUUUCCUUGUACCGUAGGGGUGCAUAGUUGGUUGGUUUUCGUUGGUUUCCAGGUUACUGUAAUGAUUUUUAAUUAAUUAGAAACCUUUUAUGACCUUUAAUGCAUAAUGAUGUGAUGUAAUGCAAAUGCAUGAAUGCAAAUGAGGCAUCAAUUUUAAUUCAAUUCCCUUUAGAAAACUUCACUAGAAAAUAAAAUUCUUUUACAUAAAGUUGAGUUACAAAUAAAAUUUUGCUCUAAUGCUUAAAGUCUUAAUUUUCCUAAGCAACGAAACCAGCUCUUUUCCGUGAUCUGACCCCAACCCGUACUUCAUGCUCAGUGUGUCCGCCUGUACCGCUAAAGCUUGCAAGUAGUCAGCUACCUCCCGGAUCUGGGUUAUAGCUUCCCCCAUAAGGUAAUCCCUGUUUCUGACUUGGUCUUGCGCAUGGUGAAGCUGCUCUUUCUAACGGUCCUCAUUUGUCUCGAAAAACUGAAUCCGCAUCUUAUAAUUUUGCAGUGACGCCUCUAAUUCUUCUAUAUUUCCUUUCAUUUCUUCUAUCUUGCUCAAGCUUGCUCUCAAUUCCAUUGCGAUGUUGCGGUUUCGGUACUGAUGAAGAGACUUCUUGAGUUCUGCCACUCUAGCCUUUAAUUCACCUCGCUCAUUUCUGUUUUCUGAUAGACUCUUCUCUAAAUCUUCAUUUCGUGCCUGAGCUUUUUAGAAAUUCCUUUCCCAUCGGUCUGCUUUGGUUUUUUCUUCUCGAAUUUCAUGGCGCCAUUUUUCGGAAGUUUUACCUAACCUCGCAGUCCUCAUAGACAGGCGUAGCUUCUUAUAAUCAGUCUUCAAGCUGUCUAGAUCUUCUUCGGCCUUAGUUUUCCUUUUUCUCCACUUCUCAGCCUCUGACCUCUGUACAUCAGUGACUAAUCUCAAGUGCAUCUUCUCUUCCUCCAAUUGUUCGAUCUUUUUCCCAAGCUCUAAACUCUUCUUCUCGAAAUCUUACUUUAUAAUUUCCAACUCUAACGGGGCAACUUGUAAUUGUUCCACCUUAGGUCAAGUAUUUUCCAAGCUUGGCCUAGGAACAUUAUCAUUAACCCUCUUCUUGAACCAUCCAUCAUACUCGGGUGUCACCAUGAAAUCGACAGCCAACCUCUUUAUCCAACGAGUUUGCUUCCAAGCAUCCGAUAGCUCCCAAACUUUCUUCUUAUAGUGAGCACCUUUAAAGAAGAAUUCACACUGAGCAAGUUCGUAGGUCGUGGGUACAAACUACCUCGAUUUAUAUUGCCUUAACGCAAGUAAUGGAGUAUACCCAGUAGCUCCCCAAAUUCCUAACAACGGUACCCAAUCAAAGUCCCCACAUCAAUACAUGUUCUCAUCAGGAACCAUCCAAUAAGCUCUCCAUUCUAUAUCCCCCUCAUUGAGGUUUUGGAUGAUUUCCAUCCACUUCUCCUCUAGGAUAUCCUCUCUCCUUUGUAUGGCCGCCUCCUCUUUUAACGGGGAAUAACCUUCGGAAAAGACCUGAUAAGAAACCUUGUCUACCUUCCAAGAGUGCCCAUGAAACUACACCAUCAACAGUUGUGCACAUCCAAUAAACCGCCCCUCAGCUGUCUUCCGACACGUGCUCAAGGACCUAAACGUCUCAGCCAAUAUUGCCGGUACAGGUGUGAUUCCCUUCUCAAGGCGAUCGAAUAAGUUAAUGACUGCCUCGUCCACGUGCCUCAAAUCCUUAGGAAAAAUUACAAAUCCGUAGAUGCUUAAGGUGAAUAUAUCGACCCUCUUUCUUUCAUCUAGAUGCGUCAAAAUCAAAUCUUACAAAUUCUCCCAAGGGAUACAUUUACUAUCUCCUUUUUGUUGAAUCCGAGCAGUGACCCAAGUCUCGCUCAUUUCUGAAAUGUUCAUCAGUUUUUUCACGAAAGUCUGACCAUUAAAAACCCUGGCAUAAGUCUUUCUAACUUGAAUUUUCGGACAGCUGAGCAAGGUAGUGUAUUCCUCCAUGGUAGGUACUAAAUCCACUUCUCCAAAAGUGAAACACUUGUAAGCAGAACUCCAAAACUGAACCAUAACUCGGAAUAGAUGCUUAUCCACUCUAAUGUCUAGCAAGUAGGAUAUAUCACCAUAGCUUUGAUAAAACAACUGUUUGGUCGCUUCAUCCCAAUGAGCCCAUAUAUCUCUCAACUCUUGCAACUCAUUCUGUGCUACAUUAACGCGAGUGAAUUCUUGCAAUUCUGAUAUAUACCCUUCUACCAAGCUAUCCUCUUUCUCCGAUUGUAACUUCUCUAACCAUGUGCGGACGACGACAUUAUCCUCGACUUUACUAAGAAAUUCAUUCUCCAUGUCAAACUUUCUAACUUAGUAAUUGAAUACGAAUCAACACCUCAUUUAGUAUGCAAUGUCAUGCAAAACACAAUCAAAACAAAACACAGGUUAGUAUCAAAUAAUAGUGAUGAAAUGCAAGCACAUAAAUGAUAAUUACAACAUGUAUACGGGUAAAUACUAAGGCUUGAUGCGGCUCUACCCAAGGAUAGCUCUUAAGGUUCACUAUAUGUGGUUCGGUUCUAGAGAUAAGGUACCCGAACUAGCAGAGUCCUUAAUCUUCACCCAUUAUAGGCUCAUAUAGAUCGAGUUCGGUUUAGGGGGAUACAUUUCCCUAUGACCAUGUGGAGAUGAAAAUCUCACGAAAUCAUAGGUACGGAUGUACCCCGGAAGCAAUCCACUAGCCCAUGCGGAGGUGAAAACCUCACGAAAGCAUAGUCUCUUACUCCCACUUAGAAGGUGUGACCACAGCGGUCAUGCAAUGAAAAUGCAAUAUUAUACUACAAGACCCGAAUCAUGGCAAUCAUACAAACAAAUGCAAUUAUGAUUUUCAAAACAAAUUUUCAAUAUUUCGACAAAAGGACAACAAAUAAUCGAUUUCAUGGCUAGACUCUUUUAUCAAAUCCCUAGCGGAGUCGCCAAGCUGCCGAAAUCAUUUUUUUAAAAAUAAUGUUAAAUUUAAUGAAAAAAACGAGAAUCGACUUUUUGAAAAACGAAAAUGGAGUCGCCACUGAUCUUUUUGUUUUGGUGUGAUCGGAUCACCUAAGAAUUUGGUUAUUUUAAUAAAACAUUUUUGGUUUACUAAAACAACGAUUUUGGUCUACGAACUUUUAAGAAAACGGGUUCGGGAGUCGGUUAUGCAUGAGGAAGGAUUAGCACCCUCACUACGCCCAAAAUUGGUACCAAAUCGAUUAAAUAUUGUCCUUAUGUCUAAGAUUUAAAAAUGUUUUUGAAAUGGGAUUCCCUUUUGAUAACGUUUGAAUAACCUGGGUUGGUCAUCAAAAUUCUCUUGCUUAAAAGGAAUACAGCACCACAUCCAGCACGAUACGACAUGAUCCUUUAUGCCCUCGAAAACAUGAUAAAUUUUGACUUCCAAAAAUUUAUACGUUGAAAACCGCAAAAGGAUGCCCAAUUAUUUAGUCCAACGAGAAAAUCGAAACCCAGCAUAGUAGGGCACGACUCCUCGAAUUUCUAGAUAUCAGACAUUGCCUUAUUUUAGAAUUUAGAGAGUAUGAGUGAAAUUCUAAAGGAAUCUUCGAUCAUUUUGGACAAACGAGAAAUUGCAACCCAGCACGAUAGGGCACGAUUCCGUGAAUUGCCAAAUAUCGAACAUCGCCUUCGUUUAAAGAAUUUUUAAAAGACAUGAGUGAAAUUCUAAAGGGACCUUCGAUUAUUUUGAACAAACGAGAAAUUGCAACCUAACACGAUAGGGCACGAUCUCGCGAAUUGCCAAAUAUCGAACAUCGCAUUUGCUUAAAGAAUUUUUAAAUGAAUAAUUAUAAAACUAGCUUAAAACGCAAUAAUUCGACUUGAAAUAAAACGGAAUUAAUUUUAAAGAUUUGGACCUUAUAAAACCAAAUUUCGUAAACCAAGUGGAAAACCAUGAUAUGGGAUAAUACACACAUACGAUACAAUGCCAAUUAACAAACUAAUAAUCAAGCAAGGCUAAUCUAAGACGAAUGUAAUCGAACUUCUAAACAUGGAUGGAGCAAUUGAUAUAACAAUAAAAUGAAUAAAUAAUAUACAACGAUAAUAUACAUAGAAUAAUAAAAAGCUAUCAAUGCAAGAUGUAUAGAACAAAGUAACAAUUUGAAGUUAAUGUGAUAUAAGACAUUUCUUAAAACAAUGACGAAUAAAUGAACACAUAAUAUAUAAUGUUGACAAAUUUGCAUAAAAACUAAGGAUAUAUAAUUUUUGAAAUAGAUAUCAUAGAAUAAAAGUUUGAAUCAAAUUGCAUGAAAAAUAUUCUAAACACAAAUUCAUUUAAAAGUUGACAAAGUACAUGAUAAUUUGAAUAAUAUAUAUAAUACGAAAGAAAAAUAAAGGUACAUAACAAUACAUAAUACACAAAAUAGAUUUAUAAAACAUAUGUACAUGUAAAUUUAUUGUAAAAGAUCAUGAGAUUAAUAAUAAUAUAUAUAAAAAUUUUAAGUCAGUGUAGAAAUUAUAUACAUACCCUUAUAUCAAAAACAUUUAAAUAAGAGGCUAUAAAAAACACAAAAGUAAUAUAAUAUAAAGAAACAUUCAAAAAUAAUAAUUUUAUAAUUUCAAAGAUGAAGUUUUUAAAAUAGUUUCAUAUAUACAUAAAGAAAAUACUUGAUAAAUCAUAAAGCAAAAAGUGUUUUAAAUAAAAAAUCUAUUAAAGUAAUAAGUGUAUUAAUAUGUAUACAUAUAAAUUUAAAAGCAAGUACAUGUAAAAUAACAUAGAAAUGAUAACCUGUAUAGGACUAAAUUAAUUUUAUUAUAAAUUACACAAUAGAUUAAAUACGGAUAGAUUAAAUAUAUAAAGAAAAAAUAUAUGUAUAAAAUACACGAGUUUAAUAACGUAUAGAUUAAAUACGGAUAUCCAUAAAUGUAUAUACAUAUAUGAUAAUAGCUUAAAAAAUAUAUAUUAUGUAGGAUUAUAUAAUAAAAUACAAGAAUAAAUUUAAAAGAAAUCAUGUGCGUAAAAUGAUAUAAGGUUAAUAAUAUAUAUAUAAAAUAAAAUUAACUUUAAUACAAAGUAUAUGUAUAUAUAUAUUAAUAUUUAAACAAGAGGUUAUAUAAGAGUAUUAAAAUAGCUUAAUGCAAAAAGAAUUUUAAAAUGAUAAUUUUAUUAAGCAAAAUAAAGUUGUGCACAUACAAAUAUAUAUAUAGCAAUAAAUAAUAUUGUACAGAAUAUUAAAAUGAAUCAACACAUGUUCAAACAUUAAACAUAUUGUAAAAUAAUAGGCUAUACUAAUAGGAGAUUAAAUUAAAAUUUAAUUAAAAUAAGAGGGGUAAUUUGAAAAUAAAGCAGUAACAAUAAAAGGACACGCGCAAAUGUGUAGGGACUCAAACUGGAAAUAAUCCAGCCCUCAAAACGCAGUGAUCAGCUGCGGAUCCAUUUGCAAAAGAGUGUGAAUUACAGGGAUAAUUUAAAAAAAAACAAAAGAAGCACAGAUAUGAGCUGAUUUGAACACGGCGCGAAAAGGGAGGGACUCAUAUAUCAAAUAACCCAUCUGAAGCACAAAGGCGCGGGUUCGGGUCCUGGAACGGGUCGACGCGCGGAUCCCUUUCCCCCCAGAACGGUGCCGUUUCGUUAUAUGCUUAAAAAUUGAAGAAAAUGAAUGGCCUUUUGCCAUUUUUUGAGCCAUAAACCAAAGACCCAAGCAUUAGGGUUACAGCACAGCAGAUUUUAAUGCUUUCCCAUCCCCUUUCCAUUCGGCCGAAUUAGGAGACCUUUAGACUGCCGUUUGGCCUCUAUGUCUAGCCGACGGUCAUCACUUGAAGGCCCAAUCUAGCUCCGUCCAACCGUGGAUCCAAGGUUUUUGCUCCAAAGCUUCAAAGUCCUCGCCUAAACUUCGAUUACAACGAAGUAGCUAGGAUUCGAAGGAGCCAAAUAUGAAGGUAAAUCUCUUUUCCUUACUCUUUUUCUUUUUAAAAACGAAUAUCAAUCAUGAAGAAAAGCAAAAAGAAAAAUGAAUGAGAUGCUAGAUUUAAAACAAUCACCUUUUCAAUUCGUGAUUUCUACUUUGUUCUAUUUGAUAUCUUUUUGUAUGUGUUUUUUCGUAAAAAAAGAAGGGGCUUUUACAAUCGAAAAAUGAAAGGCUUUAUAGCCGAAUCAUCAAAAUAAAAUAAUAAACACAAUUUUCUUUUUCUUUUUUCGUAUUGGCUUGUUGCUGCUGUUGUUUGUCUGUUUCUUCGUAGGUACGGAGUGUGCCUGGCGCGAGUACGAGGGCUGGGCUGGCGUACGGAGGCGCGGGUGUGGCUGCUAGAGGGUACGGAGGCUGGGGCUGCUGCGGCUCAAGCAGAGACUACUAGGGUUCUGCCUUGAUUUUUUUGUUUUUGGGCUGUAGGAUAUUUGGGUCUAGGUUUGGGCUUGUAAUAAGUUUGGGCUAUGUUAAGGUAUUUGGGUCAUUGUAAUAACUUUGGGCCUUGGACUGUUUCUAUUUUUGUUUGGGUUUUAUAUUUAUUUGUUUGUAACGGGCUGGGCAAAUUUGGCCCACUACAGAAAUGAUAUGUUCUUCAUAUUUUAAUAAAAAUUAAUUAAAUGUAUUUAUAUAAGGGUAACAUAUACAUAUAAUUCAAUUAUAAAAUUUUUUAUUUUAUUCACUCAAAAUAAAAAAUUUGUAAUUUGAGUAAUCACGUUACAUAAUUUGAUUAUUUUGAUAAUUCUCGUUAAAAUCACAAAUAGUAAACUAACAUAAUAGUUAAAAAAAUCGGUAUAAUAACAAAUUUAAUUUUCAAUUUUUAUAUAAUAUAUUGAUUUAGUGAUAAAUUUUUUAAAAAAGUUAUUUCCUAAUAUUUACAAAUGUUCUGAAUUUGAUUUUAAUUUUAAAAAAUGCAAAGAAAUAUAAAAUGCAUAAAUAUAUUUGAAAAUAUAAUAAAAAAUUAAAAAUAUAUAAAAAUAAAAAAUUUAUUGUUAGACAAAAAAUAAUAAUAUAUAAAAUUUAAAAACACAUAAAUAUUUUUAAAAAAUAUAUUUAAAUUUUAUAUUAAUAUUAAUAUUCUUAUUAUAAAAAUAAUUAUAUUAAUAUUAAAUAAAUAAAUAAAAACCCCACCGCCACCCCUCUCCCUCUCCCCCACACCCUAUAUACUCCAUUUCUCUCUUCAUUUUCUAUCUCUUUCCUUCAGACCUCUUUAUAGCAAUUGAAAAAAAUAAUUUUCAUGUCGAAUUUUUUUUUUUUUUUUUGGUCUUGAAAGGUAGUCUUUAGUUGGUGGAGUCAUUAGAUUCUUAUGUGUUCAAUAUGUACAAUAAGAAGAAAAAAAAAUGAAGCAUUCAACUAAAAUUGCUAUCUUGAGUGCUCAUUAGAAUUUCAUUGUUGGUGUUCUUGGAAUGAUGCUUUGUCUAAAGCCCGAAGUUUUGGAUGAAGAUCAUCAUCCUCAAAGUCGUAAUAGUAAUACCACCAAUGGGAAUGAGAACAGGAAUUGCAAUGGUGGUAAUAAUGAGGGUUUUAUUCUACCAAUCAACUGGUAGGUCCUCAUUUACUGCUUAUGUUUUUUUCUUUUCUUUUUUCUAAUGGCGAAUGCAGUAUGGUUGAUGGUUUUGCAGGGGAAACUCUAUUAAUCGGUAUUUACAAUGAAAAAAUGGUAAGGUUUGGAGUAGGUCAUUUUCAACUGGGAUGACUUUCGUAACUCUUGUUCCGAGUUGGAGGUAAUUUGCAUAAGAUAAUUUUAUGGUGGCUAUUUUUUAUAAAAAUAAUAUAAAAAAUAAUUAAUUACGAAAAUUAUAUUGGAUUUAGAUUAUUUAUGUAAAUGAGAUACUUUUUACAGUAAUUUAAGAUGUUACUUGACAUAUUAACGACACUAAUAAACUUUAAAAUAAAUAUUUUACAGGAAAAAAAUUGAAAAAAUUAAAAAAAUAUUUUUAAAUUGAUGGGAACCCCUUAAUUAAAUUAAAAAAAAAGACUUGAUUUCCUCUCUUUAAAUAUUGGUUUGGCAAAUGGAAAUUAGGAAAAAUACAUUAAAAGCUUGAGAAGUAGAAAUGAUUUUAAGAAUGAAAUGUAAGCAUUAAAUGCAGGUUUGUCUGGUGUUGGAAUCAUAAACUAAUUUUCUUCUUCACUUUUUCACAUUUUUUUCCAAUUAGACUUUUUUUUUUAAAAUUUACUUGUACCAACAAUGUGUCUAAUGAUACCAUAAAAUUUAUUCUUUUUCUUUUCACUUUUUUAACUUUCUUUUCAUCAAACUUUUUUUUUAAAAAAAUUAUAGGUACCGUAAUGUGUAGUAACUUCUCAACCCGGAAUUCCGCCUGAGGAAGCAGGGGCUGUGGUAGUUGCUGAAUCUUCUACUAGUACAUGGACAACCGUGUGGACCGAUGGGCUUACCAGCCUUGAUCGUUACAAAGGGCGAUGCUACCACAUUGAACCCGUUCCUAGAGAAGAAGAUCAAUAUAUAUGUUAUGUAGCUUGCCCUUUAGACCUUUUUGAAGAAGGUUCUACUGAUAAAGCCCUGUGCGCUCUACGUCUAGAGGAUCUGCGAAUCUUUACUGCUUAUAUUAAAACUUUCCAAGGCCCGUCUCAUAGCAUCUAGGUUGAAAGAGAUAAAUUGAAUAAGGAUAGUCGCAUCCUAUUAGGAUGUACUAUUAAACCUAAAUUGGGGUUAUUCGCUAAUAACUACGGUAGAGCAGUUUAUGAAUGUCUACGUGGCGGGCUUGAUUUUACCAAAGAUGAUGAGAAUGUGAACUCCCAACCAUUUAUACGAAGGAGAAACCGUUUCUUAUUUUGUGCCGAAGCAAUUUAUAAAUCACAGGCUGAAACAGGUGAAAUCAAAGGGCAUUGACACCCAAAGUUCUUGUUGAAAACAUUUUAUUUUCAUAAAUAAUCAAAAUUCAAUAUAUUUUCGUAAUUAAUUAUUUUAAGAAAAAAACCUUUUAUGUUUCAUAAUUUAUAGCAGUAGCAGCAAAGAGGGAGAUGGAAGGUGGGAGGGACGAUGGUGGGGUGGGGGAAUUUUUAUUUUAUUUGAUAUUAAUAUUAUUAUAUUUAUUUAAUAAAAUAUAAAUAUAAAUAUAAAAUUUAAAUUAAUUAUUAUAAAUUUAAAAAAUAUUUAUUUAUUUUUAUAUUUUUUAAAAAUAUUUAUCUAUUUUUAUAUAUUUUUAAAAUUUAUUGUUGUUUUUCUGAAAAUACUUAUGCAUUUUUAUAUAUAUAUAUAUUUUUUGAAUUUUUUAGAAUUAUGAUCAAAUUGAAAUUAUUUGUAAAUUUUGAGGGUUAAUUUUUUAAAAUUAUGACUAAAUUGAUAUAAUAUGUAAAACUUGAAAGCUUAAUUUGUUAUUAUAUCGAUUUUAAUUGUUAGGUCAGCUUGUAGUUUGUGAUUUUAACGAGAGUGAUCAAAAUGACUGAACUAUAUAACGUGAGUGCUUAAAUUGUAAACUUUUUAUUUUAAGUGCCUAAAGUAAAAAAAAAUUGAUAAUUAGGUGACUAUCUCUGUGUAAUUUACUUUUUGUAUAAUGAUAAAUUACGAUAAACUUCACAAAUUGUCCCUAUAUAUAUAUAUAUAAUCUCAAAAAUGAAUGAAUUGAUCUCUUCAAGAAGGACUUAUGUAGGGGGCUUGAAAUUAAAUUUUGUGUUUAAUUAAGAGAACUUUUAUAAAUUUCGGAUGGUUUAAUUAAAAUUUUGAUAAAAUUUAAGUGUUAACGAGAGAUUUAAAAAAAAUUAGGGAAACCUAAUUAUUUUUUGAAGAAAAAUUGAAAGACUUAAAAGACAAAUUUAAAAAAUUUCAUAUAGAUAUAAAUUUGCAGAUUCCAAGAAUAUAUAACAAGACAAAGUUUCUAUGAGGCAGUGGGUUAUGAGUUAUAUUAUUUCUGCAAUCAUGCCGAUGCUCACUACAUUCAUGUGAAAUGCAUCAUGGAUUGCAUACAGAGCUUGAAUUCUGUACAGGUUGAGAGAUGCCUCCCAACAUUGGUUAAUAUUCUUCAUAAAUUUGACCCUUAACACCAAAUUCCCAACCAACUUAAAAUUGUUGGCAAAAUGUCUUUUUAUUGAACCCAUCAACUUCAUGGGCAGUGAAACACAAAGGCAAACAUCAUAAAUCUAUCUUAACUUCAAUGUCUCCUCCUAAUAAAAACAACAACAAAGCAUUUUCAAUGAAACAAAUUAAUCAGAUCCUCAAACAUUGCAGUAUUGAAGCAAUUUCAUAUCUUUUAAUUCUAUUAAUGUAGAGAAAAUAUACAGAGACAGUAGCUAAUAUGUUACUAUCAGGAUAAGUGGGUUAGUGAUGUCUACGAACCCAUUCCAUUGGGUUCUGCAACCAGGUUUCAAUGCUCGUAUUAGUGAGUUUUCCGAACCCUUUAUUGCUUAAAGUUUAUAAGAGUUGUUUGUCAAGCCAAGCUGUGAUAUCUGUGAAAACGAUCUCGAUGCUUUCAUCGGGCUCACCCGAUGUCAAGCCAUGCCACAUCCCUGGAUACAGUUUUAUGGUUUUGUCACUGCUGCUUGAUUUCUCAUUAAAGGCCUUGCUUACUUCAGGAUCUGUUACUAUAUCUGCUUCCCCGUGCAACACAAAGAAGGGGAGUGUCACCUGCAAAAAACCAUUCCAACCGACCCAUAUAAAUGUAUAAAUGAAUGAAAGAAAUUGACUCAUUCCAAGAUCUUACGACUCGGAUGAGUGUCGGAUACGGAGAUUAAUACAUAGAUGAGACAGGAGCCCAAAACACAUAAAACAUAUACAAGCAAUUUUUUUGCAAUGGGGAGGGGAUUAAGAGGAGAUGAUUAUUUAACCUCAUUUUAACGACGUUCAAGGCUUAUGCUAGUUCUGAGCAUUUCCAGGGCUGUUUUGAGUCUAGGCUUGUCUUGGUAUAUUAACUUAUUUUUCCUUAUCUGCAUCAACCAUAAAUUAAAAGAGACAGCCCUGAGCUGUAUAUGCAAUUAAAUCAUUUAAAAUCAAAUAAACCAAUUCAAGCAACCAUGAGACUUGAACAAGAACAAGAGGAAUUGAAUGUCGUAACUGUUUCUCGCUUAAUAGGGUCCUUGAAUGCCGUGUCAAUGACAUUUUUGGUUGGUACGAUCUUCCAUUUUGGUAUAAUUUCUUCCACUUUCGUCAACAUAUUCACCACCAUUGGAUGUGGCUUCACUUCCUCAGAUAUCUAUAACAAAAUUUUAAAGCUAAAGAUUAUAUACAUAUUUUGAUUAACUAUAGUUCAAGUACGAGUAGUCCCGAUUUCAUAAAAGGUUAAAAAUGGUACUUAUAAAGGACUCGCCAAAUGAAAUUAUUAAUGAGAAACGAAUUAUGAUAUUUGUCAGAAUGUUAAUAAGUACUUAACCAACUAAACCAACCCAGAUUGGUUGUACAUAAAUAUCUAUCCAUAUCAUAUAAACCCUGCCUUAUAGUCACCCUAUACAUACUAAGACCUCAUUAUACAACUCCAAAAGCACCUUUUAUAUACACUUUUAAAGGAUAAGAACAAGAGGCAACUCUCCCCCACUUUUUCUCUUCUUAAUCACAAGAAAACCCAUGUUGGGGGACUCAUGGAGAUCUCAUCUCUCCCUUUAAGAAGCUACAAGCUUCUUAAUCUUUUUUGCCACACUUUCAAGACCCUUCGGUCAUACAACUCUCUACCCUCUAAUUUGAAACAUCUUCAAACCCCCCAAAUCCAAAUAUUAAUGCAACAAGAACAGCACAACUCCAAAGAGGGAUCAUUUUUAUGCACUAACAUUACCACUACACCUCCAAAGUUAGAGCAUGCCAUCGAUCUCAUAAAAAAAACUAAAAGUGAUACUUACAAAUCACCCGUUGUGAAAAAAUAAAAUAAAAUAAAGAACACAAAUUUUACGUGGAAACCCUUUCGGGAAAAAAUCACGGGCAGAAGAGAAGAAAAAUUCACUAUGUCGAAAAAUUUGAAUCAAAUACAAGAGGAAUAGACUAUGUCUAUUUAUAGGCUUGCAAAGCCAUAUUCUAGUAGGAUUGAAACACCUUAUCCUAAUCAAUAUAAAAUAGAUGGAGUUUAAUAAGAUUUAAAAAUCUUAUUCUAAAAUAAAUAAAAGAAGUCUAGUUCUAUAUGGAUUUUACUUUUAUUUUAUUUUCCAUCGUAUUUUAUUUAAAUAAGAAUUUGGGUCACUUAAUUCUAACAACCUCCACCUUGACACAAAUUCUCAAUGAACGAGUUCUUCAUCGCGAACUUUCAAUAAACAAGUUCUCCACCUCUUCCAUAAAACCCCUUGUUUAACUUCAACAAUGAACACCAACCAAGUCUAAGCAAUGCUCAAGCUUGGUUAUAGGAAGUGACUUAGUCAUCAUAUCUGCAGGAUUUUCAUGAGUACUAAUUUUGCUCACAACAAUAUCACCACGAGCAAUAAUAUCACAAACAAAAUGAUACCGAAUAUCAAUGUGUUUUGUUCUCUCAUGAAACAUUUGAUCUUUUGUAAGAAAGAUGGCACUUUGACUGUCGCAAAAUACUGUGCUGAUUUGAAGGUCUUCAUUGAGUUCACUAAAUAGUCCCUUCAACCAAAUAGCUUCUUUACAAGCCUCAGUAAUCGCCAUGUACUCAGCUUCAGUGGUAGACAAAGUGACUGUAGUUUGCAAAGUGGCUUUCCAACUAAUUGCACAACCUCCGAUUGUAAAGACGUAACCUGUGAGAGAUCUUCUUUAGUUCUUCCAAACUGUAAGCAAACAUCAGUAGUGCCUCGUAAGUAUCUUAAAAUCCACUGAACUGCUUUCCAAUGUUCUUUACCGGGAUUUUCCAUAUAUCUGCUAACUGCACUAACUGCAUAUGAUAAAUCUGGACGUGAACAAACCAUAGCAUACAUGAGAGAUCCCACUGCACUAGAGUAUAGAACAUGUGACAUGUACUCAAUCUCAUCAUCUGAUUGAGGAGACAAGGCCGAUGAAAGUCUGAAAUGGGAUGCUAAAGGAGUACUAACAGGCUUAGCACUCUGCAUAUUGAACCUACAAAGAACUUUCUCAAUGUACCCCUUCUGACUUAGGUACAAUUUACUUGCUUUUCUAUUUUUGAGAAUCUCCAUACCAAGUAUCUUCUUUGCUGGUCCUAAAUCUUUCAUCUCAAAUUCUUCACGUAGUUGGGCUUUAACCUUUCUUAUCUCUUAUUUAUCUUUUGCUGCUAUCAACAUGUCAUCAACAUAAAGAAGUAGAUACACAAAAGAACCAUCACUAUUUUUCUUAAAGUAAACACAACUGUCUAAACUACUUCUUUUGAAAUCAUAAGAAGUCAUAAAGGAAUCAAACUUCUUGUACCACUGUCUUGGUGACUGUUUCAAACCGUAAAGGGACUUUCUCAGCAAGCAAACAUAGUCCUCUUUUUCUGAGACUAUAAAACCCUCUGGUUGUUGCAUGUAAAUAUCUUUCCUCAAGUUCUCCAUGCAGAAAUACAGUUUUUAUAUCUAACUGCUCAAGCUCCAAAUCAUGCAUGGCCACAAUACCAAGCAAAGCUCGAAUCGAACUAUGCUUAACAACUGGAGAGAACACAUCUGUGAAGUCCACUCCUGGAAUUUGACUGUAACCCUUUACAACAAGCCUUGCUUUAUAUCUGGGUUCUUCAACUCCUAGAGUCCCUUCUUUCUUUUUAAACACCCAUUUACAACGAACAACCUUUUUACCUUUAGGAAGUUUCACAAGGUCCCAUAUUCUGUUUUUGUGGAGUGAUUCCAUCUCUUCUUGCAUAGCAAACAUCCACUUUUCUGAGUCUUCAUAGCUAACCGCCUCAAAAUAAUUAGAUGGCUCUUGAUUCGCAUCUAUAUCUUUAGUCACAUUUAAAGCAUAAGCAACUAGAUCAACCUCGGCAUACUUCUUUGGAGGUUUAAUUUCUCUUCUAGUUCUGUUUUUGGCGAUAGAGUAUUGUGGUGAAGAAGCAACUCUAUUCUCAAUUUUUGUUCUGGCUUGAGGAGUUGACUCUGUAUUAAUCUGAUGCUCCACCUGCUUUUGAUUUUCUUUAUUGGAAGAGUCUUUAAGAGAUAAGUUAGGUAGCAUAGCAGUUUCAUCAAAAACAUCUCUGCUAAUCACAACUUUUAUAUUUUUAGGACACCAUAACUUAUACCCUUUUACACCAGUUUUAUAACCAAGAAAAAUGCAUUUAAUAGAUCUCGGUUCCAAUUUUCCAUUAUCAACAUGAGCAUACGCAGGACACCCAAAAAUCUUUAAAUCAGAAUAAUUAGCAGGAUUACCAGACCAUACCUCUUGUGGAGUCUUUUUCUCAAUGGCAACGGAUGGAGAUCGGUUGAUAAAAAACAUGCAGUAGAGGCUGCUUCUGCCCAAAAUGACUUUGGUAAGUUGGCAUUUGACAACAUACAUCGAACCUUCUCUAUGAUCACUCUGUUCAUUCGUUCUGCAACGCAAUUUUACUGUGGAGUAUGACGAACUGUCAAGUGUCUCAUGAUCCCUUCUGACUUGCACAAUCUAUUAAACUCAUCAGAACAUUUUAUCUGUUUUCCCGUCUGUUUUUCAAUCAUAAUUUUCCAAGACUUAAAUGCGGAAAACACAUCGCUUUUCUUCUUCAGGAAGAACGCCCAAACUUUUCUGGAAAAACCAUCAAUAAAGGUUAGCAUAUAAUUAGCUCCACCUCUCGAAGGCACUCUAGAUGGCCCUCACAGAUCAAAAUGAAUAUACUCCAACGUUCCCUUCGUGUUAUGGAUUCCUCUAGUGAAUCGAACUCCCUUUUGCUUCCCAAAAACACAGUGCUCACAGAAAUUCAGUUUGCAAAUUCCUUGCCCAUUAAGAAGUCCUCUUUUGCUUAAUUCUGCCAUGCCAUUCUCACUCAUAUGCCCUAGGCGCAUAUGCCAAAGUUUAGUAAUAUCAUCAUCUGACAAGGAAGAGGAAGCGACAGCUGCAUCACCAGUAAUAGUAGAACCCUGUAAAACAUAUAACUUGGCAAUAUUUCUCUGCCCUUUUAUCACAACAAGGGACCCUUUGGAAAUCUUUAAAACCCCACUUUCAGCUGUGUAUCUAUACCCUUUUGAAUCAAGAAUACUCAACGAAAUUAAAUUUCUUUUCAAUUCUGGAACAUGCCGCACGUCACUAAGUGUUCUGACAACUCCAUCAAACAUCUUAACUUUAAUUGUUCCAACACCUGCGAUUUUACAUGAAGCAUUAUUUCCCAUCAAAACAACACCUUCAGUUACUGUUUCGUAAGUUGUAAACCAAUCCCGAUUGGGACUCAUGUGGAAGGUGCAGCCUGAAUCAAGUAUCACUCAUCGCUUACUUUAGAAUCAUUGACAGAAGCGACUAGAAGUUCACCAUCGCUGUAGUCUUCUACAACAUCAGCUUCACCAUAAUUUUCUGGUUGUUUUCCCUUUUGAUUCGCAACCUCUCUUUUAAUCUUAUUUUGUAGCUUAUAGCACUCAGAUUUAAUGUGCCCUUUCUUCUUGCAGAAGUUGCAAGUUUUACCUCUGUUUGAAGACUUCGAUCUACCCUUAGAUUUACCACGAGGAUUCCGUUCCUGUGUCCUACCACGAUUAUCAUCAGCAUUCCGAUCUUGUCUCCCACGAACAAUGAGACUCUCUCCUUGAGAGUCGGGUUUAACCACAAGAUGCUUCAUCUUAUCAUACGAGGUUAAAGAAUCAUAAACCUCAUCAACUGUGAGAGACUCGCGGCAAUAUAAAAUCGUGUCUCUAAAGGUUGAAUAAGACGGGGGCAAUGAACAAAGUAGAAUCAACCAUAGAUCUUCCUUAUCAUACUGAACCUCCAUGGCCUCCAAGUUUGAGAGAAUUUCUUUAAACAUUGUUAAGUGUUCGUGUACAGAUGCACCUUCCUCCAAACGAUGAGCAUAAAGACGCUGCUUCAUAUGCAACUUGCUUGUUAUAGUUUUCGACAUACAUAUUUGUUCUAGCCUCUUCCAUAAUGCAGCGGCAGUUUUCUCUUUCAUCACAUCCUGCAAAAUUUCGUUGGACAAAUGCAGAUGUAAUUGUGUUAAUGCCUUUCGAUCCUUACGCUUCUUCUCUUCAUCUGUUAAUGUCGAAGGCAUCUUAUCUAUCCCUAGCAGGGCAUCCUCCAGAUCCAUCUGUGCAAGAACUGCUUGCAUCUUAAUUUGCCACAACGCAAAUCUGGUGUUGAAAUCCAACAGCGGAAUUUCAUACUUCAAAGACGCCAUUACUGUGAUACCAGUUUGUGAAAAAAUAAUAUUAAAUAAAAUAAAGAACACACAAAUUUUACGUGGAAACCCUUUCGGGAAAAAACCACGGGCAGAGGAGAAGAAAAUUCACUAUGUCAAAAAAUUUGAAUCAAAUACAAGAGGAAUAGACUAUGUCUAUUUAUAGGCUUGCAAAGCCAUAUUCUAGUAGGAUUGAAACACCUUAUCCUAAUCAAUAUAAAAUAGAAGGAGUUUAAUAAGAUUUAAAAACCUUAUUCUAAAAUAAAAUAAAAGAAGUCUAGUUCUAUAUGGAUUUUACUUUUAUUUUAUUUUCCAUCGUAUUUUAUUUUAUUUUCCAUCGUGUUUUAUUUAAAUAAGAAUUUAGGUCACUUAAUUCUAACACCCGUCAAAUGAGAUUAUUAAUAAGACUCGAGCCUGAUACUUAUCAAAGUGCUAACAAGUACUCAACCAACUAAACCAACCUAUAUUGACAUUAUUUUUUCUUCUUAAUGAAUUGGUGAACUAAAGAAAAAAAAAAAGGUCAUUUCUCAACCAUUUACCUUACACAUUGGUGCAACAAGAACAGCACCAUUCCAGAAAGAAGGAUCAUGUUUAUGAAGUAACAGUGCCGCUGCACCUCCCAUUGAUUCUCCAUACAAGAAUCUGCUCUUAUCCUUAUAUUCUUCCAGCUCUGUAAAAUGACAAAACCAUCGUGAUUUAAAGGAGAAAAGUUGGCUUGGUAAUUUUGUCAAACACUCGAAGAACACAUACCGCAUACAGACUUAAAGAAUUCUUGGCAGUCAUUAACGAUGUUCUGAAACUUGUUAAUGAAACAAUGAGCACCCUUGGACCUCCCAUGUCCUUCAUAAUCCACCCCAAACGCCGCAUAUCCCGCAGCAGCUAACCUGGUUCCACAUUCUGCUAUAAAAACCAUGAUAUCAGUUAACCAAUCGAUUCAUUUAGGCAAAAGUAAAAAGUAAAAUGCUUAUUUUCUUCAUGUUAAAUGGUAUAAUUGGACUGUAGUCCCUCUCAAAUAUUCAUUUUAAUAUAAAAAAUUCACUUUAACCUCUUACAAAUUUUAAUUGUAUUUUGAUCAUGUAACGUAAUUCUUAGCUUCCCCCCUCAGUCCCCUCUAAUAUUACAAAGAUCUCGGUGGGGCCAGUGGUUGUCUGCCAACCCAAUCAAUAUACAGCUGACCCACAUCUUCAAAAUUUCAUAAACUUAAAAUCAUUGUCAAUGUGAUUGGUGAUCAUGUAUUAACAAAGGUCAAAUUUUGGUUUGGGUCCUUAUGUUAUGCUCAAAUGUAGGAUUUAUUCUAUACACUUUAAUUUGAAUGAGUAUAAAUUAUUAUUAAUUACUCUAAAUAUUUAUUUAUCAUUAAAUAUCGGUAGACCUUCCAACUCAUUAUGUUUACAUGAUUUUGUUUUGUGUUGGAAGGGCUUUUCUAAGAAAGAAUUACAUCAGUUUUUAAACCAAAUUAAUUAAUGAUGUUAUGAUAUUAUCAAGCAGAGAUUAAAUAUUAAAGGACCAAAACCAAAAUUUAAAUCAUUAAUAAAAAAAUUAAAUAAGUAGUCAAGCAUAAAUUAAAUUAAAAAGAAUGGAAAUCAAAAGAUUUGAGUUUUUGACACCAUAGUUUAUUGAUUUUUUAUCGGUUAAAAUAUGUUAUCGUGAUUAUAUUUGUAUAGAAUUUAAGAUUUAGUCUACAAUAAAAAUUAAGUCCUCCUAAUUUAUGAUUUAAAAAUUUCAAUCAAGUUGUUAAAAUCGUAAGUAUUUUGUGUCAAAUUUUGAAUUUUGAUUAAUCCGUCUUCAUAUGAUAUGACAUAUGAUUGAUAGAAAAAAAUCAUGAUAAAUUGACAAAUAUUGAUAGAAACUAUCAAUAAUAAUAAUGAUUGGAUUAGGAUUUUUUAUUUGAAAAAAAAAGAAAAAUUAAAUUUUUAACUUCUAAAAUACAUAGACUACCAUCAUAUUUUAACCUUUUUAUUAAAUAUUUAUUAUAUUUAGGUGUAAAUACUAUUUAGAUCCAGAUCAAUUUCAAUAAAAUAUAAUUAGUUUAUUUAAUAUUAUAGAGUAAAAAUGUGAAGUUUUGAAAAAUAACUUAUUCAACUAUUGAAAUUAAAACUAGUUUUACAAAUUCAACCUAUCGGUGUUUCUGAGGAUUUUUUUUAAAAAAAGUUAAUUAAUAUUAUUUAAUAUAAUAAUAUUUAAAAAAAAACAUUAGUUAACAAUUUCUUUAAUAAAAAUUAAAAAAAAUGGAUGGACGAAAAAUAGUGACAAAAUGAGUUUAUAUGUAAAAGGAAAAAAAAACAGGCAUUUAAGAGGUAUUUAUCACCUUUUCACUGCACUCCAUGCCAUAACCUGCAAUUCACAUUAAUGAAAUUUAAUAUUUUACACCCAUUACCCCGACUCUUUUUUUUUUCUUUUUCUUUUUCUAAUUAAUAUAGUAAUUACUAUUCUAAUUUUAAUUUUAGAAUUUGAAAUUUAAUUUUUUAUUUCACUUAAUUUCAUCAAUCUAUUUUUAUAAUGCUAUUAGCAAUAAUUGUCAUCGUUAAAGUGAUAGCAUGAAUUUUUACGAUUCUAUUAACACUAUUAAUGUUAUUAUCAACUAAUAUCUCAUAUUGUUAAUAUUUUGACAGCAUCAAUUAUCAGUAUAUGAACCUACUAAUAACAUUAUAAAAAAUAGAAGGGUUGUGGAGGGAAUUUUGAUCACUUGAGAAGAAGUCUUCAAAGUGUCAUCUCUCGAGAAUCAAUUGAUCCUCUCAACAAGAUCGGUAAUGAGCUUGAUGUUGUUCCAAUAGGGUCGGAAGCGUGUAAAUUAUUGUACUAAAAAAUCACACAAAGUUCAAUUCCCAGGGAAGAGAGGUGGAUCACAUGGAUCUCUUAAAUACCAAGUCUUUCCUUAGACAGAAUAUCCCUUCUAUAGUAAUUUAAUAGCACAAUUAAAUACUACUAUUAUACCCUCAAAUAUUGAAAGAAAAAUAGGACAAGAAAGAACACAAGAGAUUUAACGAGGUUCGGUAAAUUAUACCUACGUCCUCGGGCACUAACACCAGAUGAUAACUUUACUAUCUCCAAAGUAUUACAAACAAAUAGAAUUCCUUAAGAAUUCUCAAAUGGGAGAAGAGAGAAAACUAAGAGAGAAAAAUUGGUUGGGAUGGUUGAAAUGAAAAAUGAAAAGGCCUAUUUAUAGUUGAAGUCCAGGGACUAACUUGCAAAUGGCCUAAAAAAUUAGGGACCAAAAUUGCAAUUAUCCCAUUCAACUUUUUAACAUUCGGUGCAACUUGCUCAACCUUUUUAACAAGUUGCUUCCUACCUUUGUUGACCUUUCAACAAUCUCCACCUUGAAGAUUUGAUUAGGAUAAUCACAUCUUCACACACUUCCUUCAACUCCCCAAAUUCGAUAAAGUUAUCUUUUGUAGUGCCUCUAAAUGCGCUCUCGAGCGCCAUACACCUGUAGGUGCUCAAAUUCUCAGGAUGUUAAUCAAGCUCAAACAAUGAUUAAACUUGAUUGUUGUUACCACUUUGGUCAUCAUAUCUGCGGGAUUAUCUGCUGUCGGAAUCUUCUGAAGUAGAAUUUUUCCUUUUUCAAAGACUUCCUGCACAAAGUGAUAUCUUACGUCGAUAUGCUUGGUUCUUGAAUGAUAGACUUGAUUUUUCGCUAAAUGAAUAGCACUCUGACUGUCACAAUAUAGACUAAUGUGACUUUGAACAACUCCCAAGUCUUUUAAUAAUCCAUUAAGCCAAAUAGCCUCCUUAACAGCUUCUGUAACUGCCAUAUAUUCUGCCUCUGUAGUAGACACAGCUACUGUAGACUGUAAGGUAGACUUCCAACUCACUGGGGCUUUCGCAAGAGUAAACAGAUACCCCGUAGUUGAACGACGUUUAUCUAAAUCACCAGCAAAGUCGGAAUCAACAUAUCCAACUACAAACUGACCAAGUGCUUCAUCCUGUUCAAAAAUUAAACCAACAUCUACGGUUUUUCGAAGAUACCGUAGAAUCCAUUUCACAGCUUGCCAAUGUCCUUUUCCAGGAUCAUGCAUAUACCUGCUCACAACUCCAACAGCUUGUGAAAUGUCAGGCCUCGUACACACCAUCGCAUACAUCAAACUCCCAACUGCAUUAGCAUAUGGGACUUUCGCCAUAUAUUCUCUUUCAUCUUCAGUCUUCGGAGAUAAUUGAGUACUAAGUUUCAAAUGAGAAGCAAGUGGGGUACUUACAUGUUUUGUGUUUUCAUUUACACCAAAACAUUGUAAUACCUUUUUCAGAUAUUGCUUCUGAUUCAAACAAAGCUUGCCUCUCUGUCUAUCUCUACUUAUCUCCAUGCCGAGAAUCUUUUUAGCCUCACCUAGAUCUUUCAUCUCGAACUCUUGAUUCAACUGAGCCUUCAGCUUAUCUAUCUCAUUUUGGCUCUUCGAAGCGAUUAACAUAUCAUCAACAUACAAGAGUAGAUAAAUGAAAGAUCCGUCAUGCAGCUUCUGCAAAUACACACAAUUGUCAUAUUUGCUUCUUGUGUACUUCUGCCUUCUCAUAAAGCUAUCAAAUCGCUUGUACCACUGCCUCGGGGAUUGCUUCAAUCCAUAUAGCGAUUUGUUAAGCUUACAAACCAAAUUUCUACCACCAGCAUCUGUGUAUCCUUCUGGCUGAGUCAUAUAGAUCUCCUCUUCUAACUCACCAUGCAAGAAAGCCGUCUUAACAUCAAGUUGAGCUAGCUCCAAAUUCAACUGUGCUACCAAGGCCAACAAAAUUCUAAUGGAGGAAUGCUUCACAACAGGGGAAAAUACAUCAUUAUAGUCAAUUCCCUCCUUCUGAGUGUAGCCUUUAGCUACCAAUCUUGCCUUGUAGCGAAUAUCCUUCUUGCUAGGAGAUCCAUCUUUCUUUGCGAAUACCGACUUGCAUCCGAUUGCCCUUUUAUCUUUCGGUAAUUGCGCCAACUCCCAAGUAUUGUUCUUCCGGAGAGACUGCAUUUCUUCAUCCAAGGCGCUUUUCCAUUUAUCACUUUCUAAGCUUUGCAUUGCUUCUUGAUAAGUGAUAGGAAUAUCAUCAACAACGGGAAGGGCGUAGGCCACCAUAUCAGUAAAUCGAGCAGGUUUACGAAUUUCUCUCCGUGGCCUUGCAACUGCAACUGGUUCUGGUGUACUUAGUGGUUCUUGGGUCAGAACCUCUUCAACCUCUAAUUCCUCCAUUGUGGCUGGAGAAUUAGACUUAUUAACUGGGCAAAUCCCCAUCUGCUCAAACUCCACUUGUUUUGGAGUACACUCUACCUGCUGUGGAGUAUUGCUCGUCUGAAUAUCUUUAUCUGCUACCUUUUUCAAUGUGGCAGAUUCAUCAAAGAUAACAUCUCUGCUACAGAUCAUUUUCUUUGUGCUUAAGCACCAAAGACGAAAUCCCUUCACUCCAGAAGUGAUUCCCAUAAAGAGAGCUUUCUUUGCCCUCGGAUCUAACUUUGACUCCUUCACAUGGUAAUAUGCAGUGGAUCCAAACACAUGUAAGGAAUCAUAAUCUGUAGCCGGUUUUCCAGACCAUACCUCCAUAGGAGUUUUUCUUUCUAAUGCAGAUGAUGGCAAACGAUUAAUAAGAUGGCCAGCGUAUGUCACAGCCUCAGCCCAAAAUUACUUGCCCAACCCAGCAUUGGACAACAUACAUCGAACUUUCUUCAGCAAUGUUCGAUUCAUACGCUCUGCCAAUCCAUUUUGCUGUGGUGCAUCCCUAACUGUGAAGUGUCGAACAAUACCAUACUUUGGCACACAUCGAAGAACGGAUCACUUUUAUAUUCCCCUCCAUUGUCCAUCCUAAGCCGCUUAAUUUUCUUGCCAGUCUGGUUUUCGAUCAUAGUUUUCCAUUUAAGAAAAACUCCAAGCACUUCAUCUUUAGUUUUCAUGGUAUACACCCAAACUCUUCUGGAAAAGUCAUCAACAAAAGUAACAAAGUAGUGUUUUCCUCCCAACGAAGGUGUUUUGGAAGGCCCCCACACAUCUGAGUGAAUAUAUUCCAAAAUACCUUUUGUAUUAUGGAUAGCAGUGCCGAAUUUCACUCUCUUUUGCUUUCCCAGAACACAGUGCUCACAAAAUUUUAAUUUGCAAGCCUUUGCACCUUUCAACAAUCCUUGCUUUGCCAGAAUUUGCAAGGAUUUUUCGCUGGCAUGUCCCAACUUCAUAUGCCACAACUGCAUUGAGUCCAAGUCUUUGUUACCGGAAGCUGCAGCGACUGCUCCAAUAACUGUACUACCUUGGUAGUAAUACAAGUUAUUUUUCCUGAUGCCCUUCAAUAUCACAAGUGCGCCAGAUGUCACUUUCAAAAUCCCAUCUCUCAUAGUAACAACUGAACCAUUGGAUUCCAAGGCUCCCAAUGAGAUGAGAUUUUUCUUCAAACUGGGCACGUACCGAACAUCAGUCAGAACUCUGGUUGAUUCAUCUUGAUUCUUUAAUUGGAUUGAACCUAUCCCAACAGUUUUACAGGCAUUGUCAUUGCCCAUAUAAACAACUCCUCCAUUUAGUUCUACUAAAUCAGAGAACCACUCCCGGUUAGGGGACAUAUGAUAGGUACAACCCGAAUCCAAUAUCCACUCAUCUGAAUGGAACGACGAUGAUGAUGCAACCAGUGAUAGUUCAGAGUCACUAGUAUCAUGCUUAGCAACACAAGCAUCUACAGCAGCUUUUCCCUUAUUCUUCAGCUUUGGACAAUUUUUCUUCCAGUGGCCUUUCUCAUGACAAAAAGCACAUUCAUCUUUCCCGAGUCUGGACUUUGACUUUGAUCUCCCCUUUUGAGUUUUCUUCCGAGUGUAUGAACGACCUCGGACUACUAAAGCUUCUGUAUCUCUGAUUGAGUUUUUCUGUUUGUCCUUCUUUCUCUGUUCAUAACUGUAUAAGGCCGCACAGACUUCGCUCAGAGAUAUAUCACUCCUGCCAUGAAGUAGAGUAGUUUCUAGGAACUCAAACUCCUCAGGAAGUGACCCCAACAGCAUCAAAGCCAAAUCUUCAUCUUUGAAUGUCUCAUCCAUAUUCAGCAAAUCAGUGACUAACUGAUUAAAUUUGGUGAUGUGAUCAUUCAUUGUGGUACUUGGGACGCAUGUGAAGCGAAACAGUCUUUUCUUCAAGUGGAGCUUAUUUUGACUGUUUUUCUUCAAAAAAUUUUCUUCAAGUGCCACCCACAACUUAUUUGCAGAAGUCUCCUUUGAAAAAGCAUACCUCUGCUCUCGAGAAAGGCAUAAUCGAAUUGUGCCACAUGCCAACCGAUUGAUCGCCUUCCAAUCUUUCUCCUGUACAUCAUCUAGUUUCUCUUCAUCAAUGGCAAUGUCUAGACCCUGCUGAAAAAGGGCAUCUAGAACCUCACUUUGCCACAUACCAAAAUGACCCGUGCCAUCAAAGAUCUCCACGGCCAAUCUUGCAUUUGCAAUUGUCGGUCUUGUCCACAUGGACGAUGUUGAAGCUCCUACACCGACCGUUUUCUCCAUAAUCUUUCAAUAUACCUAAGGAAAUCUUUUCUGAUGUGGAAGAUCAGUUUAAACUGCAACCACAGAGCAUACUACGAUUAACCUUCGGCUCUUGAUACCACUUGUUGUUCCAAUAGGGUCGGAAGCGUGUAAAUUAUUGUACUAAAAAAUCACACAAAGUUCAAUUCCUAGGGAAGAGAGGUGGAUCACAUGGAUCUCUUAAAUACCAAGUCUUUCCUUAGACAGAAUAUCCCUUCUAUAGUAAUUUAAUAGCACAAUUAAAUACUACUAUUAUACCCUCAAAUAUUGAAAGAAAAAUAGGACAAGAAAGAACACAAGAGAUUUAACGAGGUUCGGUAAAUUAUACCUACGUCCUCGGGCACUAACACCAGAUGAUAAUUUUACUAUCUCCAAAGUAUUACAAACAAAUAGAAUUCCUUAAGAAUUCUCAAAUGGGAGAAGAGAGAAAACUAAGAGAGAAAGAUUGGUUGGGAUGGUUGAAAUGAAAAAUGAAAAGGCCUAUUUAUAGUUGAAGUCCAGGGACUAACUUGCAAAUGGCCUAAAAAAUUAGGGACCAAAAUUGCAAUUAUCCCAUUCAACUUUUCAACAUUCGGUGCAACUUGCUCAACCUUUUUAACAAGUUGCUUCCUACCUUUGUUGACCUUUCAACACUUGAAAUGUCUGUGCUUGGUUUUAUCCUCAAACUUUGUCUUUCACCUCUACCGAAAGCCUCAUUAAUGGACAACUUAGGCACCACUUAGUACAAAAUCCGUGGAUAAAUCCGAAUGGACAUUCUAGACCCAAUAGUGGACCUAUUGAGGUUUUCAUCAACUUUUGACAGACGACACUUGGAAGACUUCUUCUUGAGAGGUCAAAACCUUGUCGACAACGGUUAAAAUAAUGCCAAAUUAAACUAGAGAGAUUGAAUCUCAAACUCUAACAUAAUAGAGGGAGUAAAACUAGAAUUAGAGCAUAAUGAUGAGGGAUGGGUACCAUGGCAAAGGAAAACAAGAGCCUUCGAAGAAGAUGAAGGCAAACAUCUGCAAGUAAAAAGCAUAGUUCCUCUUGAAUUCUUUAUAUUCUCCUGAGUUUCAUGAACGUUUUCAUCAAUGGAAGCAUUCGUAUAUAUAACAGCCAAAAACAAUAAGCAUUAAAAUGAAGAAAAAGGCCAUUUCUGCUUUAUUUACCUCAUUAUAUUCAACUUCCAUGUUCAUGAAAAUUCAACUUCAACUCUUCCUUUUUCUUUUUUCAUAGUGGAUAACAGAUUUUUGGUUUAUUUACGUAUUAAGGACCCAAAGAGAAGAUAACAUUUAACAAAAGAGAGAGAGAGAAACAACUCAAACCGUAUAUUGCAAAGGCAAAAUGAGAGCCAGCAAGAGCAAAGCAAUUGCAAAGGCAAUGUUUUUUUUUUGUUUAGAGAAAGGUGAAGUGCGUUGAAGAGCAACCACUUGUAUUAAUUGUUGGUAUCAACUUAUUUUUUUUUCUUUUAUACAAAAUGCAAUUUUAUGAUAGGGAAGAAGUAUAAUUAUAAUUAUAAAUAUCAUCAUAAUUAAGCACUAAAAAAAUAAGUAUAAGGAUACAUUCGAGAUUUUGAAAAAUUAAAUUUGAAAAAAAUUCACGCAUAAUUUUGAUGUGGUGGAACUCACAGCUAUUCAAGAUCUUAGGGACUUGAUCUUUGCCAAGUAAAAAUGAGUUUAGUUCUAGUUGAAGUGAUGGUAUGAAACUGUAAUUUCACGUCAUCCUUAUUACUUUCUCUUUCCAAUAGGUGAAUGACAAAUCAAAUUUUUCUUCUUGAUUUUUAGCUUUUUUUCUCCUGAAAAAAUUCAAAUCUAACUAAAAAUGCUAAAAAUGAUAUGUUUUUUCAUUCUCUUAUUGAAAAGAGAUAAAAAUAACAUAGAAUCACAAUUUCAUACAAUCAUUUCUUUGAAUUCACUUUGGUUACCUAAUAAAAAUACUUAACUUCAAAUUUAAAUAAAUUUAAAUAUAACUUAAAAUUUUCAACACUGAUUAAAAAUAUGAUUAAUCUUACAAGCUAUUUAAGUCAAACAUUAAAAUAUUUGAAUAAACGUAAUAAUCAAAUUUCAUUAGCUAUUCAAACUUCAAUUUAUUUUUUCUAAUUAUAUAAACCAUUUAAAGCUGUAAUAAUUCAUGCAAAAGAGCAGGUGGGAGGAUCAAAAUUUUCCAAAAAUGUAAUUAAAUUAAAUCUCAUUCCUAAAACAAGACACACACAAGGAGGAGUUCAACGUGUUCUAGAAAUCAUAUAUUUGGGAAAUUGAAACCAAAAUCAACACGUUGUCAUUAAUUUAAUUUCAAUCUCCUUUAAAAUGGGCUCUUAGUUUGACAAGGUUUGGUGGAUCCAUAAUUGACCAAUCCCCCUCUUUCUUAACUCUUACCCUUUCAACACCUACCAAAAAGGCCAUCGCAAUGUGACAUAGGGCCAUUCUUCCUCUUUCUCUAUUAUAAGUAUUUAUAUAUUAAUUCAAUUAUUUUUAAUUUAUAUAUUUUUUGAAUUUUAAAAUUUUAAUUUUAAAUCAAAUGAUAACAAGUAGAUAGAUCGAAUUAUACUAUUAGUCACGUACCAUACAUAAAUAGUGAAUUUAUUUUCUAAUUUGAUCACUUUUAAUUUUAGAUUUCUUUUUAGAUUUUGAAACUUCAAUCAUUACUCUAAACAAUAGUCAUUAAAGUAAUUAACUAAAAUAGUAUGACUUCGGGAGUUUAUGUGAAAAUAUCAAGCUAACAUAAUAUUAAAAAUGUGAUAAUUUGUUUGUAGAAUAAAAUUUUAAAAACAAUUUAUUUUAACGACCAUCAAAAUAAUUAAAUUAAAAUAUAAAAAUUAAAUCUACAACUUAUACAUAAAAACUUAUAAUAAAAUUUUAAAAAAAUAAUAAUAAAAAUUGAAGCAAAGAGCUUAGAUUCUAUUUUUAGAAUAGGUUACCAAACUGUGAACUAUAUAUACCUAUCCCAUUUAAGCAUUACGAGAUGUGCAAAACAAAAAAAUGGGGGUUUAUCAAUUAUCACCCUAGCUAUCGAGAAAAGAAAAGGUAAUAUUAGAUUGUCACAUUUAUAGCAAUUAUAUAUGAAAGUCUUACUUACAAAGUCUAAAACCUGCAUCCGUAACGUACCAAAUAAAUUUUAAAAUAUAUUUUUGGGCUCAUAUAACACUAAUUGGGUCAUAGAUGGUGACUUUACUUUGAAUCAUGUGAAAGAAUCUGUAAGUACCCAAAUUUGCCUGAGCUCAAACUAUUAACCAGCCUAAACAAUUAAUAGUCCAUCAUCAAAAUCCAAAUUACAUAACCUAAAUUUAAAACCCAAAACAUUACAAACCCAAACCCAAAACUAAUAAAACCUUAAACCCAAAAAGGCCCAAAACCUAAACCAUGUUUGCAGCAAACCCUAGCCCUAGCAGUAGCUGUGCCACCAGCAGCCUCCGUACGCGCCAGAUACCCCGCCACGUUGCCUCCGUACCUGCAAAAGAAGACAAGCAAAGGACAGACACAGCAGCAAGAGCAAAAACCAAGCAGAAACUUUGUAUUUUUUCUCUUUUGUUGUGACUAUAAAAAGCCAAGAAAUAUCAAUGUAUCUUCCUCUCUUUUUUACGCACACUGAGAGAAGCAUAUUGAAAAGAAAAAUUCAAAAGCAAUUUAAAAGGCGAUUUCCGAUUCAAAUCUCUAGGUAUUUUAUUUUUAUUUUUUUUUGGCUUCAUACUUUCGGAUUUGUUGUUUUUUAUUUUGAAGGCAAAAUAAAAAGAAAAAAGGAGGGACUUACCUUGAAAAUACGCCAUGGAUCUCCUUUUGCUUAGUUGAAAUCGAAGCCAAGAGGAGAUUACUAGGCUGAAAAAAUCAUUCUAUCAAGUCUAAGUGUGUUGGUUGUUGUUUGGGGAAGGAAAAUUGACAGUUUUAGAGGGAAUUUAGGAUUUGAUAAGAAAGAAAAAGAGGGAUGGGAGCUUGGUUUAGCCGAAUGGGGUAAUGGCUUUUAAAUUUUUUUUACUCUAUUUUUUAAAAAAGGGAAGGAAAUGGUGGCUUUGCUUUAUUAGGGUUUCCUUUUUUACUUUUUAAAGGACAUGAAGUGACUACGUUUUGAGCCAAUAUUAAUGGCUUUGAAAUGACACCAUUUGGUCCUUGAGGGUUAAUUGUAUGGAAAGUCUCUCCCCUUUGCGCUGGUUUCCAAUUAACUUUUAUUUGUUUUAAAUUUUCCCUAAAAUUCGUGUGUUGUUGGCCUGAGCACAAUGUUUUAAGAUCUGAAAUAUUUCCAGAUUUGAUCCUCGUGCAUUUGCACGCGUGGCGCAUUAGUCCUCAAUUUAAUUUCAAGAAUUUAUAAAUUUUUCCUUUUAUUUUAAUUUUAUUUCAAUUGAGUUCUUUUCAUUAUUUUUAAAAUUCGUUUCAGAUUCUUUUUUUUUUAAUUUUGGUUUGAUAAUUUGAUAUUUUAAGCUACUUGGAUAAUUGUGUUUUGUUUUAAAGUUAUUAUUAUUUUUAAUAUCUCAUUUAAAUAUUUUUGUAUAUUCGUACGUAUAUUAUUUUAGUGGAGUUUUCUUUAAAAUUUACUUAAUGCUUUUAUGUAUAUAGGAAGCUAUUUUAGAAACUGCAUUUUUCGUGUUUAUAAAAUUAUUAUUUCAAGAUGUUUCUUUAUAUUAUAUUAUUCUAAUACUUUAUAGUAUCUCAUUUAAAGGCUUUUAUGUAUAAUGGCACAUAUAUAAUUUAUAGCAAAAUUAAUUUAAUCUUAUACGCAUUAUUAUUCCCAAGCUUUUUUUUUUCACUUAAUUGCUUCUAAAUUCGUUUAUAUAUACAUAUGUUUUUAAAUCUAUUGUGUGCAUAAUUAUUUUCUAAGAUCAUAUUUUAUCAUGUAUUUUUACUAUCCUUUUAUAUUUUGUGUAUCAUUUAAAUUCUCCUCCAUUGUGUAUAUUGUCAAUCUUUUUUGUAAAUAUAUAUUUUUUAAUAUUUGGCAUAUUAUUUGAUUUAAAUGUUUUCUUUUUGCAACAUCAAUUUUAAAAAAAUUAUAUACGUGUUCUUUAUUUUUCUUAUAGAUUAUUUCAAGUCCUAACACGUGUUAUUUGCUCAUCAAUGCAUCAUUCUUUAGAAGUUGUUUUGUAUCAUAUUAAUUUUAUGUUGUUUGUUAUCUCAUGGGUUAGUCGUUUUUGUAUUAUUUCAUGUAUAUUUGUCGUAUUGUUGUUCUCCAUCCAUACUUAGAAGUUCGAUUAUAUUUGUCUUAGAUUAGUUAUACUUAAUUAUUGGUUUUGUUAAUUUGUUAAUUAUUAGUUGGUUAAUUGGCAUUGUAUUUUAUGAGUGCAUGUUACCCCAUGUUUUUUAUUUUUUCCUUUAGUCUACAAAUGUUAGCAUUAUAAUUUUCAACUUUUUAAAAAAAAUUAAUUAUUCCAUCUUAUUUCAAGUAAAAUUAAUACGUUUUGAGCUAGUUCUACAAUCGUUUAUUUGAAGAUUCACUAAAACAAAGGUACUAGUUGAUGUUUGGGAACUCGAGUAAUCGUGCCCAACCGUGUUGGGUUUUGAUUUUCUGUUUGCCCAAAUAAUCAAAUAUUCCUUUGAAAUUUCAUCCGUACUUUGAAAAUUCCUUAAAACUAAGGCAAUGUUCAAUGUUUGGAAAUUCAGGGAACCGUGUCCUAUUGUGCUGGGUUGCAAUUUCCCGUUUGUUCGAAAUAAUCAAAUAUUCCUUUAGAAUUUCACUCAUGUUUUCUAAAUUUUAAAACAAGGCAAUGUUCAAUGUUUAGAAAUUCGAGGAAUCGUGCCCUACUGUGCUGGGUUUCGAUUUUUCGUUAGACUAAAUAAUUGGGCAUCUUUUUGUAAUUUUCAACAUAUAAACUUUCGGAAGUCAAAAUUUAUCGUGUUUUCGAGGAUAUAAAGGAUCGUGUCCUAUCGUGCUGGAUGUGAUGCUGUAUUCCUCUGAAACAAGAUAAUUUUGACGAUCAACUUGAGCCAUUCAAAUGCUUCCAAAGGAACCAUUUCAAAAAUAGCUUUAAAACUUAGACAUAAGGAAAGUACUUAAUCAAUUUGGUACCAAUUUUGGGCGUAGUGAGGGUGCUAAUCCUUCCUCAUACGUAACUGGCUCCCGAACUUGUUUUCUCAAAUUCACGUAGGCCAAAAUUGAUUUAAAUGGAAUAAAAUACUUUAUUAGGUGAUCCAAUCCCACUUAAACAAAAAGGAUUGGUGGCGACUCCACAUUUGGUUUUAAAAGUCGAUCCCCGCUUUUUCAAAAUCAAAAAUGGUUUCGACAGAAUCCAUUAUUUUUGCUCUUCCUUCAUUUCAUUAAGGAUAAAGCUAAUUUUUUUUGAAUAAAGAAGAAUUACAAUAAACUAAAAAGAAAUAAGAGGAGAGUCAACAUAUAACUAUAAGCCUUUCUCUCUAUCAAAUGCCAACUUAGAAAUUUGAUCAGCUUCUAUAUUAUCUUUUCUAGGGACAUAAUCAAUGGAUCAGAAUGUUUCUUUUCUUAAGAGAUAAGUGAUGCGCCUUAUUAAAACAGAAUUUGAUCCCUUCAAAAAAGCUUCCUUAAUGUCCCCAAUGACUUCCAUAUUAUCGGUUUUAAUAGAUAAUCGGUUAUGAAAGCUUUAUUGUGCCAAUUAACACUAUCAAAAAUGCCUCACAAUUUAGCUUCAUAAACAGAACAGAUCCCCACUCUGCAAUUAAAACCAAGGAUCCAAUCACCAUUUUGGUCUCUCAGAACUCCACCUGUCGAAGCGAAUCCGGUAUUAACUUUAACAGCUCCAUCAAACCUAAUGCAAAUCCACUUUCCAAUUCCCACAAAGUCCUCCUUUGAAGUAUGUCUGCCAAUUCUCUCUUUUACGAAUAGAACCAUAAUGUUUAGCCCAAUUGUAAGCGCCUUUGAUAAUAUCCUCAAUACUCCGUGGCACUCCUCAAAAUAUAUGGAUAUUUCAUUUUUUCCAAAUACGCCAAGCAAGAAGGUAAGCAAGGCCAAGCAGUCUCCUCCAAUCAAUAAUAAUUCGGUUCUCCAGAUUCGCCUUAAGCCACUCCUGCAAAUUACUUGAAAAGAAAGCAAUUAAUUUAUUAGGAGGAACAGUUCGGUACCAUACCUUUUUCACUGCGUCGCAAUCCCUUAUAGCGUGAAGCACAUCUUCAACUCCAUGACCACAAAUUGUGCAUAUGCAUCAUUAUUCACACCAUGCCUAAGGCUUUUUGCUUGAAUAAGCAACCUUUGUUUUAGGACCAACCAAAGGAAAACUCAAACCCUUUGAGGUCCCUUAACCUUCCAAGGCAAUUUCCAAGCUUCUUUUAAAGGAUUCCACGAAUGCUCCUUAACCUUACAAUAGGUGCUUUUAAUAGAGAAGCAUCCUGAUAAGGUUCCUUUCGAAACGGUUCUGUUCGAACCUACUGAAGGAUGCAGAGGAGGGAUGCUAGUAAUAUAUCCAAUUAAAUCAUCCGAUAACCACAUUUGAAAAAUGUUGAGAUUCCAAAAACCUUCCUCAAUAAACCCAACCUUAAGACGACAAUCCACAACAAAGUUAGCAUGUACUGGAAUUAAAUUCACCAAAGGCCCAGCCUCUAGAAUCAACUAUCUCUCCAACAUCUUACAGUAUUACCAUCUCCCAUAAACCAGAAAAUGUUUUCUUUGAGUAGAGGCAAUAUCUUAGAAAGAGCUCUUCAGAGAAAAGAGCAAUUGCUGUGAAGAAUACUGAGUUGAAGACCUUCCUUAACACCAUACUUUACACGUAAAACCCGCACCCAUAAAACUUCUGAUUUUGUCAGAAUCUUAAAGCCCAACUUCAAUAGAAAUGAAGAUUUUUAAUCUUUCAAUUGAUGUAUCUCAAGCCCACCACAACUCUUCGGUUGACACACUGAAUCCUAAUUAACAAGGGCCAAUUUUUUACUUCCUCUAGAUGAUCCCCAUAUAAAUUGUCUGAUAAUGUUCUCAAUCUCAGCACAAAUGCCUUGCGGGAUCUUCAAGGAUUGCAUAAAGUAGGUAGGGAUUGUAAGAAGAACCAAUUGAGCUAACGUAACCCUGCUGGCUAAAGACAAUUUCCUUGCGUCCCAACUUUGUAGCCUCGAUUUGACUUUGUCCACAACAAAUUUUAGUGAACUAAUGGUAACCCUAUCGUGAAAGAGAGGAACCCCCAAAUACGAACCUUGAUUCAAGACUCUACAGAAACCAAGUAUAGCAUAAAGAUGUCCCGCUAAUUUUCAUCCAUACCAUUAGAAAAGAAAAUAUUCAUUUUUUGAGCAUUCACUCGAUGUCUAGAGUAACCACAGAAGUUAUCCAACAAAUUCUUUAUAAGCCUAGCUUGUCUGAUAUCAACUUUUCCAAAAAUAAUAAGAUCAUCAGUAAAAAAUAGAUGAGAAAGGUUAGGACCAUACCUGAAUAGUCGAAUGGGGGACCAAAAGCCUAAACUUACAGAUGAACCGAUGCUCUGACCUAACCAAUCUAUACAAAGAACAAAAAGAUACAGAGAGAGGGGGCACCUCUGUUUGAUACCUAUAACUAGUCUAAACUUCUAAAUGGGAACCUUGUUCUAGAAAAUUUGUAUGGUAAAAAUCAUGAUAGCAGAUAUAAUGACUUUCCUAAGAAAUCGGGAAUAUUUGCCACUUAAAGGGAGGUGUCAAUAAAGUCCCAACUCAUUAAGUUAUAGGCUUUUUCCAAGUCGAUCUUAAUAGCUAUCCACUUUUUAUGUAUGCUCAUCAUAGAAUGAAUAACCUAUUGGACCACAAUAAUAUUAUUCUUAAUGUUCCUCCCAGCAAUAAAACCAGCUUACUCUUUACCUACGAUUCUUGAUAAAACCACUUUAAACCUGUUAGCAAUAAUCUUCAUAACCAGCUUGUAAAGAACUGAACACAAGCUUAUUGGACGGAACUACGCACCCUUCGAGAUUUUGGACCUUAGGGAUAAGCACCAGAAGAGUAUUAUUAAGAUCAUUAUCAAUUGGCUCACCAUAAAAAAAUUUCUUAACCCAAUUACAAAUAGCUCCACCAACCAACUCCCAUUGACUUUAAAAGAAAGGAGCGUGAAAACUAUCGCUACCAAGUGCUUUUAGAGAUGCCAUGGCAAACAUAGCCAAUUUUAUCUCUUCAUCAGAAACAGUUCUCAUCAAGAAAACCUCAUCAUCAUAUCUAAGCUUCAAAAAGGAGCUAGGGGGUAACGCUUUCGUACAAAUUAGUACCUCCUCAUACAAAUUCUUAAAAAACCUAACAGUUUUAGUUUGGAACCACUCAUCUUUAAAAAUCCAUUCACCCUCAUCGUUAUUUAAAGCAGAAAUUUUACUACGAUUCCUUCUCUGAACCGCGCAGAAGUGGAAAAAUUUAGUAUUCCUAUCGCCAAACUAUAACUAAUCACACCUAGCUUUUUAUUUUCAAAGAAGCUCAUGAAGGACGUAUUCCAACUCUUCCCGAAUCUGAGUUUCCACCAUAUUUAAAUUCACAGAAAAACAUCUUUCUAGGGCUUUUGGACAUUAUAUAACCUCUGCAUCAUAUACUUCUUUCGGACUCUAGCUCUAGUAAUACUAUAAAUAGAAUUAUUCCAAACUUUAAUAUAUCGGUAAAACUAUUCAGGGAAUCAGUCAUGUUACCUUUAAAACUUCACUUUUCUUUCACGAAAUCUAAACAAUUAGGAUGCUCUACCCAUCUAGCAAUGAACUUGAAGGGAUAACCUUUGGGCAAGAUAAAUUUUGGAUUAAGUAACAAAAACAGAGGUCUGUGAUCCGACUUGAUUCUCGGGGGAUGAAUGACUGACCAAUUCGGAAAAGUUCUUAACUGAGAAUUAUUUCCAAUAGUUCUAUCCAAUCUUUCAAAAAGCCCACCACAAUACCAAGUGAAUGAAGACCCCUUGAAACCUAAAUCCUGCAAGUUAGACACUUCAAGAAAAUCAUUAAAGAGAUGGCAUCCUUUCCCAACAGUUCACCCUCCUUUCUUUUCACUCGAAUAAAAAAAAGCAUUAAAAUCACCAAUAGCCAUCCAAGGAGUAUCAUCUGUUGGAAUGACAGAACAAAGUUCCACCCAAAGUUUCCUUAUUUUCUGUCUAUCAAGACUACCAUACACAAAAACAAUGAUAAUAGGUAAAACAGAAUCAAUUCUAAAAACUUGUAUACAAAUAAAUUGAGAAUUAAUACAUAAAACCUUAAUGGAAAGUUGUUCCAUCCAUCUCACCCAGAUGCCUCUAGAGAAUCCAAUAGCCUCUACCUUGUGAGAACAUUGAAAACCCAAACAAAAAAUAAUCUUAUCUGCUUUAAAACCACUUAUUCUUGUUUCCAGCAAGCUAACAAUAUUAGGAUUAUACUCUCUGUUGUACUAACGAAAAUAACGAAUAAACUUUGGACUUAUACAUCCCUAGCAAUUCCAUGAAAAACCCGUUAAGUUCAUAAUAAAUAAAUAAAUAAAUAAAGAGACCAACUUACUAGUCUGAGCCCAAAUGCUCAAGAUUCUAUACUCCUACCGAGGCUUCUGAUCCUUUAAUAUUUUAUUUGUCAAAUUUAUCAUUAAUAACCUCAAUCAAGGUAUUCAUAGAAUUAGACAAUGUAACUCGAGCAUUCCUAAUGAACUUAAAACUAUUCCCACAAUUACGAAUAGUCUUAUCCAAUUUUUUUCCAUUACGGUUUCUUCCAACAUUUUCAAAAGAUCCAUGACUUUUUGGACUACCCCCAACUUUAAUAUCACUUCCAAUAUUUUUUCUUUUAUCAAAAGCAAUCCUAUUAUUGAAAAUGACAGCCGUAUGUUUCACUGGGUCCAAGAAUUUAUCAUCUAAUUUAAUCAUAAUCCUUUUCGAACAUUCAAAAGUGGGAUUGUCACGAGAAGUUGUUAAAUUAGAAUUAAUUAAUGAGUUAGCAAUUUCAAUCGAAUCUGUACUGGAAAAAUCCAAUUGUUUACUAGCCCCAAAAAUGUUUUCAUUUAAUUCUGUUUUAGUGCUCUGCCCACACGUUUCCAAGAAAGAGCCAUCCCCAUUAAAUGUUUGGCCCUUAGACUGAGUGGACCCAUCUAUAAAGAGACUUUUCGAUAUUUAUUGUGGACCACCUUUCCUAGUUUGUCAGAUCACAAGGUCCUUAGCAAUUUCCCAUACAGCCCACAAGCUUAAGUCGACACUAUCUCAUUUUUACAGCCCAUUAUUGUUAACUAUCGUGGCUUAACUCUUUGGGUUCACAAUAGAAGCAUUAAUGCCUGCAUCAUUAACAAAAAAAUAGGGAUUUUUCUUGCUUAAAACCUGGCCCAAAUUAUCAAUAACAAGCUCAACUGACCCAUCUGUCUUAUUAUGAAAACUAUUCAGUUCUGUCCCUUCAACAUUCACACCUAUUUUCUUCUUUCCCCAGAAUUCGCACAGACACACCUUUAAUAUUUUUAAUUUCCUUAACAGAACCCCCCAAAAUCCUAUCUUCCUUCCCUUCCCCUAUUGAAUCCAAAUUCUCCUUCUAUUCAACACCGAAAAUCUCGACCCCAAUCUAGAUUUUCCUUGAAUCUCUUUCCUCUGAUUACGCGAGCUUUUCGUUUCACCACCAUCCACGGUCGAAAAGCAAAUCCCCAACCCGCAGUCAUCAAUUCCGCCAAGUCCUUGUUGCCAUUGACUUCCUCGACCAUAAUACUCUUUUUAGCCACCAGCGAAGGGCAUAAGUCUUUCAGAUUACCAUAUUUUUCACAAAAAAAAAGUAGAUGGUCAGUAAAGCUUCAUACUCGACCAUUUGUAGUUCUUUAUUUACUAUAACUUGGGAUAUAAGGGAUUUACUGAGAUCAACAAAAACAACCAUUCUAGCAAAACCUCUUGUUUUUUUGUCAGUAUUAAGGUCAAGCUUGACCACAUUUCCCACAAAACCUCCAACAACUUCCAGAAUUCUCCGUUUAUACAUGAAACCCGAGAGUCCUGGUAAUCUAAUCCAAGCUAACACCAUACUCGGGUAAGGUUUCAUAGGAUUAAAAUACUUUGUCCAUGGCUGAACAAUGAGGUAUUGGCCAUAUAUGACAAGGACCUUAUUAUAAUCCUCAAUACUCUGAAAUUUUGCUAAGAAAUAGCCAUUCUCUAUAUCCAUAAGAUUGAACGACUUAGAUGAUCGCCAUAAGCUACUAAUCUGGUUGAACAGAGCUAUGUAACCAAUAUUCCUACCCAACAAUUUCAACGCCACUAAAGUCUCAUAUCCUUGAAAAGGACAUGUUGAAUACGUUUCGAAAAUUCUAUUGCCAGGAUGCCAUUAACCAUAGUUUUUUUAACGUCCCCUUCCAAAAAUUCAAUUUCUCCCUCAUUAUCCUUACUAGCAAAUUGAUGCCUUUCACCUUGAUUGGGAUCCCCUUUUCCAAUAAGCAUCUACUUCCAAGAGAUCUUUGCUGGUGAAACCAAGUCCUUUGAUGGUGAGACUACAUCCCCUAUCAUUUCGACAUCCGCAAUACUGUUGUCUUCCUUAAAUCUGACUUUUUUUGUUUCCCGAUCGACGGCUGACCUAGAUUUAGAAACAUUACCAAUUUCUAGAUAAGACAUUUUCAGUCGUAUUUACAAUUUGCUCCAUUGUUUUACCUUUUCUUAAUCUUUUAAGAACUCAAAUUUGCUUUAUUGUUAAGUCGCGGGAUUGCACCGCUAAAUUUUUUUAUGGGUAAAGAUUAAAUUAUAUUUUUUUAAAGGGGUUAAAAUAUAAUUUCAUCAUUACAUUAAUAUAUUAUUUCAUAAUGUUUAAAGGGAUUACAAAAGAAAUUUACCAUCUUAAAAUGUCAAGAUGCAAUUUAAUCAUUAUAUUAACUUAAAAAUUCAAAUUUUUAAAUGCGCUAAUUUUUUAUAUAUCAUUUUAGGUGGUCAAGGCCCUUUUGCCUUUUUGUAUCGUCCUUGAUUUCAUUCUCUUAUGUGUUAAAGCCCAAAAGACCAAAAAAUCAACCCUAAACUAAAACCUUUAUUUUUUGUUGAACCUGAAAGCAAUCCCAACUUCAUCUUAUUAUUAUUAUUAUUGUUAUUAUCAACCAAGGUACUUUCUCUAUCCUUUCAUCCGUUACCAUUUUUAUUCUUUUCCUUAUUUGUUAUCAUCAAUUUAACUCAAUGAAAAACACUCUAAUUAGCUCGAGUAUGACUCGUAUUGCAACAAUGGCGAAACUAAUGGGGUUGGCAAGGGUUUCGAUCUACCUUAAAAUGAAAUUUUUUUCAUUUAGAUUUUUUAAAAUUUUUAAAAUUUUAAAUUAAUAAAGGUAAAAUUGUUCUUUGACCCUUAAAAAUAUAAAAAAUUGAUUUAAUCCUCUAAAAAUUAUAAAGAUAUAGGCUAUUAAAAUGUUGAAAUUGCAUUUUUAAUAUCGUAAAAAUUACAAUUUAAUUUCAACCCCCUAAAAAUUUUCUAGUCUUGCCCCUACAUGGUAAUUAGAGGUGCUCGUGGGCCCCAGCCCAACAAAAAAAUUAGGCCUGUUUCCUAGGCCCAGGCUUAGCCUAAAAAUAGGCUUAAAAUUUUGUCCAAGUUCGGCCCAGAUAAAAAUGUUAAAACUCAGGCUCGGCCCGCUCGUGUUAAUUUUUUAUAUUAUCUUUUAUAUAAUAUAUAUAAUACAUAAAAAAUACUAGAAACAUCAAAAUAAAUAUUUCCCAACAAAUUGAAAAUAAAUUUUCAAAAAUAUGCAUACUUAAAUAACACUAAGAUAGAUGUAACUUAACAAGCAAAUGCCUUUAAAAUAAUAACAAAAUUAAUAAUAAAACAAGUGUUAUACAAUAUCCAAAUAAUAACAACAAAUUAAUAGUAACAUAAUAGUAAAAUGGUAGCAAAAUAAGGAGAAAACAAACAAGAAAAUAGCAGUUUUUUUGUGCUUUUGGGAAUUCGAGUUGGGCCCAAGCUAAAAAUGUCUUACUCGAGGCCCAGUCCCUUUUUUAAAGCUGGCCUUAAUUUUUUUGCCCAAAUCCACUUUUCGGGCCUAUAUUUUUUGUGACACCUUAGAUCUGACCCAAUUAGAGGACUCGAAUAUAAAAUGCCACCUUCAAAUGCCGUAACAGCCUAUUUUACUAUUUCAAUUUAUUGAAAUGGUAGUGCAGUGAUAAAAUUAUUUUCUUUUAAAAUUUGACAACAUUUCUGCUUAUUUUACGAAAAACCCCUAAAAAAUUAGAUUUCACAUGGUUUAUGACAGUUCUAAGGACACUAGAAGCAUGCCAAAAUCAUCCAUCCUAAGUCUAACCAAUAUGCCACAAUUGGCACCUCAACACAUUUUUAACAUUACAAAAUGAUCACAUUCAUUUAUCAAUAUGCAUGCUUACAUCGUUACAAAAGAGAUAACUAAACAAAAGACCUUAAACUAUCUAGGUACAUGCCAAGACCAAAAAGAAACAGACCACCAACAUUGAGUCCUGGAUUGCCGUUGGAUGUUGAACUGACAAUCUAACAAAAAAGUACCUAAUUUGUACACAUAACAUAAAUUGGAGUCAUUUACUAGAUAACAAAUUAAAAAUAUUCUUAUGAUCCGAAACCAAGUUAUAUUACAGAAUAAUCAACAAAUCCAAGUUCCAUUUAAUGCCAUUCAUCAAACUCAUUUCUAUCCCUAUUUCCAUUCCAUCUCUUUAUUUUCCUUAUUAACGUAACUCAACUUUAGUCACGAAUACGGUUCCAAUUAACACUCUAAAUUUGGCACCCGGUGCCUGACGGAUAAAUCUGUAUUAAUUAAUUGUGCCUAACAUCGGGUAGUAAAAUCGACAAUGAGUGUGCCUAGCAUUGGUCAGUAUAACCAACAAUAAAUGCGCCCUGCGCUGGUUGGUAGGACUGACAAAUAUGUGUGCCCAGCACUGGUCGAUAUAACCGAAAAUAAAUACACGCUAGUUGGUAAAACCGAUAAAUAUGUGUGCCUAGCACUAGUCAAUAUAGGUUAAAAUAAAAUGUGCGCUGCAUUGGUCGGUAAAAUCAAUAGAUAUGUGUGUCCAACCUUGGUUGGUCUAACUGAAAAUAAGUGCGCCCUACACUGGUCGGUAAAACCAACAAAUAUGUGUGCCUAACAUUGGUCGAUAUAACCGACAAUAAAUGCACCCUGCGCUGGUCGGUAGAAUGGACAAAUAUGUGUGAAGACAUUUCCAACUCAUGUUUUAAUUUUAUUUGUCCAAUACAUCAAAUUAUUUAAAGAACUAAUUUUCUUAUAAACUCACCAACCAAGUGAUAUGUAUAUGGAUAUAAAUGUAUAUAUAAUUAAUAACGAUAAUUGAAAUAGUCGAGUCAUAGAAACACCAACCAUGAUCACUGAGCUAUUAGCUUUCGAUCUUGUCUUUUCCCUUCUUCCUCGAAGGUUCCGGGUUGACGUCAACUACGGACUAAACAAAUAGAACACAUUAACAAUACACAACCUUUUUAUAUUAUUCAAUCAAAUCUCUAAAAAUUGAUACCAACAUAACUUUCAAACUUAACCCAAAAAUUUAUCAAACUGGUCUGUAACAUUGUAAUGAAUACAACAAUGGUAACAUCCUCAAUCUCUAACAGUACCAAAAAAUAAUACAUGGGUCAAGUAGCUUAUAAAAUCAGGAUUUUAAAAACGUAAAAGUUACAAAAAAAAAAAAAGAGACUAAUUAAAGCAUACCAAUUGAAGCCUGAAUUUUUUUAAAACCUUAAGUUUUCUCCCCGUGCGUCGAUGGUCUGAAGGUGAAGAAACAACCUGUUUCUAUUUUACCCACUCCACUAAGUAAACCUUUCUAUUUUAUUUUAUAAAGUUUCUUUUCAUUUUCAUUUUCCUUUUUAAUUGGUCACACGUAUAUAAUAUAUAUACUAAACAGCUAAACAAUUUAAUUUAGUGGUUAAAUUGGCACUUUACUCCCUUUAUUAAUUUCUAAUUAUAAUCCUUUUAUAAAUUGCACUUUUACCUCUUAUGCAAUUUAGUUACUAUACUUAAAUUAAACACUAAGUACAUGAAAUUACCUAACCAAAAUUUAUUCUAUCUAAAAAUUUAACUCUGUAAAUAUUUAUAAAUAUUAUUUACGAGAUUAGUUUAUGGAAACGGGAUCCCAGAAUCGUAAUUUUUAACUCUACUAACUUUAGUAAUUUACUAUUAAUUAAGCAAAGUUCCUAUACUAACUUUUACAGGUUUCUAUACUAGUCUCAUAAAUAUUAAAUAUUAAUAUCUAUGAACACAUUUUAGGAAAAUGACAUUUCAGAACUGUAGUUCUUGACGCAUUGGAAAUCGGGUCAUUACAUUUUUGCCCAAACCCUCCCACCUUUCGGGCGGGCUUUCAGGUUAGGCCACUCGUCUAAUGGCAAUAACAAUACCCAAUGGUGGAAAAAAGAAGGUGGUUUCCUUCACCAUCUAUCAUGCCAAGCUAACCCUAGAUAAUAUCAUGAUAACCUCAUUAGGAAAGUUCCUCUAGGAAAAUGUCAAAGUUGGUGACAAAUCUAGUAUUGUCAGCGACGUCGCCACUACAUGCUGCAACAAGCAUAAGAUCAACGUUUGAAGCGACCGUAACUUUUCCAAAUGGUACCACAUCUCUUAAAUCUUAAAAAUAGUCUGAACUGAAUUUUAUGAAGCAAUGUACCUUGUUUAUUACUCGAAUAACUUUACCUUUUUAAUGGGCUGCCUGAAUGUUUGAGACAUUUGAUUUUUGAAGUUGAUGAGUUUCUUUAAAAAUUGUGUUUUGUUUUUUUAGGUACAUUACUUGACAAAGAAGUACUUGAAAAAAAAUAAUGUAAAGGAUUGGCUUUGGGUGGUUGCUUCAAACAAGGCUCGUAAUAUUUAUGUAACAACUCAUUUUCUAGUGGCGUCAAAAACAGCGAUUUUGGUACCACAAUUCUGACGUGUCAGCCCUUAAAUAUUAAUUAUUUAAUAUUUAUGAAGCCAUUAGUGUUGUAUUAAAAUUCGAUUAAGAAAUUUUAACGUUUAGAUAGUUAAUUAAAUAAAAAGGACUAAAUAGUAAAAAAUGAAAAAGUCAAUUGUUAUUAUUGUUUUAGUGCCAAUUGAGUAUUUAUUUAAAAUAGGAUGGUUUAAUAUGGCAAUUAAGCCAUUUCUUUAUUUAGUGGACGGUAGGUUUAUAAAAUUUGAUUAAAAAUAUAUUAGUAAUGGCAUUUUUGUAAUUAGUGUAAAAUUAAACAAAAGAAAAUGUAAGAAUUGUCACCAUCUUCAUUUUAUUUUUGGCUUGAUACCAAAUGCCAUUGUUGGAGAGAAGAAGGAAGCUUUAGUUUGCUAUUUUUCCUUGCAUGUAAGUCCAUUCAUCACUUGUUUUUCAUGAAUUUGUGCUUUUAAGAUCGUUUUAGAUUCAUCUAGCUAAAUUGGGGUUAAAUUGUGAAACUGCCAAAGUUUUAAAAAUUCAUCAUUGUUGUUUUUGAAGCUUACUUAAUGUUUAUGCUUAAGCUUGAAGGUUAAUUGAGGAAGUUGAACUAUUUUGUAAAGUAAAUUUGAAUAGUUUUGAGUUUAGGGAGUAAAUUGAUAAAAACGUGAAAUUGGAAGCAUUUUAUUGACAAAAAAUCUAGAAUUAAGGAAAUUUUUAUAAAGGUCGGUAAAAAUUGAGUAUAUGAAGAAAUUGUGAAAAUAAGCUCAUUUUAAUAUCAAUGAUUAAAUUGUAUAAGAUGUAAAAAUUUAGGGUAAAUGUGAAAAAUUAUAAAUAGGAAGUCAUAUGUACUAAAUUGAAUAUUAUAUGAAAUUGAAGCUAAUAAUUGAAAUAAACUAUUUUAUAGAUCAAGAACAAGUAGAUAACCGUGGAAAAUGGAAAGUUACUGAAUAGUCCUUAAACUUUCAUUAUCUCUGCAAUUUAGCCCUGGUAAGUUCGUACGAUUUAGUUUUAUAUAAAUUGACAUGUUAUAUUAAUUGCGAGUUGAGAUUGUUGGAUAUUCUGAUAUAAUUGAAUUGUAAUAAAUUGAUGUGAAUCGAGGAAUUAAUUGAUUUGUACAUUAUUAUUCGAUGUUAUAUUGAGCCAGAUGAACGUAGGAAAAGAUACAAUUGGCCUGCCAAUAGAUUUUAUUGCGCGCGGUAUAGGUUUGACUUGUGAUGAUAUGGUAACUAUUGAAUUAUUACUAUCCAUUGAAUAUACCGAAGUCCAACAUUUGUUUCGGACUAUCAUGUUAUAUUUACAGUGAUUUUGGUGUGUUACCGGGGAUAGAUGUAAAGCCUUCGGGCUUGGCACUUGGUACUUAGGUGUGUUAUCUGUUGGUUUGGCUUGUUUGAGCAUUCUGUUGUGUUCUAGAUGGUUAACUGCAUAUCUGAAUCUGUUAUAUCGUUCAUCGGGUAGGUUUACAAUGAUUAUAUGAUUCGUUAUUCAAUCUUGUAAAUGCCUAUAUGAAUUUUUGAAUGUAUAAAAUAAGUUGGUAUUGAAUGAUCUAGUUAAUUGACUAGAUUAUACAAUAUGUGUAUAAACAUAAAAACUCACCUAUUGAACGGUUAUGGUUGACAGAAUUAUUGUUUAUUAAAUAUGAUUGUGUGAUUGAUAUGUUUAUAAGGUAAGUGAUGGGCGUCGAAACCACCAAAUAUAAAUUCCUACGCUUUAACUUAAUUAAAUAGUAGUAUAGAGUAGUAGGGUCGAUCCCACAGGGACUGGGAUUCCUAAUUUUCCUGUUUUCAUGACUAGAUUUCUAAGUCUAAGUAGCUGUCAUGCCCUCGACCUGUGCAUGCAGAGCUGUAAAAUAAACAAAAAGAGGGAAUUUAGUUGAUAAAGAAAAGUAAAAUAAACAAAUAUAUAAUAUAAUAAAAUAAAAAAAUAGAAUUAUGAUUGCAAAAUAAAAUUUAGUGAAUUAAAUUAAAAUAAAUGGCCAUCCAUUAUAUGAAUUGUAAAUGUUUUUAUUAAUGGCAAAUUAGUAAUUUGUAGAUAAUGUUAUUAAAUUAAAAUAAAACAACAUUUUGUUUAUCUUUUCUUCACUAUUGCCGAAAGUUAAAGGUGGAAAACACCAUUGUUAAGCAAGCUAGAUUCGACCUUUGUCUUCUUUGAUUUAGGUAUCUAAUUUGUUCGGUUUUUGAUAAUUUUUACGUUUUUUAUAUCGUUGCUUCGAAUACUAGCUAGCCCAUGCUUGAAUUUUUGAAUUGGUUGUGGAUUUUGUGAUUUGCCAUUGUUGAUAGCUUGAGAUUUUUGUUGUUUGAUGAUGAAAAAUAAUUAUAUGUUGUUAGAUUAUCAUGUUUAAUUAAGUGAUUUUUGAUAAAAAUGUGUAUUAAGGAUUAAAUUGAGAAAUUUGUAAAUCGAGGGGUCAAAAUAUGAAACAAAUGAAAUAAAUGGAAUGCUAGGGACCUAAGUAAAAUUUGAAUAUGCUUGGGUGUGGUGAAAUUUUGAAUAUUUUGUGUUUUGUGAAAUAGGGACUAAAUUGUAAAAAAUGUGAAAUGUUAGGGGCUAAAGUGAAAUUUUCCCAUUUAUGUGUUUUUGGAUGAAUUUGAAUAAAUAUAUGAUUAAACAAGUCAAAUUUGUACUAAUUUAGAUCAAUAAAAGAGGAAAUCGGAUUUGGAUCGGGGGAAAUCAAAAGUUGUCGAAUAGUCAUCCCGGUCCGUUCGUCUCCGUAUGAGGUAAGUUCGUAAGUGAAUAAAUGAUGCUAAAUUGAAUGUAUUUAUUUUGUACAUAGCCGGAUUGAAUUGUAUGUAUGUAUAACUACAUUGCUGAAUUGAAUUUAGCAUGGAAUGAUUUGUUACGAGCAUGAAUCGAUCGAAUUGUAACGUCCGAAAGCCCCCUACGAACCAUAUGAAUAGUUAGGAUACAUAUGUCAUGACAUAGGAUUUCGGUAUGUGAUUUCGUGUAAGACCACGUCUGGGACGUUGGCAUCGAUUUGAGAUUUACGUGUAAAACCAUGUCUAGGACAUUGGCAUCGUAUAUGAUUUCGUGUAAGACCCUAUCUGAGACAGUGGCAUUGAUAUUUAAUUACAUGUAAGACCUCGUCUGGGACGUUAGUAUUGUACGAGCUUUUCGAGUUUUUUGAGUAUCCUUAUUGAUUCCAAAUGGUUCAGCGGGCAUUGUCGAGUUAAGAUAGAAUGUGAAAUCGAGCUAAAUGGUUCAGGUUCGUGUGAAGUUAAAUGUUCAUGAAAAUAAGGUAAGUAUAGUACUUGAGAUGAUGAUAUAAUUAUGCAUGUUAAAAGAGUGAUUUAUGUGUGCAUGAGAUAGUUUAUAUUCGGCCAAGUUGAAAUUAUAAUGCUAAUGUUCAUUUGAUGAUUUAUUUGCUUAUGACUUAUUAAGCUAUCCAAGCUUACUGUAUGUGUUCAAUUGAUGUUUUAUAGAUUUUGGAAGCUAGCUACGAGCUCGGGGAUCAUCAAGGAAAUCUGUCACAGUAUCGAUCGCUAUUUUGGUAUUUUUAAAAGCUUGAACUUCGAACCUAUGGCAUGUAUAGGCUAGCAUUUUUUUGGUUGGUCUUGAAAUUUUUAUAUAUUUAGCCAUGCAAAAAUGGCUUGAUCUUAAUGCUAAUGUUAUAAUGUUUAAGUAAUUUUGGUCAUGGUAUGUGUGUGUUAAACUUGAUAUAUGGAUGAUGAAUGUGUUUCGGUUGUGGCUUAUUAUUUAUUUAUUUAGGAUGUAUAAUUUGUCUUGUGAAUUGGCUUGGAGGUGGUAAAUAAUGUGCAUUUAUAUUCGGCUAGUGAUGGGUAAAACAUAUACAUAUGCCUAUGACAUGUUUGCUUGUGGUUCGGUAUUUAAAGGUCAAGUUGCUAGUGCAAUGAUUGAUUACUAAAUGUGCUAUAUAUGUGGUAGUAAAUUUGGCUUUGGUAUGUGGUUUAUUUUGGUAAGCAUGUGAUUUGAUAAUGGUGUGACCGAUUGAGGUUAGAUUUGAUGACCGAAUAAAUGAUUAGUUAAUAGGUUGAAAUAUGAAGUUUAGGCAUAUUAUUAUAUAUGUGAAUUAGGUGUACAUUGAUAUGUUAUUUGUGUUCGAAAGUUUAAAUGUGACUAUAGUGAAUUGCGCAUGAGCUAGUAAUAAUUACAAUUGUGUGUGGUUAUUUGGUGAUGCUUGUUUAUGUUUUAUAUGUAAGCAUGUCUAUUAAGCCGUGUGGAUAGUUUAACUUUGAUCAUUGUGCAUAACAUGUGAAUUGGCAUAUUCAUUAAUUAGUUAAUGGAAUGGGAUAGUAUUGAUUUGGUAAUUGUGCUUAGAAAUGGCUUUUGUUUUUAGGGUAAUAAGCGCGUAAUAUAAUAGCAUUAUAGGUAUGUUCGGCCAUGUUGUAAGGUUAAGUAAUACCACACAUGUGAAAGAAUAUUAUGUCGUGUAAAAUGGGUUGAUAUAGUUUAAUAUGAAAUGGUGCAUAGAUGAGCAAAAUGGUAUGAUUAGAUUUUUUUUUUUGAACUUAGGAAGGAAAUUGUACUAAAAGAUGUUUCAAUGUAUGUUUGGUAUAUGGAAUAAAAAAUGCUUGUUUAUGAGUUGGGUAUUCGAAUGCCAUGAAAAUGAUGGUCAUAUGGUUUGAAUGUUAUAAUUAAUAAGCAAUUAUAAUAUGGCCUUGAUGUAUGUUAGUUGGUUCGAAAUUUGGAUUUGAUAAUUGAUUUCGAGAUGGUUGAGUUAUGAUGCAGGGUUCUCAUAUGUGUGAAGUGGCUAGUGAAACAUGACUUGUUUUGGUUGGUUACGUAAUUAAUAUGUGCGAAUUUAAUUUAUAUGAUUGAGCUGCUGGUUACUAUUCGAGUUUAAAAUUCUCGUGAUUGAGUAAAGAAAAUUUUUGUACUUGAUUUUAAUUGAAAGACUGUUCUGAACUGUGUCUUGGUUGGUAAUACCUCGUAACCCUAAUCCGGCGACGGAUACGGGUUAGAGGUGUUACAAGGCUACCAUACAUGGUAUUUAUAUACAUUCCAUAUACUAAAAUUAGCCUAAUUCAUCUAACAACCAACCCAUUAAAAUAUGAUUUUUAGCAGUUUUUUUUAAAUCUAGCAUUUACAAAGUCAAAUAAAAUCUAAUCAACCAUAAAUUUCUCAAAAAUUUUAAUUCAACCCCCUUUUAUUGCUUGUGGUCCAAUUUAGCCUGAUUUGCUUUCUAACUCAAAUUUUGACACUCAAAUGGUGUACCUGAUCAAAUUAAACAUAAAUUACAUACUAAGUAGCAAAAAUUUACCAAAAUUGGGUGGGUUAAACAUACAAAUCCAACAUGUUAUCAGUAAGUUUAUUGUUUCAACCAUUGAACUUAUUAAGCUCUAUAAUAGCUUACUCGUGUCAUUUUCCUGUUUAUUUGUAAAUAUCAUUUUGUGGAAUCGGGGGAUCGGAUCAACCUGAAUAUCACACUAUCUAGAUGCUUAUUGGUAGUCUUUGUCAUAUUCACUUUUGGGUUAUAUGGCAUGUAGUAAGUGUGUUAUGUGUAUGUUUUGGAUAAUGACUUCAUGUGUUACAUCUUUGGUUAUUAUAAGAUUGGUUAAGCUUUUUUGUGUAUGUACCUUGAGUUUUGUGUAUGUAAAUGUCCAUGUAAAGUUGUUUUGGCUAUUUGAAAGAGACCUUAUGAAAGUGUUUGAAAAAUGGUAAGAUUGAAUGUGAAUGGAUUUAAUGAAAUGGUAAGUUUGACAUGAGUUUUAUAUAUGGAUUUAAGAACUGGAAUGCAACUUUGUUGGUGUGAUAUAUGGAUAGAUUUGGUAAUUGAAUUGUGGUGUCAAUGAGGGUACAUUGGUUAGGCACUUAAGUUGUAGGUUUCAAUAUGUUUUAAGCCCAUUUGAAUAUGUUUUUGAGGUAUGGAAAUGGUUGGUUUUGAGUUAGCUUGGAAUCUAAUGUUUGGUUGAAAAUGUGUCUUGUUUUGAAAGCUUUUUAAGGUGCACACAGCCUAGGACAUGGGCUGUCACACGGCAAUGUCCUUGAGCCACACGGUUUGGGCUCUGUCACACGGCCUAACCAUAUGACCGUGUAACCCAUAUUUUUAAAAUUUUGUUUUGCUUCAAGUUAGUCCAUGAUUGUUUCUAAACUACUUUUAAGGCCUCGUAAGCUCGAUUUAAGGCCCGUAAAUAUAUUUAUGCUAUGAAAGAAAUUUAGAAUUGAAUGUUGUUGUUUAAAUUAAUAAAUGAAUGGUUUGAUAGUUUUAAUUGUUUUGAUAUGUAUUGUAAUACUCUAUAACCUUAAUCCGAUGAUGGAGACAGGUUAGAGGUGUUACAAUUUAUCAUUAUCAACUUCAAAACUUCAAUAUUGUUGAAAAUGAGGGCAAGAAGGAAUAAUAAAGAAUUAUUUUCAUUAUUUUUAUUCUUUUUCUCUAGUUAGCUAUCAGUUUACUAGUUUUAGGUAUCAGGUGUCAAAUAUUUUGACUUAUUUUGGUUGUUUCUGUUAGGACUAUUGAUGUUUGUUAAUGUUUUUAUCAUUAUCUAAACAACUUCUUGGUUUGUCUAUUCACUCACUUGUUUAAACAUAUGUCUAGAAAACCCUUUAUACAGAAGUCUAGACAUUAUUUCAGGAUAGCCUGUUGGUUUAUGUUGUUGGCUUUUUUAUUUGGACCUUUAUGAUUAUUUUCUCUAUAAGGAAAUGAUCCUUCGAAGAUGUUUUAUCUUCUCUUAAAUGACGUUGGUUGAAUUUGGGUAAAGAAAAGAAGGAUGAAUCAACUUACAUCAUCCUUAUCAUUUUGCUUAGGGAUCAAGCUUGUUAUUUUACUUGGACUUGAAGACUUUAUAAUCAUAAUGAUUUAUCUUGGAUAAUAUCUUUUUUUAAAUGAUAUCAAAUUUGGCUGAUUGAAGAAUCUUGGAGAUCAACUUAUCUUAUCCUUUAAGCUAUUUUAGGGUUUAAGAUUUUUGGAUAGAUCUGUUAUUUGAUUUUGGCCCCUUUUAUUUUUAUGAUCGAUCACUUCUUACCUUUAAAAUUAGUAAAUGUGUUGGAGAUUAUUGGUUGUCUACUGGAUGGGAUAUAGCACUGUUAAGGAAUUAGUUGCCGGAGGAUAUUUUGGAGAGAUUGCAGAUGCUACCUCCAAUUUACUACAGCCUAGCCUGAUGAACUUAUUUGGAGUAAAAGCUUGACCGUGAUUUUCUCUAUGAAAUCAACCUAUGAUUCUCUUAUUGAUUUGAAAGGUAACGAGUAUUCUUUUGUUAAAAUUGUUUGGCGAAUUUAGUGACAACCUCACAUUCAAUACUUUCUUUGGUUAGUUUCGCGAGAUAGAAUUAUGAUGAGUACUAAUCGUAAAUUUUGGAGCCUCGCCCUUGUUGAAAACAUCAUUGUGUGUGGUGCGGCUAUUGAGAGCACAUUGCAUGUUCUCCACAACUGCCCUGUGGCUAAGGAAGUAUGGAUAACUUUUUUGGUUACAAUUCAGGUAUGAAAUUCUUUUCAUGUGAUCAUGAGUCUUGGUUUCUUCUUAAUUUAUGUACGUAUAGUAAAAAGAGGCUCGUAUUCUCUUUUCUUUUUUCUUUUUACUAGUGUUUAUGGAAGUGGAGGAACGGGUUUUGUUUUACUGGUAGGAUGUUGACUGUUGACAAUAAGCUAGUUAUUUUGUAUUGAGGUUUGCAUGAUUAGGAUAGUUCCUAUACUGGUAGUGUCACAAAAACGAGAACUGAAAUCUUUUUUGGGUAGGAGAAGCCAAGUGGUUGUUGCGUGAAGCUCAAUGUGGAUGGAAUUUGUCAGUUGUCUGAGUCUGCUUCUAAUGUUAGUCGACUUGUAGGUGUUGAUGGUGUGCUAAGGAACAACGACAGUACUUGGCUUGAUAGUUUUUAGGCAUAAUGUGGGGAUUGUGGUAUCGAUUUUGCUAAACUUUAAGAGCUUUAUCAAGGCAUUCUUAUGACAUGGAGUAAAGGGUAUAGAGAUGUUUUUGUUGAGUCAAAUUCCCUUUCGUCUAUUUUGAUGAUUAAGUUAGGCGUUAAUGUCAUGCAUUCUUUGUUUUGUCUAGUCUCGGUUAUUAGGGUACUUUUGAAUUGGGAUUGGAGUUGUCGUCUAAAUUAUGUUCCUUGACAAAGGAAUUCUAUGGCGAAUUAUUUAGCUAAGGCGAGCUUAAAUAUGGAUGUUAAUUUUACUUUUCUUAACCAACCUCCUCGAGUUGUCGUACACCUACUGAAGGCAAAUUUGUAAAUGGUCGUUUUAGCGAGACUCGUUGCCUUAACUUGAUUAGGGCUUUGGCCCUCUUUUAUAACAAAUUCUUUGUAAUGACAAGUUAUUUUAACUAAUUACUUAAUAUUUUUCUAUUGGUUGAAUAUCGUACAUGCAAGUAUAUGUAUCGUGACAAGUAGUAUAAAAAUAUCGAUUUCACAGAAAGCUAUUACUAAUUAUAAGUUGAUCACAAAAUAUCAUUCUAAUACCUAUCCAAAUAAAUCAAUAAUAUAAUUUUCUCAAAUAAAUAAAAAUAAGCAACACAAAUUAAAACGAAAUGAUCAAUCAAUAAUAAAAACUUAGGAUUACAAUUUCAUCCAAUGUUCCAUCUCUGCCCAAUUUACUCUAAUAGAGUUGAUUACUAACCUAAGAUACUAAAAUUCCCUUAAUUCUUUUCUAAGCAAUUAAGGAACUAAUAACUUAGACCAAAUUGAUUAAGAAUAAACCUCAAUUAUGACUACUCAAUGUAAUUAGGUAUAUUCUUAUCCUAAUAACGAAUUGCAGAUUGACCCAUCUAAUUUAAACCAAACGUUACUCAUUCUAAACAUAAAAUGAACAAAACGAAAAAUCUUUUUCCGAUUUCUUUAGGUUUUGUCAAACUAGUAGUUGGUUUGAUGAUUAUCAAUCAAGAAUGAAAAUGAAUAAAUAAUCAAAUCUCUAUUAAGAAUAAAGAGAGAUGGAAAUAGAAAAAUAUUCAAUUAACUAAACAUAGAAUCCAUGCAAUUCUAGAUUGAAAACUUAGUUCAUGGAAAAACUAAAAAAAAUCUUUAGAUAAAAGCAAGAAUUACUCAUAGAAAAAGGAAACAUGAAGAAAAUCGAUGGAGAAACUCAAUCUUCUUGAUGAAAUCCAUCUAUUCUUGAUGCGUGAAGGCUUUAGGGGCUUCUCUCAUUUUUUCUCCUAUCCUUUCUUUUGAGUUAUGGUCUCUUUUUUCCUUUUUAUGACCCAUAAAAAUUGCAACUCUUAAAAACUAUUCAUGUAUGUGCACUGCUCCAGCGGACAAUCUUUUUGCUGGAAAGGAAAGUUGUGUUGUUGGGGUGAAAAAACCUUUUACUGGAUUAAAAAUCUGCCUUAAUUGUCUAUGUGAAGCUAACAUUUUCCUAUACUUUGUUGGACUUGCACUGGAUAAGAAUACUUGAAAAUAAGUUCGAUUUAACACUAAUAAUAUAUAAUUAACUAAAACAUAAAUAAAAUAAAAUUCCUAAAAUAUACUAAAAUUAACUUAUAAAAUAAACUAAAAUCCUAAAAUCCUACUAAAAUAAAAUACAAAUAACUCUAAGAUAUUAGAGUUAUCAAUUUUUCACUUUUUUAUUUUCUUUAGUUUUAAAACACUAUUUUGUUCUCUCAAUUAUAUUUCAAAAUUAAUAGAAUUUUACUACAAAUUAGAUUAUUCCUCAUGUAAUUAGUUUAAAAUAUAUAUUAUUUAAUAAUUUUUAAAAUAAACACGUAAAUCACGUGUAACACACAUGACUUAAGAACUAUUGAUAACAAAUGAUAGUGAUUCAAUAAUCUAAUUAUGAAUUUCACUCUUGUAUUUCAUAAAAUUUGAGAUUAUCAUAAUCUAGUUGGUAAAAGUACCGUAAGGGUUCCUAUACUAAUAGUUAGAUUGCACUUUAUACCCCUGUAUUAAAACAAAAUGGGCAAAUCAAAUCACUUUACAUUAGAUUAAAGAGUAAAUUGGUUUUUUCCGUUUAAAAAUUUCAUCCACUUCUACCAUUAAAAACUAUCGUGGUUGAUGAAAUAACUAGACAAUCAUAUAUAGCAUGCUACGUGUAGCUCAUGCUAACAUACAAUGACCCAUUUUUAACAGUAAAAUGGAUAAUUUUUUUAACAAAAUAACCAAUUUGCUCUUUGAUUUAAUGUACAGGAACUAAAUUGCCCAUUUUUCUAGUAGAGAGGACAAAAUGCAUUAUGACUCCUAAUACAAAGAAUUAACGAUACUUCUACUUAAUUUGGUCUUUUCACUUUAUUAAAUUUCAUCAUAAGGGCAUAACUAAGAGGCAGGCAAGUAUUUUUCAUAUUAUAUUUUUCCCUCUCUUUGAGUUGCAACUAAAAUUUGUCCAUGAUUAUUUCAAAAAAGAAAAACAACAUUUUCCCGAAGUAUAAUGAAGGAUCUAUCAAAGCCCGCAAUUGUCUCUCUCAUUAACAAAAACCUAAUCUUUUGUAUAGAAUUUCUUAUUCAAUUGGUGUCACCCAUCAAUCGGAUCUCUACCCAAUUAAGAAAUUACUAAAAAAAUUGUUUUAUUUACGAAAUUAUAUAAUUAUGAAGAGUGUUUUUAUUUUUUGUUUUUAUAUAUUUUUAUAAAUCAAUAAAAAUUUGAACUAAAAACCUUUUGUAUUUACCACUUUCAAUCAAAACAAUUUUUAAUUUUAUAUAAAAAUUUAAUAAAUAUAUUGUCAUAUAAAUUUGUUAAUGAGGCGAGUAGAAGUAAAAGUUUAUGAGUCACUAUAUUUCUACAUUCCUUUUUCUAACCAACACAAAUCACAUUAAAUUUGACUCACUUAUAUAUGCACAAUAAAUCAAUAAUAAUCCAAUCAUUAUUAACAAGUAUUUUGUGUUUUAAAAGUAAAGAAUUAAGCUCAACUCUGAUAUUAUCAAAAAAAAGGAUUGUUAUCAUGAAUUAAAUUUUAUAAAUUAUUAAAAUGAAAAUAAAAUAAAGCUACCGUUGGUUUUUUUUUUCUAGAAGCAGAUGGAAUAAAAUAAGUGGAAAGCCUUUCAUAGCAAUUUCAACUUCUGGUAUGGGAAGAUGCAAAUACUUCGUUUUUUAGCAACUUAUAUGCGAAUUUGAAAUUAAUGUGAAUUAAAUACUUAAAUUAUAAAUUUUUUUAGGGUUCUAAUAAAUAUUCAAUCAACCAUAAUUUAUGUUGCUAAUAAAUUAACUGUAUAUGAAAAUGGACCGCAUUAGCAUUUUAAUGGGUAGUUAAUACUGCUAGCAAUUUUCAAAUUAUAAUACCAAGUUAAGGAAAAUUAACCCUUGCUUCAUUGUUCAUUGAUUUCAAUCUUUAGGUGCCAUUAGGCAUCAAAAUCUAGGUUCACCAAUGCCUUUAGGCAUGCCCAUUCAAAGAUUUUUUUUCUGGAAAAUAAUUUCUGGUCCAUGAUUAAUCUAAAAUAUUCUAUUUGAUUGUUAAAUCAAUAAAUAAACAACAUUAGUUGGUUAAGUAUAUAAACAAAAAGGAAAACUAAAAAUAUUAACAUCUCAUCUUUUGUAUAUCAAGAUUACAUAAAAGGAAGCAGCAUGACUCAGUAAAUCAACUCAACAUCUGAGGCUUUUGCUUAUCGACACUGACCCCAAAACAAUCUUAAAAUUUUGAGAAAAAGAAAAACAGAUGACCAUAUUCAAUCAUCUCGAGUCAUGUAAGAGAGGACACUGCUAACUGCUUAAAAGAAUAAAGCCAUCAUUAGUAAUUUGGUUCUUGAUUAAAUACAGACAAAAUUCACUCAAAGGCUGUAGCAUCUCUAGUUUGAUAGGGACUGCAAUGGCAGAAACCAACUAAAACGAUGCAAUCCUUUAAAAGAUGUCAAUAUGCAACUCAUCCACUGCAAUGUGUUCAUGAAAUGUUUAAAACAUCAAAAUAAAGCAAAGCAGGUGGUCUAAGUUGAAUGUUUAGCAGGCAUCCAUCUAAGGUCUCAUAACGUUAAUACAAAUUACAUAAUCCAUAGUCCAAUGCCAGCUACCAUUACUUAAGCUUAAUUCAACCCAUGAUCAAGCCAAAUAAAUGAUCUUUGCAGACACCCAACUUCUAAAUUGGACUUCAAUCGCAUGACAGUCAUUUAAGAAGCAUGGCCAUUGGCCCAACACCCCACAGUAACGCCACAACUUGGUUCCUUGAGGGAAGUAAUACACAAUAGAUCUCACUUGAGGGAAGGAAACAAGUGGACCAGCCCAGGCAUGUCGUAACUCAGAAUUCAUAGCCUUACGGUCACACAUGCUUCGACAGAGAUUACCUAUUUCACAAAAAGAAUGGCAACCUUUGAAAAGGAUGAUUUGAGUAGGUAGCUGUGUCCAUAAAAAUAUAUAUGGCAUAGAUCCAUACCGGAUCUUGAGAAGAAAUAGAGAAAAUUGUGGAAAUCUGAAAUGGAGUGCAUGGCCGUGAGAGUACCGGUGAAGGAGAGGAGUGAAGAGGGAAGGAAUAAAAUUUUCAACAGCAAUUGAGGAAAAAAAAAUUUAAAGGUAUUUUCUUUAAUUAUAUUAUAAUUUUAACUUAUUUGAUUCUUUUUAAUAAUAUAGGGAUUAAAUUGGUUCAUUUAAUAAUAGGGGACUAAUUUGAUAUAAUACCUAUAAUACAAGGACCUCCUAUGUAACACCCCAAAUUCGGUCUAAACUUUAUGACAGAACCUGGGAGUGUUACGAAGAAGGGUUAUGAACCCAAUGGUAUUUUGAUAAAACAAGGUUUAGUUAAUUGAUAAAACGUUUAAGUUUUAUAAAACAUAUUCAUUUAUAUAUAUUUCUGAAACUGUUACAAGUUGUUCUUUAAAGUUAACCAAUUAUUUUGCAGCGUAAGUUCGAAAAUCCUUUAAAACAAAAUCACAUUCGUGUUUUCAAAAAAUAACAUUUGUUCGCAUAAAAUUAAUAUUUUGCCAGAUCAUCGCAAUUUAGAAAUCGUAACGCAAUCAACCCAAAAGUUCAAACCAACAGUUCAAAAAGUCCAAAGAGUCCAAAAAUUACAAAGCUCUCACGAAAACUGGAAAUCUCAAUAAAACCGUUAAUUAAUAAUAAUAAAAACAGUUCCCAUCAAGUGGUCACCGCUGAACCUUCAUCGCACCAACUCGCCUAUGUCUUAGAUUACCUCAACAGAACAGACAACAGAUGUGAGUUUUCAUAAACUCAGUGUGUAACUCAACAGAAAUAGCCAUGCAACAUACGCAGAAUUUCAUAUGCAGUCAAAUAUUGAUUCGGACCUAAGUCCAUAAUAGAUACAGAUAUCAAAAUCAGAUAAACAGAACUGAUAUAUAGAAUCUUACCCCAUCCACUACACACCAUCUCCGACCAUCCUAUCACACCAUGUGGGGUUAAAAACUCCCACCCAUCCUAACACACCAUAAAGUGUCGAUGCGACAUAUAACAAAAUAAUAUGCAGUCAUGCUACCAGAAUACAGGCGAAAGAUCGUCGUACAGGCCACUUCUUUCUCAUAUACAAAUCCCACCCCAAACACAGAUACAGAAUUAACAUGCUUAACAUGCUCGUAUUCAGAUAUCAUAUAUACUUAAACAGAACAGUCAGACAUACCUAUCAGUGUCCUACUUAGUUUAGACUAUCAGAAUAUCAUAUCACAUGAGUUAGGGUUUGGUUAGCCCUUUCCAACCCUGCGGUAGGGCCACAGUUGAUCGGAAUGACCUAUGCGACCCUAGAGGAAAAUUUCAGAAUCCUGGGCUCACAUGCCCAUGUGCCCCAUAUGCCUAGAUUGGCUUUGCCCAUGUGGCCCCCACGGUCUGGCCCAAAACCAACACACCUGUGUGGUAUGCCCGUGUAGGCCCACACAUCUACACUCACACCGUCACAUGGCUGUGUCUCGCACAUGACCACACCUAUGACAUUCCCAUAGCCGUGUCUCGCACACAGCUAGCUAUAUAAUAUGACACAUGCUUGUGUGGCGUCGACAGUGCCCUUUUUCAGCUUUCAUUGAAUCUUUGGUUUUUCGUGUUUAGGGUACACAUGGUUGGAUUUCGAAGUACUUCCAAAGGUGAUGAUCCCAAUACCUAUAAUCAUCAAUACUUUAACAAAUUAAACCACAUAAACUCUCAAAUUAUUGAUUAAACAUCAUCAAUGUUCUUAACAUGUUGAAAAACCCAAACAACCGCAACCACUCAGAAUUUGGUAGGCUCACUUACCCUCGAAGACAGCGGCCCACGAUAAUCACUCUGCCAAAAAAACACCCACUGACUUGUAAUUCUCACUUAAUCGAUUAUCAAACAAUAAACCAAAUGGAAAAUGGUCAAAAGAAAACCUCUUAAACACACACAACACAAACGAAACCCCCAAUCUAUUCAUCAAUUUCUAUAACCAAAACUUAAAUAAAGUCACAUACUUACCAAAACAAUAGCAAUCGAACUUGCACAACAAGGAUUUCCCCAAACCAAACUUGAAAUACCUGAACAGGAAAGUAGACGAAAAAAAACAAAAGAAAGAAAACCCAAAGAAAAAGAAUGUGAAAAGAACUAAUUGAUUUUUAGAAGAGAGAGGAAAAAUAAAAUAAAAAAAUAAUAAAAAAGAUUACCCCAACUCCCCCUUAUCCCACUAACUAAAAAAUCUCCCAAAAACUGACCUACUACCACAAAUUUCCACUUGCACCGAACCUCUACUAUACUACCGAAACACUCACAGGAGCAAAAAUUAACAUCCACGAUUGCACAGGGAUUCGAAUCAAGACCUUAAGGCAAGCUAACACCUUAUCUCUCGAACUAGCAAACUCAUUCUUAUAUAGUUUACAAACAAUAUCAAAUAAGCCUACCCAGCAAGGAUAAGGCUAGGAUACAAAUAACAAAAUUGCCAAAAGUGGGACUUGAACCCCAAACCUCACACACACACCCAGAACACUUAGUCACUAAAAUAAAUACACAUUUGUGUUUAAUAUCACCAAAAGUAGACUUAAAUUAUUUAGGGCGUUACAAAUCUACUGUCUAAAAGAAAUUUCUGCCUCGAAAUUUACCUGAUUUGAAUAGAUGAGGAUACUGCUGAUGAAUCAAGUCCUCAAGUUCCCACAUAACUUCCUUAGUGCCAUGAUUUCACCACAGAGCCUUUGCCAAUAGAAUGGACUUCCUCUUCAGAACCUUAAUAUCUCGAUCCAAAAUCUGAGUCGACUCCUCCUCAAACGUCAAAUUCAGUCUAACCUCGAUCUCCUCAACAAAGACAACGUGAGAUGGAUUAGAUCGAUACUGCCUCAACACCAAGACGUGAAACAUAUCAUGGAUACGGUACAACUCUGGUGGUAGCUCUAAUUGAUAAGGAACCGGUCUCAUGCGUCUCAGAAUCUGAUAUAUCCCAAUAAACCUAGGGCUAAACUUGCCUUUACGACUGAACCUCAAAACUUUCUUCCACGGAGAUACCUUAAGAAAUACAAAGUCCCCUACAGAGUACUCAAUAUCUCUCCUUUUUAGAUCCGCAUAAGACUUAUGUUUAUCAAAAGCAACCUUCAGACGAUCUCGAAUUAGUCUAACCUUAUCUUCAAUCUCAGAAACCAACUCAGGAUCCAAAACCCGACUCUCGCCCAACUCAGUCUAACAUAGCGGAGUACAACACUUACAACCAUACAAAGCCUCAUAAAGUGUCAUCUGAAUGCUAGAAUAGAAACUAUUGUCAUAGGCAAACUCAGCUAACGGUAGAAAAUCCUCCCAACUAACUCAGAAAUCAAUCACACAACUUUGAAGCAUAUCCUCUAGUAUCUAAAUCACCCUCUUAGACUAACCAUCAGUUUGAGGAUGGAACGUAGUACUGAAGUCAAAUCUCGAACGCAGAGCUUCAUGCAACUUUUUAUAAAACCGAGAAGUGAAGCGAGGACUCCUAUUAGAGAUUAUCGAAACUAGAACCCCAUGUAAUCUCACAAUCUCAAAAUUAUAGAGCUUCGCUAGUUUUUGCAGAGAGUAGUCCAUCCGAACAGGAAUAAAAUGGGCAGACUUUAUUAAUCGAUCCACAAUGACCCAAACAAAAUCCUUCUUAGUGGGUGUCAAGGGCAACCCACUAAUGAAGUCCAUCGUUACUCGUUCUCAUUUUCAUAAGGGAAUUUUAACAGAUUAAAGCAAACCCGAAGGCAACUGGUGCUCAGCCUUAACUUACUAGCAUGCCAGGCAACAAACAACAAAAACUGUUACCUCUCGUUUCAAACCCGACCACUAAUACAGCUCACGAAGAUCCCGAUAAAUUUUAUUACCAUUGGGAUGCAUAACAUAAUGACUACUAUGCGCUUUCUUCAUAAUCAACUGUCUCAAAUCGGAAUCGUUCGAUACACAAAUCUAUCCUCAAAAAUACAGAACCCCAUCUUUAUUCAGCCCAAAAUCAGAUGCACUGUUGCUCUCAACUUGACGGAACCGCAGAACUAGAGAAUCAUCCCCUAAUUGCUUAUCUCGAAUUUGAUCAAUCCAGGUCGACUUAACUUACAACUCGGCUAAUAGAACUCUAUCAUCAAACAAGCUGAGACGAGCGAACAUCGCCCUCAAGUCAAAUAUCAUUCUACGACUGAGAACAUCGGCCACCACAUUAGCCUUAUCGAGAUGAUACUCUAGCGUACAAUUAUAAUCCUUAAGAAGCUCAACCCAUCGACACUAUCUAAGAUUCAACUUCUUCUCAGUAAGGAAGUACUUGAGGCUCUUGUAAUCGGUAUAGAUAAUACAUCUCUCACCAUACAGAUAGUGCCUCCAGAUCUUUAUCACAAACACCACGACAGCCAACUCAAGAUCAUGCGUCGGAUAAUUUCCCUCAUAUGACUUAAGUUGUCGGGACGCAUAAGCCACAACCUUAUCCUAUUGCAUCAAAACACAUCCCAAAUCGACGUGCGACGCAUCACUAUAUACCACAAACUUCGUACCAGACUCAGGCUAUAUUAGAAUAUAAGUCUGAGUCAAAAUAGACUUGAGCUUCUCAAAGCUUGAUUGUUACACAUCAUUUCAAAUGAAAGGAACACUCUUGCGUAGAAGCUUAGUUAAAAGAGCUGCAAUCAGCGAGAACCCCUCAACAAACUUCUGAUAAUAACCCGUAAGUCCCAGAAAACUGCAGAUCUCAAAUACAUUCUUAGGCUGUUUCUAAUCAAGCACAACCUCAAUCUUUCUAAGAUCAACUCAGAUCCCUUCAGCAGAAACACGUAUCCUAUAAAUGUUACGUCUUGCAACCAGAAUUCACAUUUGUUCAACUUAACAUAGAGCUGUUUCUCUCAAAGUAUCUGAAGCACUACUCUAAGAUGCUCAUCAUGCUCAACCUCAGUUUUAUAGCACACCAGAAUAACGUCGAUAAAGACUACGAUAAACUGAUCCAGAUACGGUUGAAAAACUCAGUUCAUCAGAUUCAUGAAUACAGCCGGAGCAUUUGUCAAGCCAAAUGGCAUAACUAGGAACUCAUAGUGCCCAUAAUGAGUCCUAAAAGCCGUCUUAUGAAUAUUAGCUUCCUUAACCCUAAGUUGAUAAUACCCAGAAUGAAGAUUUAUUUUCGAGAAUAUCGCCGCUAUGAAACUGAUCAAAUAGGUCGUCGAUCCUCGAAAGUGGGUACUUAUUCUUCACAGUCAGUUUAUUCAAUUGUCGGUAGUUGAUGCACAUCCUCAUAGUACUAUCAUUUUUCUUUACAAAUAAAACCAAUGUCCCCCACGGAGACACACUAAGACAGAUAAAACCACAAUCUAAAAACUCUUGAAGUUGAACCUUAAGCUUUGUAAGCUCUUUUGGUGCCAUACGAUAUAGAAUGAUGGACACCGGAGCUGUAAUUAGUAGAACCUCAAUGCCGAACUCAACUUCCCGAUUUGAAGGUAAACCCGGUAACUCCUCAAGAAAAACAUCUGAAAAUUCCCUCAUUGUUCUGAUAUCCCUUCAAAAGAGUCCCCAAAAACUAAAAAACUAAUGUAAGCCAAAUACGUCUCACACCCUUUCUGAACCAAUUUCUUAGCCACUAGAGCGGAGAUCACAUUAGACAGGUAAUCUCGACGCUCACCAAUUAUAACCACCUCCUUAUCAUCCUUGGUCCUCAGAACAACCCUCUUAGUCACAUAAUCUAAACUAACUCGAUGCCGAGCUAACCAUUCCAUACUUAAAAUUAAGUCAAACUGUCCAAAUGGUAGCCCCAUCAAAUUUGCCAAAAACACAGCCCCUUGUACUUCAAACGGAAUAUUGUUGUAAAGUCUAUUUACCCAAACAGAUUGUCCUAACGAACUCAACACAGAGAUCUCACCAGAAGUUCACUCAACAAUAAUCUCUAAGUUCUCGGAAACAGAACUAGUUACAUAAGAGUGUGUAGAACUUAUGUCUAUCAAAGCAGUAUAUGAAGCAUAAAAAAUAAAAAUGUAAUCGUGAUCACAUUAGGGGCGCCUCUUCCAUUUCAGCGUCAAGCAGUAUAAACCAAUGCAGACUACCUUGCCUCAGUCUAAUUAGCACCUCUAUCUGGUGCUCUCUAUUAUUGGCCCAUAUCAUUACCACCCCUAGCUAGUCUAUGGCCCCUAGGUGGCUGAUGUACUAUCCUUUGAGGCUAAAUAGAACCCAGUCUCGAAGCUUGCAUCUAAUCAGCAUGAUGUGGACACUCUCUAAUCCGAUGCUCUAAUGACCCACACCACAGACAAGCUCCUAAUCUCCUCCAACAUUCGCCUGAAUAGCGCCUACCACAAUCACCACAAGUCUGAAUCCUAGUAGGAGCAACAAGAACUCCCAUUCUAACAGGCCCAUCAGGUUUGGGCCAUUUCUUAGGCCCCUGAAUAGAACUAAAGGGCUACAAAUCCCUUUUAUUCAUGCUUCUCUCAUGAUCUCUAUUCUGGUGCUCCAUACGCUUAACCUUCUUGGUGAUCUUCGCCUAAUCCACAAGAACAGUAAACUCACACUCUCUUUACAGAACAAUCAGAACCCUUAGACUAUCCCUCAAACCAUCCUAAAAAAUAGACACAUUUAUCAUACUCAAAUGCCACCAUACCUCGAGCGUAGUGGCUCAAUCUUAGAAACUCAGCCACAUACUCGGCUACAGACUUAUCAUAUUACGUGAGAUUCAUGAACUCACGCCUACAAACAUCCACAUAGCUCACACACACGUACUUUCCCUAGAAGGCAGUCUUAAAGUAGUCCCAGUUCAGACGAUCCGGUUGAGUACCCUUCUCAACGGACAACCACCACUGAUAAGCUUCGUCGCGAAGUAAAAAGACUGCACCAUUCAAUUUCUGCUCAGAAGUUCAAUCAAUGUCAUUCAUAAUCCUCUCAGUAGCCUCCGACCAAUACUCUGCCACAGUAGGGGCGGCUUUAGUGACGUCCCUGAACAACUCAGUUCUAUUGGAACGAAGUCGUUCAGUUACCAACCCACGGCCCCCAAAUCUAGUAUGGGGUCCAAGGACCUUCUCUAACACUCUCAACAUGGCUUGGGACAGUGCGUCAUCCCCAGCCGAUUGGCUUUGAGACCCUGUCUUAGUAGCAGGUGAAUCGGUGUCUCAUUAGUGUCUAAAUUCGACAUACCACCCAGAGAGAAAAACUCAGCUCAAGGUCUCCUACGGUACGGUGCUUGUCGAGCCCACGAAUACCACGACAGCGAGUUUCACGAGUGCUUAUCAUAUUUUCGAUUUUAUCUACAUUAUAAAAUUUUAUGCAUCAAUUUCAAUUUUUAUUAGUAGAUAGUUUAUGCUCAAGUUAACAGAAGUUCAAAAGUAUUUCAGAGGUUUUAGUCUCUAACUAACUCAGUACAGUUUCAGAAAGUACUGACUACAUGUUUUCUAAAUUUAGAGAUACUUACAAGAUCAACAUCGGAGACUCUGUGUACCACAUACUUACUCAAAAUGAUCCAAAUUAUUUGAAAACCAGUUCUUCUUCAAAACACAAUUUUAGAACCCAAAAUUCACAGCACGAGUUUUGCAACCUAGCUCUGAUACCAUUAAAUAUAACGUCCUAAACUCGGCCUAGACAGUAUGAACGAAUCUGAGAGUUUUACAAAGAAGGGUUAUGAACCCGAUGGUACUUCGAUAAAAUAAUGUUUAGUUAAUUGAUAAAACGUCUAAGUUUUAUAGAACAUAUUCAUUUAUAUAUAUUGCUAAAACCAUUACAAGUUUUUCUUUAAAGUUAACCAACUAUUUCGAAUCGAAAGUUUGAAAAUCCUUUAAAACAAAACCACGUUCAUGUUUUCAAAAAAUAACAUUUGUUCGCGUAAAAUCGAUAUUUGGUCAAAUCAUUACAGUUUAGAAAUCAUAACGUAAUCAACCCAAAAGUUCAAACCAAAAAUCCAAAAGGUUUGGAGAGUUUAAAAAUUACAAAACCCUUAUGAAAAUCAAAAAUCUCAGUAAAACCAUUAAUUAAUAAUAAUAAUAAUAGUUCCCAUGAAGUGGUCACCGCUGAACCUCCGUCGCACCGACCCACCUAUGUUUGUAGAUUUCCUAAAUAGAACAGACAACAGAUGUGAGUAUUUGUAAACUUAGUGUGUAACCUAACAGAAAUAACCAUGCAACAUACAAAAAAUUUCAUGUACAGUCAGAUACUGAUUCGGACCUAAGUCCAUAACAGAUACAGAUAUCAAAAUCAGAUAAACAGAACAGAUAUUUAGAAUCUUACCCCCAUCUUCCACACACCAUCUCUGAUCAUCCCAUCACACCAUGUAGGGUUAAAAACUCUCACCCAUCCUAACACACCAUAUAGUGUUGAUGCGAUACAUAACAGAAUAAUAUGUAGUUAUGCUACCAGAAUAUAGGCAAAAGGUCACCAUACAGAUAACUUCCUCCAUAUAUGCAAAUCCCACCCCAAACAUAGAUACAAAAUACAUAAUUAACAGAAUUAAGGUGCUUAACAUGCUUGUAGUCAGAUAUCAUAUAUACUCAAAUAGAAUAGUCAAACAUACCUAUCAGUGUCCUACUUAGUUCUGAUUAUCAGAAUAUCAUAUCACAUGGGUUAGGCUUUGGUUAGCCCUUACCGACCCUACAGUAGGCCCACAAUUGAUCAAAACGACCCGUACGACCCUAGAGGAAAAUUUCAGAAUCCUGGGGUCACAUGCCCGUGUGGCUUACACUCUCAGAUUGGCCUUACCCGUAUGGUCCACACAGCCUGACCCAAAACUCACAUGCCUGUGUGGCCCACACGCUCAAUCUGGCUUAGCCCAUGUAGCCCACACGGCCACACUCACAUCGUCACAUUGUUGUGUCUCAUACACGACCACACCUACGACAUUCACAGCCGGGCGCACGCCCAUGUGGAUACAACAGUGCCCUUUUUCAGCUUUUACUGAAUCUUCGAUUUUUCGUGUUUAGGGUACACACAUGGUUCGAUUUCGAAGUACUUUCAAAGGUGAUAAUCCCAGUACCUAUAAUCAUCAAUACUUUAACAAAUUAAACCAUAUAAACUCUCAAAUUAUUGAUUCAACAUCAUCGAUGUUCUUAACAUGUUGAAAAACUCGAACAAUCGCAACCACUCAAAAUUUGGUGGGCUCGCAUACCCUCGAAGAUAAGGACCAACAACAAUCAAUCUAUCGAAGAAAUACCCAAUGACUCACAAUUCUCCCCUAAUCGAUUAUCAAACAAUAAACCAAAGGGAAAAUGGUCAAAAGAAAACCCCUUAAACACGCUACAACACAAACAAAACCCCCAAUCUAUUCGUCAAUCUCCAUAACUAAAACAUAAAUAAAGUCACAUAUUUACCAAAACAAUAGCAAUCAAACUUGGACAACAAGGAUUUCCCCAAACCAAACUUGAAAUACUUAAAUAGGAAAGUAGACAAAGAAAAACAAAAGAAAGAAAACCCAAAGAAAAAGAACGUGAAAAGAAUUGAUGGAUUUUUAGGAUAGAGAGGAAAAUAAAAUAAAAAAAUAAUCAAAAAGAUUAUCCCAACUUCCCAUUAUCCCACUAACUAAAAAUCCCCUAAAAACUGACCCACUACCACAGACUUCCACUUCCAUCAAACCUCUACUACACCACCGAAACACUCACAGGAGCAAAAAUUAACAUCCACGUUCACACAGGGAUUCAAACCAAGACCUUAAAGCAAGCUAACACCUUACCACUCGAACUAGCAUAUAAACAAUAUCACAUAAACCUACCCAACAAGGAUAAGGCUAGGAUACAAAUAACAAAAUUGCCAAAAGUGGGACUUGAACCCCAGACCUCACACACUCAUCCAAAACACUUAGCCACUAAAACAGAUACACAUUUGUGUCAAAUUUCACCAAAAGCAAACUUAAAUUAUUCAGUGCGUUACAUCCUAAGUACUUUUAAUCCAUUUCAAACUAUAGAUUUUUUUAUACAAUGCUUAAAGCUAUCCAUACUCCCUUCUCACCCUUUAAAUAGGAAGGUAAAUACAUUUUAGCGUGCUCAAACCCACAUCCUCCUACGUUGACAAUAAUGUUGAUCUCAUCUGAGUUAAAACUAGUUGGCAACUAAACUUGCUCAUGGGUCAGGCCACUUGUCCAGAGCUGAAGGCCCAUCCAAAAAUGGGAGGGUUUGGACUAAAUAUGUGGCCCAAAAAAUGGGCUUAGAUAAAAUUUAAUGCCCGUUUUAUGUAUAGGUCAGGCCUUGGGCAAUAAUUUUUUUUGGCUCAACUCGAAUAUUAUGUUUAUAAACUAAUAUUAUAUUAAUUAUAUAUGUUAAAUAAUAUUUAUAUUAUAUUAAAUAACUAAUCCAAUAGCAAUUAAAUCCAUUGCUCAAAACCUAAAAAAACUUACCCAACUAAAUAACCACUCAAAAUAUAAAAUUUUAAAAUUUAUAUUUAAUACAAUAAGAUAUAUAUUUGUGUUUUUAAUAUAAUAAAAUAUUUAUUAUAUUUAUAGUAGUGUUUUUUAAUAUAAAUACUUUUAAAUGUAUUUUAAUAUGUUAAAAAAUUUAUUUUAACUUUUUUUACUGCAUUUAAUGUAUUAUAUUUUUUAAAAUUUUAAUUUUAAAUAAAAAUUAAUCUAAAAAUUAAAUAUGGAUAGGUCGGAUAGGGCUUGAGUUUGCUUUUCUUAAUUUAGGCCGAGCUUGGAAAAAAAAUAAGCUCAUUUUUCGGGUCGGACUUGAAAAAGUGGUUUAAAUACCUCUAUUGAAAACAAUACUUUAAAUUUUAAAUUGGUCAUAAACUUUAAAACACUAUAACUGAACAUUCAAACUAUCAGUGUUGAACCAACCAAGUCAUUUUGCUAGAUUAGUCAUUAGCUUGGGUGUUGAAUGCUAAUUGAGAUAUGAUGAUAAAUAUAUUUAAAAUUUGGAGAUCAAAUUAUAAAUACGUGUAUAUGUACUACAUGAACAAAAUUAGUUCAUUUAAAAAACCAAUCUUACUAAAUUUUAUUAACAUGUUAACUUUUCAUAAUACAUCAAGUUAAGAUGUUCACGCGAUAGGUAUACAUAUUUAUAAUUUGGUCUAAAUGUUUGAUGUCGGAUUUAAAGUAGCAUUUAUCAUGAAGUUAUAUGAAAGACCAAGAUUGAUACUAAGAGUACUCAAUCAAAACGAAGUUUAAAGACUAAUUUAAAACCUUAACUAUAGUUCGAGGACAUAGUUGAAAUUAACCCAUAAUACAAAAAACACAAGUUUCGUAAACCAAAAAAAGCAAGAGCAAAAACCGGGAUUAAGAAGUGCCAAGUGGCAGCAAAAGCGUGGUCCGUUAUUGAGGAGGUCCGUUAAAACAUUCUAUAUAAACCCCGAAGGAGCCCCCUUCUACAAACCCAACUUUUGGUGAGAGGGAAAGAGUUAAUUGGAGAACGGUUUCUUCUUCACUGCUGCGGAAUUUUCUUUCUCCUUUUCCACCUCAAAAACAAAAUAUCCGCAGUAGCGUUUAAGAAGUUUUCUCUUUAAGCUUAUAUUAUUAAAAAAAAAACAAAAAAAAAAGAGAGAAGAAAAAUGGCUCGCUGUUUCUCGAACGUGAGGGUUUUCUCUACAUUCGUUGUCGAUGGAAUCUCUAACGCAAUCUCAAGGUACCCCAUUUAUAUUUUAUUUUAGUUCUAUAAAAGAAGUGAGAAAGCGACAGUGAUUUAAUGGUUUUUGGUUUUGUUUUUUAGACGGGGAUACGCUGCAACAUCACAAGGAGUAGCGUCGAACGGAGUAAAGGAAGCAGCAAGAAACGCUGCGGAGUUGAAGAAAACAGGGGAAGACAUGGCAACAGCAACUAAAGACAAGGCUAACUGGGUUCCGGACCCUGUUACGGGAUUCUAUAGACCCGAAAACACUGUGAAUGAGAUCUGCCCCGCAGAACUCAGAGCCACACUCUUGAAGAAGAACUAAAUAUACAUGCAUGCAUAUGAUGUGAGAUGAGAUUGGUUUCAAAUGUUAUGUGGUGCAAGCACAGGGAAGAUUUUGGUUUUUGGUUUUUUUGUUCAAUGGCUGAAAUCGCUUCUUUCUUUGUCCUUGGUAAACGAAAUGCUAAUAAAUUGUAGGAAUGCCCUUUUUAUUUAUAUAAAUUAAGAGUUUUCUUUUCAUUUAAUUUUUAUUUUUUCACAUUUAUUUUGGGUAUUUAAGAGUUAAGUAAGAAACUUAUUUAACAAUUUAAAUAUUAUUGUCAAAAAAAUCAUAAUUAAAACAUAUUUAAUUAAAAACAAUUUAAAUAUAAAUUCAUUUAAUAGCGAUCUAUGCUUUUAAUUUUUACUAAAUUGAUUUAAAAAAAUAAUAAAAUAAUUUAAAUAAUAUUGCUUAUUGAUUAAAUUGAAUAGUUUAAAUGUAAUUAGAGAUGUAUUACUUCCAACACUUAUUAUGAGUUUUAAUAAAGGUAAAAUUUACGUAAAUAUCUUAAAAGAUUAAAUUUUAAAAAUUUUAAAAAAUAUUUUGAGAAUUGAGAAUAGAAUUUGAUUUAAUUUGUAUAUCCAUACUAGAUAAAACUAAUUAUAAUUUUAAUGUAUUAAAAUCACACAAUUAUAUUAAUGUUAAAAUAUUAAUUUCAAUUUUUAAUUUUAGUAGUAAAAACUAUUUUAGCAUUUUACAUUUUAUUUUUUCUAAUUUAAAACCAAAUAAUUAUUAAUUAAAAAUAAAUUACGAGUCAUAAUAUAAUUUUUAAUUUUCCAAUGGUUUAUUUUUGCAAGUGAGAUUAAUAAUAUAAUGUAUUAUAGAAAAUAACAAUGAAAUAAAUAAAGAUAAAUUAAAAAUCCAACUUCCUAAAAAGUUUGAUUUAAAAAUAAAUACUAAUAAUAUUAUAAUUAUGUUUAAAUUUUCUAUCUUAAAUUUCUACUUCAAUCCAUCAUUCUCAUCAUUAUCUUGUAUCUUGAUCUUCUUCUUCAAUCUAUCAACAUUAGACUUUUGAUGCAAUUAAUAGUUUUGGAGUUGCAAAUAACGUAAACAAUAAUAACAAAUUGAAGAUUUGUAUAAAAAUCUAAUCAUAACACUAAUUCCAAAAUUAGUAUAAAAUAAGAAAGUGAAGCUUUCAUAUUAGAUAAUGAUACAGAAAGUGAAUAAACGUAACUUUUUUUAAAAAAUAGUAUAAUAAUUACAAUAAACUAAACAUAUGUGGGAUGAUGAAUGCUCAUCACUGAUUAAAAAAUCUUCUACUUAUUUCCAGUACUAUUCUCAUUUGACUAUGACUUGAAAUUUUCUAUUUGAAAAACUAUUACUUUAAUAUUCCAUUAUUUUUGAGACACUUCAAACUUACUAAUGCUAAUAAGUAAUGACCUCCCUAAUGUUAUUUACAAUGAUAGAUUUUAAUUGCAAUUGGUAUAUAAUUGUAACGCUAAUUAAUUUAAAAUAAAAUUUAUUAUUAAUAAUUAAUAUUUCACUUGUGUAGUUCAAAACAUUUAAAUAUGACUUUAAUUAAUAUUGAAAUAUUGAAAUUAUUAUAUAUAUAAAUUGAAUGAUGAUUUUGUAAUAAAUUAAAACUUAGGGAUGAAAAUAUAAACAUAAACAUACAUUUGUGUGUUGAAGGGAAGAAAGAGCCAAAAUACAUUCAUGAGAAGAAUAUGAUCACAAUUAAAACCACAAGUUGCCGUAUCUACAUAUGAAUGAUAUUUUUUGACAAUGACGUGUACAUUUAAAUCUUCCCUUUUUAAGUAAUCUAAAGCAAAAUUAGGAGCCUACGUGGAUUUUAAAAAAAUAGGGCUAUAAUUCAUAUUUGAAAUGUAAGUCAAAAGUGCUUUCUUUUAGUUCUCCAAAGAAACAGGUGCGGCUGUGGUUGGGGUGGAGUGAGGCAGUGAUCUAUUUUCUUUUUCUCAUUAUAGCAGGAGAAGAGAUCUCUCUUCUAGCAGACGAAUUAAUUCAACUGAUAGUUAAGAGCUCAUUGGUUAGACUGAGGAGUCAAUUUUUGUUAUUAUGUUCGGUGUGGACAAAAAAGUCUUAUAAUCCAGACAGUUUAUGUGUGCAACUCAGAAGCAUAUGGAAAACAAGAAGAAAAUUCGAAAUUUAUGAGGCCGGACAGAAUUUGUUUUAGAUCUCAUUCGAGGAAUAGGAUGAUUUAGAUAUGACUAUGGAUGGCAGACCGUGGUUUUUCAGAAGACAAUUAAUUAUAUUUGAUAGGUUGAAAGAGGCGACAGAAAGAAGUAAAAUAAAAUUAAUCUCCUCUCUGUUUUGGCUAAGAGUUGGAUCCUGUCUUCUAGAAUGCGAGGAGAAAGAUCUAAUGCAUGUGAUUGGUUCUACUUUUGGAGGAAUUCUAAGAUCGGAGAUAAAGAACAAAACAUAUAGAAUGAAAGUUGUGUUGGAUACUAGGAAACCUCUUCGAAGAGGAAUUUUUAUUGCAAUCGGGGAUACAAGAAGAGUCUGGCUUCCUUUUAAAUAUGAAUAUUUACCAAAUUUCUAUUUUGGAUGUGAAAUAAUGGGGCAUUUUGUUAAAUAUUGCAAGGAGAUGUUUACGAAAUGGAAAGAUUUAGGAGUUGAUAAGCUCCCUUAUUCAAUAGUGCUGAAAGCUGAAUCCAAUCUGGUAGUGAGAGAGAGCUCGCAAUUGGGUAGUACAGAAAAGAAAUUCAUGAAAUAAUGUUUGUAUACUGGGGAUAAGGAAGAAAGGGCCACGUAUACAGCUAUGAUACUAGAAGAUAACGUCAUUAGUACAGAACAAGGGAUGCUAAUUAGUGGGAUUCUAAAAACCCCCAAUAAGUCUAUCAAUGAAGGUAUAAAUUCGCAGGAAAGUCCUAGGAAAAUUAAAGCUGGAGGAAAAAAAAAUUUUAUCAGAUGUUGCUCAAGUGGAGGUCGUGGGAGAAGCUAAAACGGAUGCCGUUAUACCUGAUAAGGGUACUUAUAGAAAUUAAAAAAAAAAACAAAAUGAACACGUAAGGGACGAAUGGGGCAGAUUAAUGAUGUACAGAUAGAAGCUACUCCAUGCAGGCUGGAGAAUUCUUCAAUCGGUGAGGAUAGCUCAAAAAUUUAGAAUGAUCAUACUAACAACUACAAAAGGGCUAGAGGGGAAUCUAAUAAAGGAAAUUCUCCUAUAAUGGAGACAAUAGGAGAUCAGUUGAUAGUGUCUCCACACUUAGGAUAGACGGCUGCCAAUAGGCAAGCCGACUGGAGCCAAUGAAAAUGAUAAGCUGGAAUGUUCGAGGAUUGGGGAGUCCUCGAGCAAUUAGACGUCUUCAAUUUUUACUGAAGCAAUACAAUCCCCAAAUGGUCCUCCUUAUGGAGACAAAAGUGAGUGCUACUUGGAUGGAAAAAGAUAAGAAGGAGAUGUGGAUACACGAAUGGUUUUGAUGUGGAAGCAGAUGGAUCUAAAGGUGGUUUAUCACUCACCUGGCAACAAAAUAUUCAGGUGACAAUUUUUAGUAGCUCUAAAAACCACAUCGAUGGGCUAAUAAAAGAAAAUCAAGAUAGUAAAGAAUGGCAUUUCACGGGCUUCUAUGGGAAUCCAUUUUCUAAUGAAAGGUGCAUUACUUGGAAUUUACUAAGACAGUUAGGAAGGAUCAGAUCUUAUCCUUAGAUCGUUUGUAGAGACUUUAGCAAAAUACUUUUUUCUUUUGAAAAAAGAGAAGGGGCACCUAGAGAGGAAAAACAAAUGGAGGCUUUUCGUAAUGUUCUUGAUGAAUGCCAGUUGUUGGAUGUAGGAUUUUCAUGAUCAUGGUUUACAUGAGAACGAGGAAAUUUAGUUGAAACCAACAUAGGGAAAGGUUAGACAGAUGGGUAGCAAAUGCAGAAUGGUUUUUGGCUUUCCCACACGCGCAUAUUCAACAUCUUUCCUACUCACACUCAGAUCAUUUGUAACACCCCUAUAACCCGUAUCCGUCGCCGGAGUGGGUUAUGAAGAGUUACCAAACCAAAACACUACAUUUUUACAUUCACAUUUACAUAAGUUCAUUAGCAAUUAUAUGCAUAGCCAAACAAAAUCAAAGAUCGAAAUUCAGACUUAUACCGACAUUCAAAAGUUACCAUAUUCACAUGGCUUAUAUACAACAACAUCUUCAAAAUAUCAUCCACAUAAGUCUAGUCUAUACAUGCCAUACAAAUUCCAAAACAUAAUAGUACCAAAACGAUAGAUAGUGUGACGAGUUGCUGACGAUCCCCGAGCAAGUGGCUGGAGUCAACGAUCUAAAAACAGAGAAACAUAACAAACGGAGUAAGCUUCCACAAGUAUAGUAAGUUUUAAGCAAUACAAAUAAUUAAAUUAAAUUAUAAAUCGAUCAAUCAAAUUCUCAAGUGACAUUUCUUAGGUAUAUUGCCAUUUGGCCGAAUAUAUAUACAAACAUUUAAUGUAUAUUUAGCAUAUUAACUUCACUUGAAUCUGAAUUCAUAUAACAUAAGUAAAUCAAAUAUUUUCACAUAACUUCACAUUUUGGUCGAAUGUAUCAGGAUCAUAUACAUAUAGUCUUAAUACUUAUUCACAUAUACAUCAUAUUACAUACUUGGGAUUCAAUCCCCAAUAAAGCUCAUAUAAGUACAAGAUACAUACCUGGCCAACUUAAGGUAUUACACGAUUUCAAUUGUCGUUUUGUCAUGAAAUCUCAAAAUUUUAGAUUUAUAUCAAAUAACCGGCAAUUAGCCUGCUAGGUUUAAAACCCGAAUUCAUCACCGGCACAAAGCCUCUAGACUUUAAGUCUGAACUCAUUCACCGACAUUACGCCUGCUAGGCUCGAAGCACGAUAUUAAUUCACCAGCAUUAUAGCCUGCUAGGCUCGAAGCCUGAUAUUAACUCACCGGUAUUAUAGCCUGCUAGGCUCGAAGGCUCGAAUAGUACCGUACGAUAAUCAAAUCAACAAGUUUCAUAUAACAUAAUCAUAUCAAUUAGGUACUAGCAUCAUGUGAACAUAUAUAAUUAUACAUCUCAAACACUUUUCUCUCAUCUCAUUUUCACACUUAGCAUUCGAUAGCUUAUGCAUAACAUUUCGCUCACAUUCAUUUCAAACUUAUCAUUCGAUUAUAAAAGCACAUUGCAUAUUUAUCAACAUGUUAUACUUGCCAUUAGGCCAUAUAAGCAUGAUACAAUACACCAUCAUUUCAUCUUUAACAUUCGGCUAAAUCCAUACCUUACAAGGAGUACCUAAUUCACAUAAUAUAUCAGAUUAUAAUCAAUUGUUAUUUACGUUUGAUUACUUAAAACUUACCUCAGAUGUUAUCGAACGAUUACAACGGCUAUUCGAUUACUUUCUCCUUUCCCCUAUCCAACUUUGGUCCUCUAAGUUCUUGAGCUAAAUCAAACAAAUUUACUUCUCAAUCAAACACAUACAUACGGCAACCAUAUACAUUUCAAAAACCAAUUCAUUCGUAUCAUUUGUCCACUUAAGUCUAUCACCAUUUCAUUUUCAAAUUUAUGUACUUUGUAAGUCACAUUCGAACACAUUCGGUACUAUGCAUCUUUUCAAAUAUUUCUUUUAACAUUAAACUCAACUUAUAACUUUCUUCUAAUUAAAAACAUUCAACACCAACUAGUCAUGCUUACAUGUCAUAGCCGAAUAUCAUUUUAGACAUUUGAGAAAUCAUUUCUCAACUCAACUUAUAAUUGUGAAUCUCAUUCAAAACAUCCACACCAAUUUAUUAUACAAUUAACCAUAGCCAAAUACUAAAUCAAAUAGAUAUUUGUUCACAUUUCCAUAACACAUAUUUAUCAACUAGUCCAUAUAUUAGCUUUUAGUCAUUAGAGUGACCUAUUUAACUUUCAAGCAUUCAUUUCUAAUUUUAAUUAAACGAUGCCGAAUGCCAUUAACUACUAAUGCCACACACACAUAUGCAUAAAAUUCAUCCAUACAUAACCUAUAGCUCAUUCGGCCAUUCAUCACUCAAACCAAUCAAAGCUUCAUAUCAAACUUCCUUGGCCGAGUACACAUAUAAGCACAUAAUGCACAUAUAUGCUCAUUUGUCUAGCUCAACUUCACCUAUCUACCAUUACUCAUAAAAAGAACAUGAAACAACCAUUUCCUUCAAUUCAAUUUAUGACCGAAUGCUCACAACACAAUAAUUUUCAAAAUUUAAACAUGGGUUAACUAAGCAAUGCUUUGACCAUGCUAAUUUCGCAAGAAUAUCAAGAAAAUACAUGGAACAUACCUUUGAAUCAUGCUAAGUAAAUGACAGAAUGUGCUUGAGCAUUUUCCUCUAUUUUUCUCUUAAUUUCGGCUAUGAAGAACAAAGAUGAACAAGUUUUGUCCUUUUCCUCAUUUUGUUAUUUUAUUUAUCUUUAUUUUAUAAUAUAAAGCCAUUAAAUAUUUUAAUGCUAAUUUAAAAUGCAUAUAUUGUUUAUCAUUAUCAUUAUGGCCAGCCACUACAAAUUAAAGUGGAAAAUUUGACAUGCAAAUCCACUUAUUUUAAACCAUAAAAUAUUUGGCCACUACAAAUUAACCUAUCACAUUUUCAAAAUUUCUCACAUAAGUCCUAUUUAAUAAUUUCACAUACAAAUGACAAAAUCAAAGUAUGAAAUUUUCAUACAUACACUUUCACAUAUAAUAAGCAUAGAAUAUAACAUUUAAUUAUUUUUUUGUGAUUCGGUUUUGUGAUCCCGAAACCACUUUUUGACUAGGAUCAAAUUAGGGCUGUCACAUCAUUGCCCUCUUCUUAUGUCAUUGGAUAAGAAAAAUAAAACGGCUCACAUAUCCUCGUUUCGGUUUGAAGCAUCAUGGUUAUUAGAAGACUCCUUUAAGAAGAUGAUUAUAGAGUCUUGGUAGAAUUUAACAGGGCUAUUAACAGAUAAGUUGGAGGGGUUAAAACAGAGAAUUCUUCUAUGGGCAAACCAAAUAAAUAAUGCAAGAAGAGGUAUCAAGUAGAAUAUAAAAAACAAUGGGAAUGCUUGCUGGAUGAGGAUAUAAGUGAAGAAAACUUGGCUAAAAUCAUUGAUACGAAAAUUUCUCUCAAUCUAGAAAUUGACAAAGAUAAAGCUUACUGGAAGCAAAGUGCACGUGUUAAUUGGCGGAGAUUAGGAGAUAGAAACACAACAUUCUUUCACAAAUGGGCCACACAACGACAUAAAACUAAUGAUAUUCGUAGUUUGCAAGAUCAUAAUGGGGGGAACAUGGAUGAUGAAGAUGGGAUACAAGGAUUAUAAAGAAUUAUUUUUAGGAUUUGUUUGCGUCUUUAGGAAUAAGUUAUACGGAGAUGAGUUUAUAGGGAGUGCAGAGAUGUAUAACUGAAGAUAUGAAUGCACAACUUACAGUAGAAUAUACGGCUGAAGAAAUAUGGGCAGCAUUAAAGGGAAUAGGUCCUACAAAAGCCCUCGGUACCGAUGGACUUCCAGUAAUUUUCUUUCAAAAAUGUUGGAACAUAGUUGGGACAGAGGUAACCUCUUUUUGUUUGGAGAUUUUAAAUCAGAGGAAAGAUUUAGAGAGUAUUAAUGGUACGAAUAUUGUUUUAAUUCCUAAAACCUCACAGCCCAUUGAUAUGAAGAACUUUAGGCCUAUUGGCCUGUGCAAUGUCCUCUACAAGAUAAUAGCUAAAGUAGUGGCUAAUAGAUUUUAAAAUGUCCUAAAAGUUUACAUUGAUAAAGCUCAAAGUGCAUUCGUUCCAGGCUGACUUAUUACGGAUAAUGUGCUUGUGGCUUAUGAGAUCAUGCAUACGUUGAAGAAUAAAAGAGUAGGGAAAAAAAGGGCAUGUGGCACUUAAACUGGCCAUGAGCAAAGCCUAUGAUAGGGUCGAAUGGGAAUUUCUUAGGGUUAUGAUGGAGAGAAUGGGUUUUGCACAAUCUUGGGUGGCUUUCAUAAUGAAGUGUAUUUCGACGGUCUCCUAUUCAGUUCUUUUAAAUAGGAAAAAGGGAGAAGUUUUCAAACCAAUAAGAGGACUCCGACAAGGGUACCCCCUCAGUCCCUAUUUAUUUCUAAUUUACAGUGAAGGCAUGUCCUCAAUUAUACACCCAGCUCUAAUAAGAAAGGAAAUCAAAGGAUUGAAAGCUAGCAGACGAGGACCUAAGAUCUCACACAUUCUCUUUGCAGACGACUGCAUCAUUUUUGGUGAGGCAAUAUUUUUAGGAGCUUGAUAGAUCAAGAAUAUUUUUGCAGAAUAUGAAUCCUACUCAGAUUAGUGUGUGAACUUUGCAAAGUCUAUAAUAUUCUUUAGCACGAAUACUACAGAAACAAAUAAAUUGAUAGUUACGGGCUUGCUAGGCAUGAGGAGAUCAACUGAUAUUGAGAAAUACCUAAGUCUCCCUAAUUUGAUAGGGAAGAAAAAGAAAACUUCUUUCCAAAAUUUAAAGGAUAGGAUGAAAAGAAAAAUUGAUGGAUAGAGUUCUAGGUUCUUGUUACAAAGUGGAAAAGAGGUUUUUAUUAAAUUAGUUUUGCAAGUGAUUCCAACUUAUUCUAUGAUGUGUUUUCUUUUGCCAAAAACUUUAUGUGAGGAAAUGGAAUCAAUUAUUGCAAGGUACUGGUGGCAGAAGGGUCAUGGACGAAAAGGAAUACAUUGGUGCAGUUGGAAGAAUAUUUGUGAAUUAAAAUAUGAAGGAGGAUUGAGUUUCCAGGAUUUGGCCAAGUUUAACGUGGCUCUACUUGCUAAGCAAGGUUGGCGGUUAGUUGAGCAUCCAGAUUCUUUAGUAGCACAGGUUUUAAAAGCAAAGUACUACCCGACCACUAAUUUUCUACAAGUAGGGCUAGGAUGUAGACCUUUAUACAUGUGGAAAAGUAUUUGGGCAGCAAAAGGUCUUAUUAAAGAAGGUUUGGGGUGGAGAGUUGGCACUAGGGAAAAAUCUUAAUUAAUGAGGAUGCGUGGCUCCUUCGGGCAGCUAAUUACAGAAUUUGUUAUCCUAUUCUUAAUACUGAUAUUACUACUGUCAUAUCAUUAAUUGUUUGUAAUAAUAGGAGGUGGAAGGAAGAACUGAUUCGCAAUACCUUUAAGGCAAACAAUUCAGACAGAAUCUUAUGAAUCCCACUAGCGUUAGACGAGCAUACUGAUAUGGUCAUCUGGUGUGCAGAGCGCUCGGGUAAGUUCACAAUUUGUAGUGCUUAUAGACUAUUACAGACCUAAGAUCAUACAUCAGACUCUACUGCUACACAAAAUACAACCAAACUAUUUUACAAACAACUCUGAACACUCCAAAUACCAAAUAAAAUUAAAAUUAUGCUAUGGAGGAUAACACGAAACUAUUCCCAUGAUGGGCAACUUGUUUCAGUGAAGAGUGGUCCGAGAUUAUAAGUGCCCUAGAUAUAAAGCUUGCUCUGAGAAUCUAUGGUCUACAUUCGUUGGGUGUCUUAUAGCAAUAGAGUUAUGGAGAAGAUUAGAUUUUGAAUGGAUAAAUCAAGGUGAACCCAGUGGAUGGUUUGAUUGGAUUACAUGGAUUUUUAGUAAAUAUGGAGAAACCCAGCAUCGCGUUUUUGUCUGUGGAAUGUGGGUACUAUGGCUUGACAGAAACAGAAAUUUACAUGAAGAGAAGUCAUAUAAAGGGGAAGAUGCAACAAAUCAUGUUAAAUAUUAUAUUGGCGAAAUUGAUGGAUUGAAUGGGAGACAACCUAAAAUUACCCAGGAAGUUGAAAACUGGAAAGCCUCUGAGAAAUAAAAAAUCAAAAUCAAUUUUGAUGCCUCGUUUGAUAGUAAAAAUAACAUAUCAGCAUCUGGGAUAGUGGCGAGAACUGAAAAUUGUAACAUCCCGAAUUAGGGCCUAGUCGGAACAGUGGUUUUGAAACCACAAAUCUAAAGUAGAAAUAAUUAUUUUAUGAUUAUUAUAAGGUCUAUGAUAUGUUUACAUUCUUGUGUGAAAAUUUCAUGAAGAAAUUUUGUCUAAGGUGCUCAAUUAGACUUUAAGGACUAAAUUGAAUAAAUUGUAAAAUAUGAGUUCUAGAAGUUUUCAGUAUGAAAUUGAAUUGGAGUUUUAAUUAGAGGGUCUUAAAUAGCAAUUUGACUCAGUUCUAAAAUUUUGGACAAAAAUGGACUUGAAUAGAUAAAAUUUUAAAGAAAGGCUAAAAGGGCAUUUUGGUCAUUUGGUCAUUAAAUGGACUAAUGUCUAAAUAAAUAUGGGAAUGUGUUGAAUUGGAUGUACAUUGUAUGGUUAGCUAUGCAUAUUGAGAUACUUGAUGAAAAUAGAAAAUCCUGGUUGAAUAAAAAGGGGAAUCCGAUGGAUAAACCAUGGCUUACAUGACUUGAGAUCCUGCAUGUAUUGCAGAAAAGGAUUUAGCCCGGACGGGUAAUCCGUUGAUCUCAAAUAUAGAAAAUGAUCUAGCCUGGACGGGUGUUCCUUGAGUGAUCGAGCCUCCCGAAGAAUAUGUGUGCAUUAAGAAUUUAGCCUGGACGGGUAAUCUGAUUAGGAUCUGAAUUUAGCCUGGACUGGUAAUUCAGAUCCGAUCUCAUUUGGGUAUAUGUCGUUGUAGGGUAUUUAGCCUGGACUGGUAAUCUCGACAAUACUCUAUGAGUUUAUAUUACUGGGGAUUUAGCCUGGAUUGGUAAUCUCGCCGUAAGAUGUAAGGUUUGCGGGAGUGCGUAUUUGAAAUGAUCACUUGUAUGACUUGACGGUAAAUGGAUUAUCCAUCGAGAUUUUUGAGAAAUUCAACGGGUAUUAUAAUGAAUAAUGCGAUGAAAGUCCCGAGAUGGGCAUGGUGAUAAAGGUAAAGUUAAUUGAUAUGCUACGGAUAUGUACAGGUACGUACAUUAUACUCAUAAGUGAUGCCUUAUUGAAAUGUGAUAAAUGAUGAGUAAGCAAAUUCAUGCAUAUGUAUGCGUAUACAUGAUAAACAAGUAAAAAGGUUUGAAAGAUGAACCAUCCUUAUGCUUAUGAUUAUGGAUUGUGUUGUAAUAUCAUGUUAAUUUACAUUGUGUAAUGAGAUAUGGGUUUCAUGAAAUGAUGAGUUCAUGAUCAAUAAGCUUAUAAUAGUUACUAUGAAUUUGCACUGAAACAGUUUUGGACAGCAAUAAUAGUCCAACUUUGAAAAUCCACCAAAAAUAAUGGAAAUUGAGUUAGAGACUGAAUCAAAUAUGAAAUUAAAGCUUAUUGGGUCUAGUUUCAGUUAAAAGGAAUGGUGCUAGUAAAGGAAUCUCAUAUGAUGAGAUAUUUGAAUUCUUGUGAGACAGUGUCAGAAUGAGUUCGAAAUCCCCUGUUUUGACUUGGGAAAAUUACUAGAAAUUGUACAAAAAUAAUUAUGAGUUAGAAUCAUAUUAAUGAAAUCCUUAAUGAGUAUAAUUUCAGUAUAAAGAUACGGAAACAUUAUCCGAGUCUCGUACUAUGCGAUAAAUAAAUUUUAGUGAAGAAAGGUAGAAGCUGUCAAACAGUGAAACAUGAGAGAAUUUGAAUAAUAAACUGUACUUAUUGGCUAGACAAAAAAUUCUGGAAAUUUUAUUGUAAGGAGAUAAAUGAGUCUAGUUUCAGAAAAAAUUAAUGAAUCUUAAUUUGGAGUUCUGUAACUCUAGAUAUAAAUAAAUUAAUAACUACGACUCGAGAAAACAGCUUAACCAGAAUAUGAGUAAAAGUGUCAUUAUGGUUGAUUGCCUAAGGAAACAUGUUGUUAUAAUGCUUAUUAUUUUCAUAUGGACUUACUAAGCUUUAGGCUUACUCCCUCCUUUCCAUUUCCUUAGUGUUCUCAGGUUAGCUUGGGGUUGGAGAUCGUCGGAGGCAGCAUCAAACUAUCAAGUUAUCAACUCUAGAGUAUUGUCAUACGUGUAUUAAACACUUUCAAGUGAGUGGCAUGUAUAAGGAUUAGGUUUUACAUUAGAUGUUGUUAUGAUUAGCCAAAUGUACCAGCUUAUAUUGAUCUAUUGUAUAUAGCCAUGAGAUGUGGCUUAUUAUGGUUAUGGCUUGUAAGUCUAAUUAUUCGUGCUAUGGGUUAAUGCAUGUCGUGUGAUUAUAAUUGGUUGCUAUGAAUAAUUAGUAUAACACAUGUAUAUGAUGAAUGUCCUAGAACCAUUCGAGGUGAUCACGGCCAUGGAAUGAAUAUAUGGCCUGGUAGUUAGUUGAAAAUGAUUAAACAUGGACAAUUGUAGAAUGUGUAGAGAUUAAAUGCUGGGUAAUAAACACAUGUAAGACAAUAUGCAAUUUAUUUAUUUGAAUCUUUCUCAAGGUCGAUUAACAAUUAAAUUGAUGCUAUAAGUUAGGUCCAUGAUGUGUAAAGUAUGGGAAAGAAUUAAGGACAACAUAAGGCUUCGAAAAUAGCCUAAGUGUUGGCCAUACGGGCAGAGAACGGCCAUGUUUCUCAGCCAUGUGGAGGACAUGGUCUAGCACACGGGCGUAUGGCUUGACCGUGUGGAUCAAUUUGUUUGGCUAACAUUAUAAAUAGAGAGUUACACUGGCCGAGGAUAUGAGCGUAUUCCAAGCCACACAGGCGUGUGUGACCACACGGCCCAACCCACACGGGCAUGUGACUCUCCAAAGCAAGAAAAUUGGUUAAGUUGUCAAAAGUUUGUCGAAAGUUCUCAGUUCAGUCCGAACCACCCCAAUGCAUGUUACAGGCUUCGAAGGCCUAUUUAAGGGACGAUAUGCAUGUGUUUAAGAUGUUUUAAUUUUGGGCAAAAAUUUUGUGACCUGAUUUUGCAUGUUGUGAAUGUUUAAGUCUGGUAACGCCUCGAACCCUGUCUCGGCAUUGAAUACGGGUAAGGAGUGUUACAAAAAUGAGGAGGUUGAAAUUUCUAAAUGUUACCUUCAUAUAACGGUAGGCACGGCCUUUGACGCAGAAGCGAUUGCCUGCUACGAAGCUGCUCUCACAAGAUUAAAGAUAGGAUACACAAAGGUUGUUAUUGAGAACGACUCCAAGUCCAUCAUCAACAAAUGCAUGACACAAUCGGUGGACAAAUCACAAGUUAGUGCGCAUAUUCGAAAUAUUCGAAGAGAAAAAAGUAAGUUCUAGACCAUUACAUUUCAUUAUGUUCCAAGAUCGGCUAAUCACUUAGCCAACACCAUUGCUACAACAAGUUUGAAGGAAAUGGAGACGAUUUACCUGCUUGGAGAGGUCCCUUGCUACACCAAUAGACAGUGGGAACUGGAUCACCCACGGGAACCUAAUUGAAACGAAGAAGAGGAAAACAGGGAAUGGGGUAUUUGAGAGCGACCCUAAUCAAAACUGUCAGGCCUCAUCUCCAAUGAAAAUGAAAAGUUAUCCGUGUAAAAGGCAAAGUUGGAGACAGGUCAUUCAAAAUGGAUGAGGAUUUUAAGUUUAUUUAUUGUUUUAAUUAGUUUUGGUCUUUUUGCUUCUACUUUUAGCCGUCGCUUUGUUUCUUUUUAGUCUGAUGAUUAGACUAGUGCUUUUCCCCAUUUAUUGUUGACAUCACAUUUAUUAGUUUUAUGGCUUCAAUAAAAUAUCCCCAAUCUGAUUUUAUUCCAAAAAAAAAAAAAAACUUCCCUUUUAAUGGAUUUCAAACAUUUAUGCCCCCUUACCAGAUAUCUGUCAUUAAACACCACCACUUGCCAACCCUCCUAUUUUCUUUUUGAAUAUUAAUUUAUUUUAUAUUUAUAUAAAAUUUAAGGAUAACACAUGUAGUCACCUAAUUAUAAAAUAUUUUCAUUUUAGGUACUCAAAAUAAAAAAAAUUAUAAAUUUAAUACUCACGUUACGUAGUUCACUUAUUUUGAUCACUCUCAUUAAAAAUACAAAUGCCAAGAUGACGUAGCAGUUAAAAAUCAAUAUAAUAAUAAAUUUAGCCUACAACUUUUAUAUAUUAUAUCAAUUUAGUCAUAAUUUUUAAAAAAUUAACACUCAAAAUUUACAAAUGGUCUCAAUUUGAUCCUAAUUCUAAAAAAUUCAAAUAUAUAUAAAAAGAUCAUUUGUAAAUUUUGAGGGUUAAUUUUUUUUAGAUUAUGACUAAAUUGAUAUAAUAUGGAAAUUUUGAGGGCUAAAUUUAUUAUUAUGUCAAUUUUUUAACUGCCACCUCAACUUACCAUUUGUGAUUUUAAUAGGAAUGACCAAAAUGACCGAACUAUGUAAGGCGAGUGCUUAAAUUGUAUUUUUUUUUUAUUUUGACUGCCUAGAAUAAAAAUUUUGGAUAAUUGAAUGAAUAUCUUUAUAAUGUACCAAAAAUGUAAUAACUAAUAUUUGUAUGUUGUGUGAAGGGAUAUAAUCGUAGUGGUUGACAUGACAAUAACGUAUGGUUUGUAAUUGUUGCAAAUGUUUUUGCACAAAACUAGACUCGUAGAUUAAAGCUUUUGAGGCUAAUGCAUAACCCCAUCCCAGUUUCUUAAUAUCUCUUUUAUCCAAUAUGAAAAUACUUUUAGAAACAUUUACAAUCGACUAAAUGGUGAAAUUAGGCCAAGUUAAAUCUUUCAAAAUCUCAGACAAUUUUUAUAACAAUAAUUUUAAUAAGCAGAUUAAUUUAAGUAAAUUUUAAGUGAAUUCUAACGUAUUUAAAAUAAAAUAUUUGGCAAUGGAAUAAAAUAUUUCCUAAAAGUAAAACAAUAUAAGAAAAUCAUUAUUUGAUAUCUGAUAUAUGACAUUUGAAAAGCUCUUAUUUGAGUAUUUUAAAAAAAGUUUGUUUUUUAUUUGAGCACUUUGAAAAGUUUGACUUUCAUUUAAGCAUUUUAGUAAAAGUUAAGCAUUUUGAAAAGUUUGACCCUUACAUGCAUAAUUCCUUAAAAGUUACCCUUACAUGCAUAAUUCCUUAAAAGUUACAUCUCAAUUUAAACAUUUAACCUUUACAAUUCUAUGAUUGAUUUUAAAUAUAAUGAUUUAUUUACCCUUCAAUUUUUAAAAAAAUAUUUUAACUUAAAAAGAGAUGAAAAUUAAAUAAAAGACUAGGAUGAUAUUUAAAAAAAAAUUGGAAGAAUUUUUCAACAAACUAACAGAAGUAUUUAUAUAAAUUUUUCUUUUAUUUUUCCGAAUUUGAAACCCUCAAACAUACCGUAGUUAUAUUAGACUUUGACUAAAUCUGAAAUAAAUCCCUUAAAAAGCGAGACGAACUUUGUCUUUUCUUUCACAAGGGAGCAAAUCCUUGUUAGGUGUUACGUAUUUACGUCCCUUAACAAAAGAGAAAAAGCAGACUGUGAAUUCAAUGGAUAGUAAUUAUACCAUUUCAUGAAAUGGUCAGUAAAAUCCGGUAUAAGGGAAAGAAGUGAAAAGGUCCCAUGGAGUAGGUUGCUUUGGUUCCCAUUUUGUAUACCAAAGUGGCUAGCUAUACAGGAUUGACUUCCUACAUCUAGAGAGUGAUGGAAAAGGCAAAUUGUGCCUUGAGGAGUAGGAAACUUGGGUUGCAAGUUCUCUGAAGUAAUUUGGGAAGAAGCUUUUUCAAUUGCAAAGGCAGGCUGGACAUUGAGGAGAUUAAAAGAUAAGGCAUUGAUGGAAGCAGAGGCUCUAAACAGAAAUAAAAAGUGAUUAGUUUGAUACUGAUGAGUACAAAGAUUAGAAGACAUGAUAACUGUUAAUAAUGGGUUAUGUUUAGCUUAAGAGUACACAUGGUAUUAAAAAUAAUUAUCAGUCAUUACUAAUUCAUUUAUGUAGCAGAUUUCUGCUGUCUUUAGGUAAUAAAAUCAUAAUAAUUAUACCAUUUCUCAAAAAUAGCAGCAAGCGAGACCGAAUUUACGAUUGCAAUUCUUACCACCUCUCAUACAGGCACACUGUUAGCUUUACAUACAUACAAAUCUUCAACCAGAUUUCAAGAGGCAGUCCAAAGCCAGAACACUGCAUUUAUUUACAAAACCCAUCACAUAUUUGAUUUUUACUUCCAACACAAAGCCGAAUUAAAAUGCUCCAUAGCAAGGAGACCUAGUCUGCUUUAUUUAUAUAUUAUAUUGUUCAUCCUCGCAAUCAACCAGACCCUUAAAUGUAUACCACCAGUACCCUACGAGCGCAACCAGGGAUUAAGCUUUUAAUCAUCACUGGCCAAGGGAACAGAUUUUACCUGAAAAAAGAACACAAGCAUGCUUAAGUUCUAUUAUAAUCCGCAACGAGAUUCAGAGGUAGAGCUGCCAACAUCAGGCCAUUAAGAGGGAACAAAGUCCACUUACCAAUUCACGGAACUUGAGGAUGUAGAACAUUUCAAGAUAUCUUCGGGUCUCACGCCUCUCGAGUUUUGAGACGUACUUCCAGAAACCAUAUACUCCAGCCAAUGUCAUCAGCCUUUCAGAAUAAAUUUUCCACGUAUACCUGAAGUACAAAAACCUUUGCUUAAGCUCUGCUUCGAUGGUAGAGAGAAUGGAAGUCUAAACUCUAAAUGUAAAAAUUAGAAGAAACACGCACCUUUCAUAAAUCCUCUUAAGCCCUCCAUCAGAUAUUUUAGUCCAGUGGCUUGGAUCCUCCUUGCAACGUUCAAAGAAAGUUGCCAGGAGUUCAGCGGUCUGGUCAGGGUGGUAUGGAUCAAUAUGGAACCCUGAUAUACCAUGUUCAAUAAUCUCUGCAGGACCACCAUGCAAUGUGGCAAACGUUGGAAGGCCACAUGUCAUGGCUUCCACCACUGUAAGUCCAAAGGCUUCGUAGAAUGCAGGCUGAAAAACGAGAAGGGGUUAAUUUAUUAGAAAUCUCAGGAGGUUGUAACACAAUAGAAUCAUAUUGCUACGGAGCACAUACCUGAACAAAUAUACCCUUUGAGUCAGCUAUGUAGCGAUAGAGCUCACCAUUGCGUGCUCGAUUUGUUUGGGCUGCUAUCCAACGAAAUUGACCAUCUAAUUUAUACUCUUUCAUAAGGUCAUGCAUCUUUUCAAUUUCUG